UUUGUUUUUUUUUUUUUGUAAAUACAUAAUAACAUAUGUAUUUAUUUAUUUAUUCUUUUGUAAUAAAAUUGACUUUCUUUAAUAAAACUUUUAUAUAUUUUUUUUAUUUUGAUAUGACUGAACUCGAAAUUGAAUGUUCGAGCCGCCUACGUACCCUUCCAAAGAAGAGAUCAAGCCAUAACGUAGUUCAAAUGAGUGAUGAAUUUAACAGUGAUUUUGAUGAUGAUUUUUCCGUACACAGUUUAUGCUCUUGCGGGCCAGGAGCUUUGGUGUUGCCUUUUAUGCUCGUGCAGACCAGGAGGGUUGAUGUCGCCUUUUAUGCUCGUGCGGGUCAGGAGCGUUGAUGUUGCCUUUUAUGCUCGUGCAGACCAGGAGCUUUGUGCCAUGCAGUUUAGACUCGUGCGGGCAAGGAGCUUUGGUUCGUGCAGUUUAGGCUCGUGCGAACAAGGAGCAUUGGUUCGUGCAGUUUAGGCUCGUGCGAACAAGGAGCAUUGGUGUUGCCUUUUAUGCUCGUGCAGACCAGGAGCGUUGAUGUUGCCUUUUAUGCUCGUGCAAACCAGGAGCUUUGUGCCAUGCAGUUUAGACUCGUGCGGGCAAGGAGCUUUGGUUCGUGCAGUUUAGGCUCGUGCGAACAAGGAGCAUUGGUUCAUGCAGUUUAGGCUCGUGCGAACAAGGAGCAUUGGUGUUGCCUUUUAUGCUCGUGCAGACCAGGAGCUUUGUGCCAUGCAGUUUAGACUCGUGCGGGCAAGGAGAAUUUGUGAAUUUUGUCAAGCAAUUUUGGAGAGGCGUUCCUCACAAUCUUCAUAGCAAGGAGCCUUGAUCGAGUGAUUGAAGAAGUCUUUGGGAAAGAAAUCGCGCAUUGUGAUGGGGAUGAAAGAUCUAUGUGUCGAAAUUUCAUCAUCUUCAACACGUUCACGUUGCUUUGAAGGUUGACAAGAGCUGCUUUGCCCCAUUUCCGAUUGGCGGACUUGUGGAGGAGACGUAUGCUUCUUGUGCAAUUUCUUAGGAGUGACUUGAGUCCAUCAUUCAACUUUGCUUCUCUUGGAGGAUGCCCCAUGAGGUUGAGGUAAAAAUUUUGAGUCGGAAGAGCCAGAAGUGAUGGUGGUAUAGUUUGACUUCACCACAUCGUCAAGAUCUAGCUCGAUGAUUCCUUUCUGAGCCAGCUUCAUGAUGAGAUCUUUCAGCACGAAGCACUUUUCUGUCGAAUGACUGAUGAAGCGGUGGAAUUUACAGUACCUUGGACUGUCGGUGCGAUUCAUUUCUUCUGGCCGUCUGCACUCAGGCAAGCGGAUCAUCUUCUUUUCCAGCAAGUCUUCUAACAUGGCAACCACAUCAGAGUCGGGGAAUGGAUAAGUUUUCUCCUCAAGCUCCUUCAAAGUGCGUCUACGCAUCUCUUGAUCACGAAAAGCUUCAGCUUGAAUCGCCUUGCCUCGUGUAGGGAUUUUGACGGGAGAUGUGUUGACUGUCAUUGCUUCCUUGGUGGAUUUCCACGUAGCCUUCUCCACCUUUGUCUUAAGAAUUUUGUCGUUCUUAUAGUCGGCGAUCGGUUCCUUCUUCCCAUGAUGGGCGAUGCUCAACUCCAUGUCAUGGGCGCGGGUGGCCAAUUCCUCGAAGGUCCGUGGUUUAAUGCCUUGAAGGAUGUAUUGCAAACCCCAUUGCAUGCCUUGGAUGCACAUCUCGAUUGAAGAGGUUUUCGAUAGCCUGUCUUUACAGUCGAGGCUUAGAGUGCGCCAUCUGUUGAUGUAGUCAAUGACUGGCUCGUCCUUCCACUGCUUUGUGCUCGUUAGCUCUAUCAUGCUCACAGUGCGGCGGGUACUGUAGAAGCGGUUGAGGAAUUCCCUUUCCAACUGUUCCCAGCUGUUGAUGGACUCAGGCUCUAGGCCCGUGUACCACUCAAAGGCGUUUCCUUUCAGCGAGCGCACAAACUGCUUGGCGAGGUAGUCUCCCUCCGUCCCCGCGUUGUUGCAAGUUUCGACGAAAUGUGCAACGUGCUGCUUUGGGUUUCCUUUUCCAUCAAACUGCAUGAACUUUGGUGGUUGAUAUCCCCUCGGCAUCUUUAGGGCAUCAAUCUUCUUUGAAUAAGGCUUUGAGUACAACCCGGAGGUAUUUGAGCUCCCUUCGUACUGUGCCUUGACGGUGCUGGCAAUCAUCUCUUGCAACUGCUGGAUAGAAAGAGAUCCUAUGAGUGCCGAUUCUUGGUCUGGCUCCGGCUUCACAUCGAUUCUCUCCACCGUAGGCUCAUCUUCUGGGUUAGGGUUCUCGCCGUCCUGUGGCUCCAGUCGACUGACGAGUGAAGCGAUUUGCAAGUCUUUUUCUUCCACAGUUCGGGUUAGCCUUGCGAUUGCUUCAUUCAUUUGAGCCAGUUGUUCUUCGAUGGAGGUAACACCGAUGGUCAUGACUUGUGCAACCAAUAGACGUGACUUUCCUUUAGACAUCCAAGAUGCUGACGAAGAACGUCGUUGGUUGUUUUGGGAUGUCAUCUUGUGUGCCUUAACAGCAUGCUUCGGUGCCCCCAGCGAGGUCAGGUUCAUGACAGACUCACACCUUUGAUGCUCCAUUUGCUCUUUUAGCGGCACCAAUUUUGAAGUGGCAUGUUGAGGAGCGGUUGUGGCGCCAAUGGAUUGUCCAUUUACGGCAGAAGUGCUUAGGAUCCUUCCCUCAGUGAUUGCGAGAACGGCUUGUCCCCUGCUUGAUGCCAUUGACUUUGAGGUGUGUUUGGAUUCCUUGAACGGAGAAAGAGAUGAGAGGUAGAGAUUAUCCCACCGGGCGUGCCAAUUUGUGAACACGGAAAAUUCCUAACGUGCACAAAAUAAUAUUUGUGUUUGAUGAUUUUGUUGGGUUACGAUCUCUUUUAACUUGAUCAUCUGAUUCGAUCUCCGUAAGGUGUUGAUUUGUGGAUGUUUCGUUGAUCCAAGGGCCGUCGAGGCUUGAUCUUGGAUGAACUGUUGGAAGUUUCUUCAAGGGGCCAUGGGCUUGAUCUUUGAAGGUGGAUUUGAGCGGAUCUUCAAGAGCCGUUGGGGCUUGAUCUUGAGGAUGAGUGUUUCUUCAAGGGCCGUUAAGGUUUGAUCUUGAAUAACGGUGAUGAACGGAUCUUCAAGGGCUUUUGGGCUUGAUCUUGAAGAACGGUUGGAUGUGUGGAUUUGUUGAUGUUGUUGAUCCAAGGGCCGUCGGGGCUUGAUCUUGGAUGAACGGAUGAUGAACGAUGGUGCUUUCUUCAAGGGCCGUCGGGGCUUGAUCUUGGAUGAACGGAUGAUGAACGAUGGUGCUUUUUUCAAGGGCCAUCGGGGCUUGAUCUUGAAUUGGUGGAAGUUCUUCAAGGGCCUUUGGGGCUUGAUCUUGAAUUGGUGGAUUGUUGAUCCAAGGGCCGUCGGGGCUUGAUCUUGGAAGAACGAUGAACGAAGAACGAAGAACACUUUCUUCAAGGGCCGUCGGGGCUUGAUCUUGAAUUGGUGGAUGAUUGUUGAUCCAAAAGGGCCGUUAGGGCUUGAUCUUAGGAUGAACAGUUGUGUGGAUUUGUUGAUGUUGUUGAUCCAAAGGGCCGUUAGGGCUUGAUCUUAGGAUGAACAGUUAUGUGGAUUUGGUGAUGUUGUUGAUCCAAAAGGGCCGUCGGGGCUUGAUCUUAGGAUGAACAGUUGUGUGGAUUUGUUGAUGUUAUUGAUCCAAAGGGCUGUUGGGGCUUGAUCUUAGGAUGAACAAUUGUGUGGAUUUGUUGAUGUUGUUGAUCCAAAAGGCCGUUGGGGCUUGAUCUUAGGAUGAACAGUUAUGUGGAUUUGGUGAUGUUGUUGAUCCAAAAGGGCCGUCGGGGCUUGAUCUUAGGAUGAACAGUUGUGUGGAUUUGUUGAACACUUUCUUCAAGGGCCGUCGAGACUUGAUCUUGAAUUGGUGGAAGUUCUUCAAGGACCGUUGGGGCUUGAUCUUGAAGGAGGAUUUGAUGAAGAACGAAGAGGGCUUUCUUGAUCCUUCGAGAUUUGCUUGAGAGCUUUAGAGUUUCAAAGCUUCAAGGAUUUUGGAUGUGUGGGGAGUAUUCUCUUCCAUUUUGGAAGUAGAGAAAUGUAUUUGUGAAUUGGUUUCUUGAUUCUUUGAUGGAGGAGCCUAUUUAUAGGCUUUGGGAACAAAUCACCACCAUCCAUUUGUUUUGGUGGAUGUUGUAGGUGAAUUUUGGUGGAUGUUGUAGGUGAAACUUGGUGGAUGUUUGUAGGUGAAACUUGGUGGAUGUUGUAGGUGAACUUAGUGUAUGAUGUAGGUGAAGUGAAUGAAGGUUGUAAUUUUAAUACAAUGGUCAACAUUUAUUUCACCAAAAUUUCAAUGUUUACAAAUGUAAUCUUAAUGCAAUGGCUAACAUUUAUGCCACCGAAAUUUCAAUGUCUACAGUAACAUUUUUCGUGUUUUUACUUAUUAGCAAAUUCUUGGUUAUGAACGAGUUGCUUUAGGAAGUUUAGAAGACAAUCAAUUUGGAGUUUAUAUUUUGAAGGAGUCCGUUUGAAUUUGAUAGUCUGAACUCUGAAGUAGUAGUUUUAUGACUUCAUCUAUUUUGAUAUUUGUAGAAAUCUCAGUGCUUUUCGGGUCUUCUAGACACUAGAAAUGCUCUCCCCCUUUAAGUAUUAGUCUCUUAGUUUGCUCAAGAGGUUGAAAGCAAGCAAGUAUAUUAACUCAGGUAUUAACUCAGGUCCAGAUUUUUUGUUGCCGAUUGAUCUGUUUAACUUCUGCGCUUCUCAUUCCUUAGAGAAUGUUCCAUGCCUUGAUUUGAAUUUCUGAGUUUUCUCAUUGAAUGCAUUUAAAUUUUAACUCAUCUUGUACUGGAAUUUAAUGCUUUACAUUUUAUUUUUUUAACUUAUAGACCCAACGAUUUCUAGGCAUUAAGCGAACAAAGUAUCAGCAACUCGGAAAGAUGUCAGUUAAUCAAAAGCAGGGCUUUUUGCUACCUGUUUCUGAAUGUGAGUUCAACAUCACAACUGCAAUUGAAGAGAUCCAUUGUUCACUUCAAGUCAAGUCCGGUCAUCGCCCACGAAGGUGUACAGGAGCAGCAAUAUUAGCUGCACUUGGACUUCUGGAAGGAUGUUCAGGGAGCACGGGUUCCAGGAUCAUGGUCUUCACAUCUGGACCUGCGACUUUAGGCCCAGGAAUAAUCGUCGAUUCAGAUCUUAGCAAGUCCAUCAGAACUCACCGAGACCUCAUCAAUGGUCAUGCACCUUACUAUAGUAGAUCUUCCAGCUUUUAUAGGCAAGUGUUGCAGAGGUUAACUGAUGCAUCUAUUGUUCUCGAUAUGUUUGCUUGUUCUCUUGAUCAAACUGGAAUUGCAGAGCUGAAGGUCCCUGUUGAGAAGUCAGGUGGUUUCAUGUUGCUAGGUGAGUCAUUUUCUUCAAAUCAAUUCAGAAAAUGUCUGAGCCACAUUUUUACUCGUGAUGAAGGGGGAUAUUUGAAGAUGUAUUUCGAUGCAACUAUUGAGAUAGUGACCACUAAAGAUAUUAAAAUCUGUGGAGCCCUAGGUCCUUGUGUAUCUCUUCGUGAAGUCAACGAUUUAGUGAGUAGCAGUGAGAUUGGGGAGGGUGGUACCUAUAUGUGGAAGUUGGGUACAAUCACCAAUAAAACAUGCAUUGCUUUUUUAUUCCAAGUGAGUGAUGAGCAGAAAGUUCAACCUGGGUCUGCAUUUUUGAUACAGUUCAUAACACGAUACCGUCAUGGGAACAUGAGAAUCCGGAAAAGGGUAACAACUGCAGCAAGAAGAUGGGUUGGAGGCCGUUCACCAGAAAUUGCUGCUGGGUUUGAUCAAGAGGCAGCAGCUUCAGUGAUAGCCAGGCUUGCUAUUCACCGAGCUGAGAAUUGUUUCGCUCGAGAUGUUAUCAGAUGGCUGGAUGACACAUUGAUCCGCUUUGCUUCCAAGUUUGGAGACUAUGCAGAGGAAGAUCCAACUUCCUUCCGCUUGUCAUCCAACUUCUCCCUCUUUCCUCAGUUCAUGUAUUACUUGAGGAGGUCGCAGUUUAUUGAUGUCUUCAACAAUAGUCCUGAUGAGACUGCUUUCUUCCGGCUGAUGCUGAAUCGCGAGGGGGUGGUGGGUUCUCUUAUCAUGAUCCAACCCACGCUUUUCCAAUACUCCUUUGAUGGUCCACCCGUUCCAGUCCUCCUAGAUGUCCGCUCCAUCUCUCCAGAUGUUAUCAUGCUCUUUGACUCAUAUUUUCACGUGGUUAUUCAUUACGGGUCCAAAGUUUCUCAGUGGAGGAAGCUUGGGUAUGACAAGGACCCAAACCAUGAGAAUUUGAGGAAGCUGUUGGAAGCCCCGGAAAUUGAUGCAGAGCAGUUGAUGGCUGACCGAGUUCCUGCACCGAAGUUUAUUAAAUGUGACCAGCAUGGUAGCCAGGCAAGGUUUCUUCUUGCAAAGUUGAAUCAAUCUGUUACUCAGAAUUCAACAUACACUGACAGCUCGGAUAUUAUUUUCACUGAUGAUCUGAGCUUGCAAGUAUUUUUAGAUCACUUGCAGGUCCUUGCAGUGCAAGGCUGAUGAAGAGGGCACUGUAUAUAGAUUUUCGAUUUUCUGUCGUCAUACAAAAGCAAGUUUUGUGUAUAGUUUUGAAGAGAAAAAGGCGUACUUUUGAUAAGAGUAUCUGUUAUCAAUACAUGAUCGACAUUAUCGACAAAAUGGCACAUUCAAAUGACUAGAAAUUCUACUGAUAUUUAAACGAAAUGGGCAAUUGAUGCUUGUAUUUCUUCUAGGGUUCUCUCCUUGGUCUCCGGCACCAGCUUUGAGUAGAAGAAAAACGUUCCUGAAAUCGUUUGAACAAUUAUAAGAAUACCGAAAGGGCAGGGAAGAAAGGAAGGAUGCCGAGCUCCAAUCCAUCAUAAAACUGGAGGUGUAUGUUGUAACCCAGGGACAAGACCGGUACACCAAACUUAACAGGAGUGUUUACCGGGAAUAUCUGAAAAGAAACUCAUCGAAUCUUCGUUAUAAAAAUCGAUUUUCUGUUAAGUUUCGGAUAAUAAAUCGGUAGAGAUAUACCUCUGACAUAAUAACCCAUGAUAGUCCUGACAUUGCGAUCAAGUAUGUUGAACCAUAACCCUGAAUGCAGCACCAAUCAGUUCAAAUACUACUCAAAUAACUUCUUACAAGCAUAACGAAAGGGGACGGAAGAUGUGAUCCGCUAUAUUGUACCAGCAUGACGAUGAGGAACUGGAGUGAGUUUCUUCCAAAGGCCAAGGUCCUGCCAUAACGAAAAAAUGUACUUCAAAGCACGACCGUCUAUUUUCACAGCAAACAGCAAAUCAAACAAGAGAAAUAUGAAAGUUUUGCUGGGGAGAAACCCGAAAACAAAAAUGCCAAGCCCACGAGAAACAAACUCAAGCACAUUCCAGCAGCAAAAACCUGCAAACAUUUCACAACUUUGUUGCGGACUUGUUGAUAUUCAACAUCGAAAAGUUAGAUUGUUUGCCGUUCUCACCAUUCCAAGUGGUCGUCGUCCAGAUUUGUCUGUCAAGAAAACACACAAUGCAACAGUAUUAUGUUUAUUAUGUUUCUCACGUCCAGAUUUAUUAUGUUUAUAUUUAUGUUUAUUAUCUUAUCCAACACAAUAAUCCAACAAGACGCAUUUUCAGCAUUUUUUUGUUAAUUCCAAAAGAGAAAAGAUCCACGUUUCUAUGUACGUAUUAAAUUUCUUAAUUAUUAUCUCAUUUUUCUUUUAAUUUGAGAAGGAAAAGAAUCCUUAGACUUAAAUUUCUUAACUUGUUUGGCUAUUUGCUUCACCGAUAUGUGUAAUGUUACAAGGAUUCUUCCAAGUACUUGAGUGCAGCAGUAAAACAUAACCAUCUUAUACAUUAAUCUGCUAAAUUUCCAACUCAAAAGACAUGGACAAGUCCUCGUAAAAACUGGCUUUUUGGUUGCACUCAUGGUUAUUGCAUCUGGUAAAAUAUUAUAUCUCAUGAUCCUCUCAUUAUUUAUUUGGGAAUGCAUACAUUUGUUAAAAAAAUAAAUUACAAAUAAAUAAACUGUUUGGCAUGCAGGUCUGGAGCUAUGUGCUGAAGCAAGGAACGUACAGGAUCCUUACUGCAAAUCAAAUCAAGUCUGCUUAAAUUGGUGACAAAUGUGCAGAACUUGCCGGUGCUUGAAAAUGUUUUUGCUUCGAAUCCGAGUCCAAGCAGCUGAUCCCAAUUUCUUUAAUUAUGGCCGGGAACUGAAAGUUCGGACGACAUGUGUUGUCUUCUAAUUCUUUUGCCGGAUCUAAGACUUGAUUUUUAAUCCACUUUGUGAAGACAACAAUGAUUGUCUUCGAGGAUUUCAUUGACAGUAAGAGACGCCUAGUCGUAUGUCAUAGAAAGUUAAAGGUUACACUAUAAAAUCAAAUGACAAUAUGGAGAGUAGAUCAACCUCUUAUAAGUCUUGCAUUGUUUGGUCUCUCAUAGAUGUGAGACUUUUGUCUUCACAUUAUCACGUCCCCUCACGUUUGCUUUUAAUUUUUACUCUAUAUUAGAUGACUUCCUCCUUUCCUUCCAAUACUAGAAUAUCGAUUUUUGUUUAGAAUACCUAGUUAGACCUUCUUCAAUCAUGCUCUUUUUUUUAUAACAAAGUGUUAGCUAAAACUAUCAAAAAGUGAGCUCUUUAAAAAGUUUUUACUCUAACCCUGCUUCCGACUUUAGAGAGUUAUAAUGACUACGAGUCAAUAAUUAAUCAAUGUGUUAAAUAAUUACUUAUUUAAAAUAAAAUUAAAAUGUUAGCAUUAAUUAUAAAUAGUCACUAUAGAGAAGAAAAAUAACUACAUACACAAUAUAUAACAUGAUAGGAGUGAUAAAUUAUAAGCAUCUUUUAUUAUAAAAAAAAAUAGAUUUUUCAGUCAAAAUGAUUUUGAAGAUUAGCAUAAAUUAUCACUUUGGUCAUUCGUGAAAAAUUAUGUGAAUUAAGGACCAAAAAGGAAAAAAAUACCCUCAGUUUAACAAACAAUGAGCCAAAAUGAUUUGAUAAAAAUAUAGACUAUUUUGUCAUUUUAUCCAUAUUUAAUUUUCACAGAUAGAUUAAAAUGAUUGGUGAUAGACAAACUCAAAGACCACUUUUAUCAAUUUCAAAUGUUAGAGACCAAAGUGAGAAAUUAUAAACAUCUUUUUAUUACAAAAAAUAAAAAUUACAUGAAAAAUACAUAUGGAAAUCAAUUGAAUGCAUAAAUCAAAUGGAGUUUUAACAAAACACUUACAGUACUGUUCACUUUUAACGAAAAACAACAUUUUUACAUUUUCUUGGUACUAUUCACUACACCUUUAUUUGUCCUUUUUUAUUAAAAUUAAAUUUUUUUUGGACUUUUCAUUAGUUUUUCUUAAAUCAAACUAGCAGAUGAGCACACACUUUGUUUGUAUGAACAAUUUCAUUUUAUUUUUUGUUUUUUAUUAAGGAGUGUGAUUAGUUUUUAAAAUUUUAAUAAGAGUAUGAAAUAAUGCUGAUGUGACAAUUUCUCUUAAUAAGUGCAUAUUUUUUCUUAAUAUUAUAUAAUUAAUGUUUUGUCUUCCUUAUCUAAAUAUUGUGUAUCAAAAGUGAGGGUAAAAUAGGAAAAAUAAGAAUAUGAUUGUCAACAACAACAACAACAACAACAAAGUCUUUUCCCACUAAGUGAGGUCGGCUAUAUGAAUCCUAGAACGUCAUUGCGCUCGGUUUUGUGUCAUGUCCUCCGUUAGAUCCAAGUACUCUAAGUCUUUUCUUAGGGUCUCUUCCAAAGUUUUCCUAGGUCUUCCUCUACACCUUCAGCCCUGAACCUCUAUCCUGUAGUCACAUCUUCGAACUGGAGCGUCAGUAGGCCUUCUUUGCACAUGUCCAAACCACCGUAACCGAUUUUCUCUCAUCUUUCCUUCAAUUUCGGCUACUCCUACUUUACCUCGGAUAUCCUCAUUCCUAAUCUUAUCCUUUCUCGUGCGCCCACACAUCCAACGAAGCAUCCUCAUCUCCGCUACACCCAUUUUGUGUAUGUGUUGAUACUUCACUGCCCAACAUUUUGUGUCAUACAGCAUCGCCGGCCUAUAAAAUUUUCCCUUGAGUUUCAGUGAUAUACGGCGGUCACACAAAAGGGUAAAAUAGGAAAAAUAGGGAUAUGGUUGUCAUUUUGUCAAAAUAUAAAAAAUUACUAUUUUGUCCUCCUCAUUUCAACUUUGUGUAUCAAAAAAUGAGGGUCAAAAUUGAAAAAAAAAUGGGGGCAAAAAGUUGACAAAUUCUCUUCUCUUAAUAGAAUAGAUGAGGGAUAUUGUGAGUGACCAUGGCAAGUGUUUAAUACAUAAGUCGAUUUGUCACCCUACGUUGCAUCCUAAUUAGCAUAUCCUGAAAAAAAAAACGUAAUUAAAGAGAAUGACAAGUGUUUACUAUAAAAGCUGAGACGGACAAGACAUUGUUCAUGCAUCGGAAAUUUUAACGAAAAGUUCCCGGUAUUGUUCACUUUAACAAAAAAUCAUAUUUUUAUACUAAAAAAUCAAUCAUGGUACUAUUCACUUUACCCUUUAUUUUUUCCUUAUCGUUAAAACUCAAAGUUUUCAAGUAUUUUUCAGUAGUUUUCCUUAUAUCUGUAUUGAUGCAUGCUUCACCGUAUAAAUAUACGCUACAGGGUUUAGGGUUCCAAGUGCUUCAGUGCAGCAGCAAACACCACAGUUAUCUUUAGACAUUCCUGCUACCUAAUUGCAAAGUCAAAAAGAUAAGGACAAGUCUUCAUCCAAAAUGGCUUUUUUGGUGAUUGUGCUCAUGGUUUUGCAUCUGAUAAAUUAUAAUUUUUCUCGAAAAUUUUAUUAUUCUUCAGAGUAUAUCUUUUAUACUAUGAAGUUAUUGGUCAAUAGAUCUUGAUUAUUGCAUUUUUGACUAAGCGUCUAACAGUCGAAAACCCUAUAGCAUAUAUAAGAUACCAUGCACAAAUGAAAAAGCCUACUAGAUAAUCCCUAGUAUUUAAUUUGGAACAGCACUGUAAACAUUCUAUUUGUUAACAGUAAAUAAAUUGUUGGCAGGUCUGCAGCAAUAUGCUGAAGCAAAUUAAGUUCUUACCCUAUUGCAAUAAUGAUUAAUGAUCAUGACUGCAUGCUUAUUUUCCCUAAAUGCAAAUAAUGCCAGUGCACACCGGAGACGCAGUGUCGCCGCGUCCACCCCAGCUCUAAUAAGCCAAUUCUUUUUGGGGUUUAGGCUAGAACUGAAAUUUCAGACAUAUGUUGCUCUUGUUCAAUAAAACUGUUAACCCUUAUCAAUAAAACUGUUGUUGUUUGUUGCCCUAACCAUGGUCAAGAUUUGACCCUUUCUCUUAUUAAUUUGUUUAGAAUGUAUUCUUCUAAAACAAAAAUUAAAACUGAAGGCUUUUGAAACAUUUCUCUAAGUUGUUUUGUUUGUAAAUAUAUUGACACUAAGAGAGGAUGGAAGUUUGGGCUAAAUUAUACAAUGGGAUAUCCAUAAUAAUUUGAUUUGAAUUUGUCUUUGACGAGAAUCGGAUCUAAAACAUGUCACUUAUAAGAAAGAAGUCAUUAGACUGAUGUACUGAGUAGCGAAACAUUUCUCUAAGUAAAAAGCAUCUGAUUCAUGAAUAAAUUAAACAAUUUCUUACUACCGUCACAAUGGUAUGACAGCAUAUCAAGCCAAUCACAUACUACUACAAUACCAUUCUGGUUGAGAAAGUCCUAUUACAAAUGGAUGUAUAAAAUAAAAUGUACAUUCUUGGUCAGCCGGGUUUGAUUUGUAAACACACACUAUUGAAGCUCAUUCAUCUCUCUGCAUCAUCAUAUUAUGCUACAAAAGCAAUGGACGAUCGGGGAUGGUUGGAAUUGGGAUAUCAUUUUCCAGAAUUUUUACAAUCUGGUCCAUUGAUGGCCUAGCAUAUGCAACUGGAUGAGAAGCAAGCACAGCAACCAAAGCAUACUUCUCCAUUACUUCCGGCGGGCCUAAUUCCGGCAUGCAUUCAUCAAUGACAUCCAAAACUCUGCCUUCCCUGACUUGUGACCAUGCCCAAUCUGACAACAACAAAGGCCUAUUCUCGUCGUUGAAUUCUAUAACUGCUUUUUUCCCACUUAAAAGCUCAAGCAGUACAACCCCGAAACUGUACACAUCGAUCUUUUGAGAUAUUUGGCCAUACAAAGCAUACUCAGGAGCAACAUAACCUAGCGUGCCGGCAACCCUAGUGCUCACAUGUGUCUGCCCCUCUGGUGUGAACUUUGCAAGGCCAAAAUCUGCCAGUUUAGCUUCAAAUGCUUCAUCUAAAAGCACGUUGCUCGCUUUGAUGUCACCAUGAAUGAUAGCAGGCUGUACGCCGUGGUGUAAAUAAGCCAACCCACGAGCCACUCCAAGCGCAAUCUUUUGGCGAAUUGACCAGCUAAGCUUCUUGAAUUUCGGUUGGAACAGAUGGUCAUAGAGGCUUCCAUUUCGCACCAAUUCACAAGCUAGAAUUCUCCGGUGGCCUCCUUUAUACACGGUCGCAAUACAAUAGCCUCUCAAGGACACAAGAUUCACAUGCCUUACGCUUGCGAUCACCUCCACUUCGUGUGUGAAAACUUGGUCUCCGGCUGCAGAGCAGUUCUUGAACCUUUUCAAUGCAACUUCAGAGCCAUCUUGCUGUUGUGCGGAAGCGGCAUUCGAUUGUAAGUGAAUAGUAAAACAGAACAGAAUAAAACCACUAUCAACAAGAACACCAAGAUUUAUACUGGUUCGGCAAUGCCUACAUCCAGUUUGGAGACAACGGAGUAUUCCACUAUAAUCAAUGAGAACAUACAAUAGUGUUUAUCACUCAAUUUCCCAAAGACCCAAAUAACCCAAGCUCUCACACUUACAAUAGGAAGAGAAAACCAAAAAUACAAAGCAAGACAAUUUGAGAAAAUUCUUCUCUAUGCCGAAUGGCUUCUUGCUAUUUUUCUCUCUUUCUUGUUCUCCUCUACUUCUCCAUGCUUAUGAGCUGCACCUUGCUCUCCUUUUAUAGCCAAAGAAAAGCUUCUCAAAGACAUCAAUGGCCAAAGGCCUAACAUCAAGUCAAAAAGAAUUAGGCAUAAGUGAAUCCAAUUUUGGUUUCCCACAUGUAGCAUGCCAUCCAACAAUUUUGACCACAAAAGUAGCCCAAAGAUUUGGACUUUGACUACAUGUUUGAGUCAAUAAUCAACAAUCUCCACCUUGACUCAAACCCUCUAAGUAGAACUCCAAAUAGUCGUCUCCCAAUCCCCCAUGGGGCAAUCAACAAAUUUUACAAAUGCCAAUCAAGUCUAAGCAGUGCUUAAACUUGUGCAAUGAAACUGGCUUUGUUAACAUAUCCGCAGGAUUGUCAGCGGUCCCAAUCUUCUGAAGAAGAAUAUCUCCCUCGUCAAUAAUCUCACGAACAAAAUGGAACCUCACGUCAAUGUGUUUCGUACGUGCAUGAUGAACUUGAUUCUUUGCUAAAUGAAUAGCACUCUGACUAUCGCAAUGAACAUCCACAUGGUCUUGUUGAACCCCUAAGUCAUCAAGCAACCCUUGAAGCCAGAUGGCUUCCUUUAUAGCUUCUGUCACAGCCAUGUAUUUUGCCUCAGUAGUCGACAAAGCAACUGUAGAUCGCAGAAUCGACCUCCAACUUACUGGACCUCCAGCAAUAGUGAAUACAAAACCAGUAGUGGACCUACGCUUGUCCAAAUCACCUGCGUAAUCAGAAUCCAUAUAUCCAACAACACAUUUACCAGUAACUUUAUCCUGCUGGAACAAUAAACCAACAUCCACAGUACCCAGAAUAUACCGUAGAAUCCAUUUCACAGCUUGCCAAUGCCCUUUUCCUGGAUUAUGCAUAUAUCUACUGACAAUACUAACAGCUUGUGAAAUAUCAGGGCUAGUACACACCAUAGCAUACAUCAAACUACCAACAACAUUUGCAUAAGGAAUUUGAGCCAUGUACUGACUCUCUUCAACAGUUUUAGGAGACAUAGAAGCGCUAAGUUUGAAAUGAGAGGCAAGAGGUGUACUAACCGGUUUUGAAUUUUCAUUCAUCCUGAAACGUUGUAGUACCUUCUUCAAAUACUGCUUUUGACACAGACUAAUCUUGCCCUUCGCUCUAUCUCUUUCAAUUUCCAUACCUAGUAUCUUCCGAGCUUCUCCCAAGUCCUUCAUCUCAAAUUCAUUACUUAGUUGAGUCUUCAACCUUUCAAUCUCCACUUUGCUCUUACAUGCUAUAAGCAUAUUCAACAUAUAAAAGCAGAUAAAUGAAGGUUCCAUCUUGUAGUUUGCGAAAGUAUACACAAUGGUCAUAGUGACUUCUUGUGUACUUUUGCCCGAUCAUAAAUCGAUCAAAUCGCUUGUACCAUUGUCUUGGAGACUGCUUCAAGCCAUACAAUGAUUUUUCCAAUUUGCAAACCCAAUUUUCCUUUCCAGCAACCUUAAAACCUUCUGGUUGAGACAUAUAAAUCUCUUCCUCCAAAUCACCAUGUAAGAACGCAGUCUUGACAUCAAGUUGGGCCAACUCAAGAUCAAACUGCACAACCAAAGCCAACAGAAUACGAAUAGAAGAAUGUUUUACUACAGGAGAAAAUACCUCAUUGUAGUCAAUGCCUUCCUUCUGAGCGUAGCCUUUAGCUACCAAUCUGGCUUUGAAUCUUACAUUGUCUUUUCCCAAAGAUUCCAUCUUUUUGGCAUACACCCAUUUACAACCAAUUGCUUUCUUCCCCUUUGGUAACUGAACCAGCUUCCAAGUCUCAUUUUUUAUGAAGAGAUUUCAUCUCCUCAUCCAUAGAUUUCUUCCACAACUCGCACUCUGAACUCAUGACAGCUUCUUUGUAGGCGGAUGGAAUAUCAUCUUCAAUAACGGGAAGUGCAUAUGCCACAAUAUCAGUAAAUCGAGCAGGCUUUCGGAUUUCCCUUCUCGAUCUUCUGGUUGCAAUAUAGUCUUGUUGCUGUGGAGGCUCUUGGGUAGGUGCCUCCUCUUCAUCAUCCUCGUCCUCAUCAUCAGAAUUAACUGUAGGACUAGUGUUUGAAACAUCAGACCUUACUGGAACAACUGGAGUCUUCAGUAACUCCACCUGCUUUGAGCUCCUCAUGGUUUUGGUCGCUUCAGUUUCGCCUUCAUGCUUGUUCUUAUUAACCAUAGCAGCCUCAUCAAAAGUCACAUCUCUGCUUACAACAAAUUUCUUCUCAUCUGGACACCAAAGUCGGUAUCCCUUCACGCCAGUGCUAAAGCCCAUAAAUAGAGCUUUCUUUGCUCUUGGAUCCAACUUGCCUUCUCUGACAUGAUAGUAAGCAGGACAACCAAAUAUGUGUAAAAACUUGUAAUCAGUACAAGGUUUACCAGACCAUACUUCCAUGGGGGUUUUGCCCUCGUUCACAACAGCUGGCAAUCGAUUAAUGAGAUGGCUUGCAUAAGUAAUUGCCUCAGCCCAAAAUGCCUUGCCUAAUCCAUCAUUAGACAACAUACACCGAACUUUCUCAAGCAAAGUACGGUUCAUGCGCUCCGCCACCCCAUUCUGUUGCGGUGUCUCCCUAACCGUGAAGUGCCUCACAAUACCCUCAUCUUGACAAACUUUCAAGAAAUGAUCAGACUUAUAUUCACCUCCAUUGUCUGAUCUGAGAGUCUUGAUCUUUCGACCGCUUUGCGUUUCAAUCAUCUUUUUCCACUUCAGGAAUAUCUUCAAGACUUCAUCUUUACACUUCAUGGUGUACACCCAUAUUCUUCUAGAGAAGUCAUCAACAAAGGAGACAAAAUAAUGGCUACCUCCCCAAGAUGUAUUCUUGGAAGGUCCCCAAACAUCAGUGUGAACAUAAUCAAGAAUGCCUUUAGUGUGGUGAAUAGCAGUGCCAAAUUUUACUCUAGUUUGCUUACCCAACACACAAUGCUCACAGAAUUCCAAUUUGCAUGCCUUUGCACCUUUCAAUAAGCCUUGCUUCACCAAUCCUUGCAACGCUUUUUCACCAGCAUGCCCAAGACGCAUAUGCCAUAACCUCGUGGUGUCUGUGCUAUCUGCGUCAGCAGCUUCGGUGACAGCUGCUCUACCAAUAAUUGUACUCCCCUGCAAGAAAUACAAGUUAUUUCGUCUUGUACCUUUCAUCACCACCAGUGCCCCGUACACAGCUUUAAGAACUCCACCCUCCAUGGUGAUCUUGAGACCCUUGGAUUCCAAUGCACCCAGUGAAAUGAGAUUUUUCUUCAUAUCCGGUACAUACCGAACAUCACUUAAUUCUCUGACUGUUCUAUCAUGCAUCUUCAAACAGAUUUUGCCUAUCCCUUGUGUUUUGCAGGCAUUAUUAUUACCCAUCAAAACAACUCCACCAUCCAGCUCCUCGAAAUUAGAAAACCAUUCCCGAAUGGGACACAUAUGAUAGGUGCAACCUGAAUCCAAAAUCCACUCAUUGGAGUGACCAUCAGCAUAUGAACUAGCCAAAGCAAACUCGAAAUCAUCAUCUCCAGAUUUUGCAAUAUUUGCUUCAGAACCCGCUUUCUCCUUCUCUUUGUUCUUCAAUUUGGGGCAGUCUUUCUUCCAAUGACCCUUUUGGCGACAAAAAGCACAUUCAUCUUUAGCAGGAAACUUCCCUCGUGACUUUGAACGAGAUUUUCCCCGCUUCCCAGAUUUUCUUUCCUCUGUUCGACCCCUUGCAACAAAUGUCUCGGUUUGUGAAUUGUGAGUCUUCAGUUCCUUCUUACGACACUCAUGAUUCACCAAAGCCGCAGACACCUCAUCAAGUUUCACCUCGGAUUUUCCAUACAACAGAGUAGUUGUCAAAUGAUCAUAAUCAUCAGGCAAUGAAUUUAACAAACAUAGUGCCUUGUCCUCGUCAGGAAUUUUCACAUUAAGGUUUGCUAAAUCAGCAAGUAUUUUAUUAUAAUCAUUGAGGUGUUCGUGCAUAGAGAUACCUGGACGAUACUGAAAUCGGAAGAGUCGCUUCUUCAAAAAGAGACUAUUUUCUGCACUCUUGGUCAUAUACUUCUCCUCCAAUUUCGUCCAUAACUCCUUAGCAGAAGUUUCCUUCAUAUACGGGUAUUUCAGCUCUUUAUCAAGGAAUGAUCGAAUAGCAGCACAAGCAUGAAGAUUAAUUCGCGUCCACUGCUUGUCAUCAAUAUCUUCUGGUUUAUCUUCCAGAACCAUAUCCAACUCUUGUUGAUACAACACAUCCAUAACUUCACAUUGCCACAUACCAAAAUUAUUAGAGCCAUUGAAUUUAUCAACCUCUAACCUUGUAGUAGUAGAUGGAUGUCUAUUGGAUGUAGACGAAGACGAUGCUGACCCCCUCUUUACAGAUUCAUCUUUAUCUCCAGCCAUCUACUCGACACUAUUCACAAAUACGGCACUGUUCACAGAUACUGUAGCAGUUCACUGUUCACGGAACUGUAGCGCCAACACUAUUCACGGAACUGGGCUCUGGUACCACUUGUUGUGCGGAAGCGGCAUUCGAUUGUAAGUGAAUAGUAAAACAGAACAGAAUAAAACCACUAUCAACAAGAACACCAAGAUUUAUACUGGUUCGGCAAUGCCUACAUCCAGUUUGGAGACAACGGAGUAUUCCACUAUAAUCAAUGAGAACAUACAAUAGUGUUUAUCACUCAAUUUCCCAAAGACCCAAAUAACCCAAGCUCUCACACUUACAAUAGGAAGAGAAAACCAAAAAUACAAAGCAAGACAAUUUGAGAAAAUUCUUCUCUAUGCCGAAUGACUUCUUGCUAUUUUUCUCUCUUCCUUGUUCUCCUCUACUUCUCCAUGCUUAUGAGCUGCACCUUGCUCUCCUUUUAUAGCCAAAGAAAAACUUCUCAAAGACAUCAAUGGCCAAAGGCCUAACAUCAAGUCAAAAAGAAUUAGGCAUAAGUGCAUCCAAUUUUGGUUUCCCACAUGUAGCAUGCCAUCCAACAAUUUUGACCACAAAAGUAGCCCAAAGAUUUGGACUUUGACUACAUGUUUGAGUCAAUAAUCAACACUUGCAACAUCCCCUUGUAAACAUUCCCAUAUCCUCCCAUACCAAUUAUGUUCUCCCUUGCGAAAUUCCUCGUAGCCCUUUGUAUUUCCUCGAAGCUGAACUUUAUUGAAGAAGUACUAAUUCGACCACUAAUCUCCAUCUCCCCACUCGAAACUUCUUCAAUUUGAGCCAAAUUUUCCUUGUUCUUCCUCUUCCAUUUCUUGUUCCAUAUCCAAAGAAACCAAACCACAACCAAUGUCCCUAUAAAUCCAUAAAAAGAACCUGUCACAAGCCCCCACAUCACCGGCUUGGGAUCUCCGGACUUUUUAUUAGACGGUGAGAAAUCAAGCAGAAACAAACACUUGGCAGUCCCCAUAUCUGUUGGUCCAAACCUGUUGGAAAAUGCCGCAGCAUAUAUAAACGGGUAGCCAUUGCAAUCAGAAACAUUGCCAUCAUUUGAGACUCUGAAAUAAGAUGUGCGAACUCUUGACAAGCGAUCCACGCAGGAAUUACAACCAGAAUUCUUCUUCAAAGACUGAUCACAAGAGCCCUUCAUUUGUUGCAACUCAUCUCCAGAAACUAAGGUUUCAAAAUCAGACUUUGUUGUGAUGUUCUUACAAGUUUGUGACAUGAAAUUGGUCUUCAAGCCACAUUUGGACUUAAUAUCAAACCUGGGAAUGAAUCGAUCAACUAGAUUCACAUACGAAACCCAGCAGGCAUCCAGAACAUCUGGAGACAAUGAAAACAAUCCGGUGGUUCGAAGAUAGUCUGAUCGAAGGAGACGGAUUCCUUGUAGCACGUACUGGCACUUGGUAGCAAUAUCUAGCAAGGGCAAUGGAAUAUCGUUUUGGGUGAUGAGUUUUUGGAUAAGAUCGAUGUUCAAUGGGCAUGGAGAAUUAGCUGCACUACCCAAUUUUCUAUGGAAAUUUUCAUGGGAAAUUGCUUUAGAAUUGGUGAGGGGUAAGACCAAUCCAAGGAGGAGAAGAAAUUGAGAGAUCAAUAGGGUUUUCAUUGAUAUUUGCAGACUGCAUCAUAAAUUUUGUUUUAUUUUGGAAUGGAAUGGGAAGUUUGACUUCAUUCUUUGGGAGCUCACAAAUGCCUUGAAGCCUUGUAGGUGGAAUAGAAGUUUGGCAGUUACUGUUGGAGGGAAGCAAUUUAAAUUGACUUGGGGAUGUGUUCCUAACUUCUAACUGAAUUUUAAAUUUGCGGGUCUUGGGUGUGUACACUCACACCUAUAGCUUCUCUCCUAUAUACUAUAUAGAGUUGAUCGGAAGAAUAUUUUUACACUUUUUCUAUAAUUAACGGGAAAAAAAGUACAUUUAGAUAAUUGACCGAGUACAUUUGUUUAGUCUGACAUGUAUAAGGUUUUAUCAUAAAAGAUCCCGAUAUUAGUAAAAGUGGAGUUGAAACUCUUUUUUUUCUAUGUCUUAACCGAUGUGGGAUAUUUUAACAAUUACCACUGAUUUAAGAGCUAUCUGAGAAUAUUUAGAACUUCAUUGUUCUAGAAAGUAAGACUUGGUCUAACAGUCAAAACAAACAAAUAAAUGAAUAGUUGGCAGAAGAGGCCUGGUACUGAUAGGCCUUAGGUUUAUCCUAAUGUUUCUUGGUUGGAUUAGGGAUGUCCUAUUCUAAUUAGCAGAUUCAGUUGUCCUAAUACAAAGGAAUCAAUACUUUUGCUAUCAAACCUAACAAAAUAUGCUGUGUAUUUUUUAAAUCUCUUCCAACUGUUGAAAAAUAUGAUUAUAGAUAUAAUUAAAGGAAAACUAAUGAAAAUAACUUUAAAUCUUUAUAUUUUAACAAAAAAACCAUACAUUAGAUUUUAUUUAAUGAUAAAGACAAAAAUAAAUAAAGAACUUAAAAAAACCCAGGUCAUCGUCAAUGAUGUUUAUGGUAUUCUUCAUUGCGAUACAGAAUGCAUGACCAACUAGAAAGGUUUCUGCAUCUUUCCUUUUAGUCUCAUGCUUGGGAAGUGAAGAGAUGAAAGAAAGAGUAUACAUGUAUUCCCCCCCUCCCCCCCCUCGGCGGCUCUUUGUGAUGUCUCUUGCCUUUCCCCCCUUCCCCCCUCUCUGUAACUCCCUCCCUUCCCUCCCCCCCCCACCCCAUAAUUCCAACCCUCUUCCGUAAACCCCAUCUCAAUCCCCUCUCCCACACUUCAUCGUCAACUCCAUCCACAAAAAGCAUCAUCCUCUCUGUCUCCUCGCCUCCCUCCACGACAAAGCCUAGCAAACCUAUACCCUAAUUGUAAUUGCCUACAAAUCAAACCCAGUUUCCUCCGUGCCUCAUUUUGUGGAAAGCCAUAGCUUGAUGGAACGAGGUUGCAUAAGGGAAGGUUUGCCAAUAAUAGAAGGGAACAAUAUCAAAUCAAAUCAAGUCCAUUAACUGCCUUUUUCAAUACAAAGUGAAUUGUUUGAGAAAAUUGCAAAUUCUAAUUAAUCCAUGGUAUUGCAGGUUUUAGAUGGUUGCUAACUCUGACUGUAUUUUUAUAAACAGUGUAGUAAGUUUCAUAAACAGUAUCGUAAGUUUUCAUAAACAGUGUAGUAAGUUUCAUAAAUUGUAUCGUAAGUUUCAUAAACAAUGUAGAAAGUUUCAUAAAUAGUUUGUGCGCAUGUCAGAUUUUUUUUUAAUAUUAAAAUUAUGUCUUUUUCAUUAAAAUUUAAGCUCUUUUGUCCUUUUGAUUAAAAUUUAAGGGUUUUUCAUUAAAUUUUAAGUCUUUUUAAUUAAAUAAAAUUAUAGCAUGGUUUUUUAUUAAAAUAAACUUUGUCCAAGCCCUUUUCAUGAAAGUUCCCUAUAAUUAAGGAGCUUAAAUCCAGAGUUAACGACACACAUAUAUUAAUCCGGAAGAAAUAAGAAAUUAUGAAUGACCAUGUCAGCGCUUGAAAGUAUUAUUUUAGCAUAAUUACAUUAAUUCUUUGUUCAGUUAAGUUUCCGACAUCUCUCCCCGCGGCUAGAGACAAGCAAGAGGAAAAACAAAAAAAACAAAACUUGCUGCCGACCUUUGCUUUUUGCAUUUGAGUCAGCGACAAUCUUUCUUUUAUCUCUUUGUUAUCUCCUCUUUGUUUAUAUUUGUAGUCACUCUCUUGUUCUACUGAGGAGAGCCUUCAAUUUGUGGUUAUGGUUGCUCUCUCGCUUUGUCGAUGAGAGAUUUUGUGAUUGUAGCCAUGAUCGUGGCUUGUUCAAUCUCGUUCAAAUAUGCGGUGGUGGUGUUUGUGGCUUGUGCGCUCAACAAAUGACUAUGAGAAGGAAACUUAACGUUUGUCAGAAGGAACUCAUAACAGGUCUUCUCUACUAACGAUUGCAAAAUCAUUGAUUGGUGUGAUCUUUUCCUCAUGGAGCCUCUACAUUAUUUCUCGGGCUUGCAAUGUUUUGGUCCUCGUGACUACUGGGGUUUAGGACUAAGGUCCAUGAUAGAAGAAUCAUUUUUUAUGUUGAGUGUUUAUAAUAGUAGGGUUGUGAUAUAUUUUUUUUUAUUUGUUCUAACUUUUGAGUUGUUCUAAGAGGCAUGCCUGUCAUAUGUAUAUUUUUUACUAUUUUAAUGAAUUUUUUUCCAAAACAAAGUUUUCAUUUGACAUGAUCAAGUCAAUACACAUGUAUUACACCACCAAAAUGUGAGUGUAACCAACAAAAUGUGAGGUAUAAAAAUUGGCCAUCAUUGCUCCAUAUUGUGACCCAAAAUGCAUGAUUUAAUUUGUACUUUUGUUACCAAGUAUUGACAAUAAGGUUAGGGACAUACCGAUCAAAGAAAGAAUUUUAAGGAACAAAUAAGAAAUGGGAGUUCUAAUGGAAUUAUUCAAAAAAUCAUUGUUCUACAUUGUAACAAGUUCAAGAAUUAAUACUCAAGAAUUUUUAGUUAAAAAAUCAAUCAAUACUCAAUUUGUCUCUAAACUGGUGAAGAACUCAAAAUGUACAUGUCCAUUUAGAAAAAAAAAAAAAAAAAACAAAGGUUUGAUUUGAUCCCCAUUUGGAGCCAUGGAUAAUGGAACUUCCCUUUGAGAAUGAGUAAGUCUCUUAGUUACUUUGGUCUUGUCCAAAAUCUUGUUUUAAAUCCUAAACCCUAAAGAUCUCACCCCAUAUACUCCACAGUUUUCCUCAUACGUUGGCCCAACUUUUAUCAAUCAUAUCCGUUUUAAAUUGUGGUCUAAAAUAGUUAAGAGUGGAAAAAUAGGAAAAUUUGCACUCACUUUUUUUUUACAAGAAGGGGGGCAACUGGUGGCAUUUGCACCCACCUCUUGGAGUGCACGACCUUAUCCACUCCACCUCUUGUGAUUGCUGUAUUUUACCGUACAAACAAUUCAAAUUAUUAAUUUAUAUAGUGAAAAUACAUUAAUCAUAAAUUUGUGGACAAACUGUUAUGGAAUGAAUGUAAGUAUUGUCCAAAAAAAAAAUAUAUAUAUAUAUAUGUAUACGCAUACAAAUGAUAUUAUGAUAGUAUCAUGUGUAAAUAGAUCACAUUAUUUGAUCGUACAAACGCCAUUAUUUGACCUACUCAUUCAUUUUGCUCAUUCAGAUGCCAAAACGAAUCAAGAAGACUACAAAGUUUACUCUUUCAGAGUGAGAAUCCGCACUAAUGUUUUCACUAUCACCUUCCUGCACUCGGCUUCCAUCUCUUUCUUUUUUUAAGCAAUGAGAAAUUAAAUUCAUUAAAAGCCAAACAGCCAAGCAGACAACAGAAACAUAUAGAAAGUGAUGCUACGAUACACAGCAAGCUCGCGGGCGAGAAUUGCAGUCUUGAAAAUAGCUUGACUACCAUUUACGACAUGUAAAGAACAACCAUUCAAAACUGCUGACAGAUGUCUGCAUUCUAAUGGCUUAUAACUGCAUAUGGUUAAGGAGCUGUAGCUUUAGAGCUAAGCAAGCUCUGUAUUUUGUAUAAAUCGAUCUCUCUCUCUCUCAUUUUCUUGUAACUUUGGUCACUUUCUCAGAAGAUUAUACGAGUUUCAUUGUUCUCUAAAACUUCAGUUCUUAUAUUUUCUGCAAACUCCUUCGCAUCUCAUUUUCUUUUCUAUCUAAGACAACAGAAAUAAAGGGUGAAACAAAGUUCACAGGGAGAGAAAAAGAAAAGGCAAUGAAGAUCAGCCGAGACGAUGGCUGGUACCACUGCUUCUGCUGGUGAAUCACCAAAUCCAAAUCGAAGAAGGUAAAGAAGAAAAAAGAAGCUUCACCAAAAAGCAGCAGAAUCUGACGAAGGAGCAAAGCCGGAAAGGCGGUGCAUGUGGUUCUUAUCGAUGUCGCUGUACUCAUCGUCGUAUUCGCGUGCCAACCUCAAUGAGGUGCUCUUAGUCAUAUUCCUAAUGGCAAUAUUUUCGAAUCAUCUAAAGAUACAUACAAUUACAAAGUAGUCUAUAGAUUCGGAUUUCGUUAUGGUUGGUGUAGUACACAUUAUUCGCUUUUUGAUAUACUGUGGUGAGGAAUUUGAGGCUAUGGACCUCAGGUCAAAAUUAGGUCUCAAAAACAUGAUUAAUUCUCUUCAAAACACAUUAGCUCGUUACUUGAAAAUAAGCUGGUAAUCAUGUUCUUGAGACCUGAAGUACAUGGGCCUCAAUUCUUCACCACACUAAAUCAAAAUGCAUUAUAUCGUUACGUAAAAGUUGAAGAGUAUUGUUGCGUGAUGGCUCUUUCUAACCUUUGGAAAAAAAAUCAAUAUUGGUAUUAAAAAGCUUAUGUAUUAACCCCCUUAUUUUACUAAAUAAAAAAAAAAAAAAAAAAAAAAAAAAAGCUUAUGUACUAAAGGACUGUGUGGGCUCAUCAGCAAUCCCCAACCCAAACAGACCACUUCCAUAAGAUUGGAGUCCAUUGCUCAGAUGCCAAUAUCUUGGGGAAGUACUAAGCCAAUCUAUUAAAAUGUAAAAAGCCCACCUCUUUUAUAUAUAAGCCCACCUUCUUUAUAUUGUUUCUACAUUUCAAAUUUGUGAUUCAAACUUGAGGACAUAUGUGACACAUUGUCUUUAUUAUCUAACUUGGCUAGCCUCAAAGCCUAUUCCUAAGAAGAAAAUACUUGGCUCCUUAUGUAAAGAGUGAUUUUUUUUUAUAGACAAAUCAUAAGUUGACGUAUGCAGGGGCGGAUCCACAGUGGGGUCGUCGGGGUCGCACGACCCCUUGGAAACCAUGGAAACAACCUUGAAGCUCCCAUACGCGACCUCUUGGAGCUGGGGUCGUCGGGGUCGUCGGGGUCGGAGUCGCACGCCAAGUGUUCGACAAAAAUCCUGAACGAAGCUCGGCACUGCAGGAAGAGGAAGAAGAAGUUGCGCGCUUCUUUUUUUUCAAAACAUACGGGCAAAACGGCGUCGUUUUGGCCCAGGAAAUUUUUUUAAAUGACCUGGCCAAAACGACGUCGUUUUGGGCCAGGUCUGAACAAAAAACAAAUGCCCAGCGUGUCCUGGGCAGGUCUGAACAAAAAAAAAAUACCCAGUGUGUCCUAUCAGCCCUAUUUUGCACAGAUCCGAAUCCCUUCUUUCUAAAACCCCCAAAUUUCUUUUGUUUUCUCCUCCUCCUCCAACCCUAAUUCAUAUUUAUUUUGAUUAUGUUGGUGGUUGUUUUUAUAUUGUGAGUAUUUAUUUUGAAUAUUUUGUAUAUGUAGAAUAUAUUUAAUUUAAUUGAAAUUCAAUUCAUAUUUAUUUUGAUUAUAUUGAUGAUUUGUUUAUAUUGUGAGUUUUUAUUUUCAUUAUUUUUUAUAUGUAGAAUGCAAGAUGAGAUAUUUAAUUUAAUUGAAAUCCAAUUCAUAUUUAUUUUGAUUAUGUUGAUGGUUUGUUUAUAUUGUGAGUAUUUAUUUUGAAUAUUUUGUAUAUGUAGAAUAUAUUUAAUUUAAUUGAAAUUCAAUUCAUAUUUAUUUUGAUUAUAUUGAUGAUUUGUUUAUAUUGUGAGUUUUUUCAUUUUAACACCAAUUAUUUUGUUAAAAAUUAUUAAAAAAAUUUAGUAUUGUUCAAUGCACAGAUUAAUUCGACACUGCACCAAACGCCCGACUAAUGUAGUUAGUACUAUCCGACGACUAUUUAUCCUAUUCGACUGAAAUAGUCAGUACAGUCCGAAGUACCAAACGAGGCUAAAAAAAAUUUCGCGCUGCGCGCGCUAUGACCCCACAAACGUUAUUUCCUGGAUCCGCCACUGGACGUAUGUGCAUAAACUUUUACUUUUGGAGUUUUAGCAAGUUACUUUUGUAUAUAUGUACGGUUAAAAAUGAAUAUCUCAUGACAUCUAAGAAGUUAAGUAGUGCCCCCUCUAAAAUUCAUUUGUCAUGUUUUCAAAUUUACCUUUUUCUUUUCCAUAUUGUCAAUAAGUUUUCGUCACUUCAGCUUUUCAACUUUACUCUAUAGUACAAUAGGAUGUGCUAGGAUUCAAUCGUGUGUCGCGUUCUCACUUGCAACUGAUGCUAGCAUAGCUAGUAGUCUAUCACCAAGCGGAAGUACUAGAAUCCUCCAUAUGGAUGCACAAGUAAGAGAGGCUCACGAUACCAUCUUUACAGAAAAACUAGAGAGAUAUCGAGAAUGAAAGAAAGUAUUUUAGAGGGAGAAACAAAGAAAGAAUAUACUUUGUUAUUUCAUUAACUGAGAAAUAAAUGGUACAAAUACAGUAUUUAUAGUUUGUGAGUUGCUUACAGAUUAAGCUAUACUUCACUAAUUAAACAUUCAGCUGACAAAUCAAAAUUUUUGUCAGGAAAUGACUCAUCUUCCAACAAUAAAUUUGUUUUGUCAGCUUAGAAUUAGUCGGCAAAAUAACAUUUUUUAGCAGUGAACAAAUUUAAUGUGUAUAGUUUGAAAGUCUACAUCUCCAUGGCCAAAAGCAUAAAUCCAUCAUUCAUGAAAGUCUACAUCUCCAUGGCCAAAAGCAUAAAUCCAUCAUUCAUAAAGAACCACGACUCAAGACAACGCACAUCAGCCAACCGGCAUAUAUCGGGUCCAUUUCUUAAUUUGAUUUCACUACUCAAACACCAUUCCUAACAGAUACACACCGACACUUCAAGGCCAUGCAAUUUUAGCCUCAUUUCAUUGUCACUAAUAAAUAAUUAAUAUGCAAUUAUGCAUUGGUAAUAGGAGUGUACACUUUACGUCAACAAUGAGAGCAACUUAUAUUACGUUCAUAAAAUUGAUCACAUUACUAUAGCGUUUCGAACGCAAAUUUUUGGUCAACUCGUUAACAAUUUAGUUUAUUAUCGGGUCACUAGUUAAUUAAGAAUUUGUUUACGAGUCGAGUUGUUAUCAAAUUACUUUUUAAAAUCCGAUAAGAUACCGUUGUUUUCCGGAUCUAGACAUUAAAUAUCAUGAUUUCUCGCAUGUUCAUUAACCCGAUAUGACUCUUUAACGAAUCGAAUCGUUAUUGGAUCACCUGUUAAGAACCCGUCAAGAUAACGAGUUUGAUAUGACACGAUUCAUUGAGAUAACGAAUAUGAUACAAAGACAAAAUAAACACGACAAACACAAUUUGCCAGACUUAACCUCAGCGGUAAAGAAAAUAUUGUAAGCUGCAUAUUGCAAGAGAAGGAACAACAUCAUACUAUAUAUUUCGUGUAGGUCGCGAAGUAUUAUUUUAUUUUAUACUAUAUUAUAUAUAGCAUUUUUUUAAAGCACUUUAUUAUUUGGCCAAUAUUACUGACCCUAUUGGGGUUGUCUUCGAUGGGACAACACAACAUUCCUGCACAAAUAUUAUAUCAUGUCGUUUUGGGGCCUCUCCCUCCCUUACACUGGGGAUUCAUCUUUUUUUGGUUUCUCAAAAGCCCUUGUGUUGUUCUCUAUUUACUCCCAUUCCUCUUGUGUAAUCAAAACUCAAAUUUUGAAUACUGUUUUUUUGGUGUACUUUUAACAAUACCAUUUAUUUAUAUUAAUUUCUCUAAAAAAUCUAGUUUCUAGGUGAUUAAAAAAAAAAUUCCAUUAUACUCAUAACGACUUGUUUUUAUUUCAAACAUGAAAGUAAUUUCCGUUGAAAUCAUAACUACUAUAUAUCAUUCUGAUUUUAUUCAAGAUGUCUUUAUUUCAUAUUAUAUUGUUUGUUAGUCGUUGACAAAAUAUCGCUUUCUUGUAAAAAGAAGUGAAUACUAUUAGAGAUAUUGCUUGCACUUUCUACUAUAAAUGCAGCAUACCCAACCGUAUGUGGUUAGGUUUCUCGAAAAUAAUUACACAAAUUCAAAUUAGUUGGUGUAACUUUUGCAUUUGGAGCAAUGUUAUCAAUGCAUAAAAGUUUAUAACUUUGUAUUUGUAUGGGUGGAAUACCAAAAAAUGUAUAGAAUUCAAGUAUGCACUUAACCAUUUCUAAUAGGUUUAGCAUUUGUUUGUAGAUUCUUCCAUAAAUAUGAACCCUCAGAAUCAACAAAGUUAAUGAAUCAUUGCCAAAACUAUAGACAUGAUCUCACGUAUUUAACAACUCCCAAAUGUUCAAGGGAAGAUCCAAAAAAAAAAAAAAAGGUUUCUAUUCGGGCAGGAAAUCUAGUUGAACGAGGUCCCUGGCUCGAGCACACAGCUCCUCAAGGAGUUGGCACUUUGGUUGAUUGUCGAGCUCCGGCUUGCCGAGAUACUGCAAGAUGGAGGCAAAGUUAGUUCUGAAAUGUGCAUUUGUGGGGCCUUAGGUGUAGGCAUUGAGGCUCGCAAUCAAAACUAAGUGCUAAGGCAUGCCAUUGCCAUCUCUGUAUGGCAAAUGUAGAACAAGUGUAUUUAAGUCGAUUACUUGCGCCCUAAAUUAUUUUGACUUCUUGUUAUCAAAGGAUUGUCGUAGAUGAGUUAAGUUUACAUUAAGUUCUUUUCUAUGCCUUGAGAUCAAUGACUUUUAGUUCUUUAUCUUGUAUGCUUAAAGGGUGGAGAUCCAUAUCUGAUCAAGUUAUCAGUUUUAAUUCACUUUUAAUCUUCUUAUGACAAUAAAACCAUUAAGUGAAACAGAUUUGAGAACUGAUGGAACUUUGGAUCAUCAAAAGACUGGAAAUGACUUGAAUAUAUACUAGGGAAUACAUUACAACACCAGAUCUAUUAAUUGAAAGACAAAACAAAGAGAGGCGGGCAAGAUUUCACCUUGUCGGGCAAGGUUAAACGUCUUGCAAUCUCUUCUUUGUUAUAGUUAUAAAGGGUUAGGUACUGAAGGAAUGAUGACUUGUAAAUGAGUUUACACAAGAGAAUCGAUACUAAAGCAUUUGGAGAAGGUAGCAGAACUUUUACAUAGACAAAAGAUGUCAUUCUAAAGGAAGUCUAAGGCUAAAAGGGUGCAGAAUCUGGACAAAGCACAACUUUCUGGAUAUUUGCUUGACUGAGAGAUAAGUUGUAUGUUUGUUUGUUUGUUUGAUUGGUUGAAUGUCCUUGUCUUUGGGCCCUUUUCCCCUAUUUAUAGGCAAAUUAGCCCGACUGCACAAUUUCUGCUCUUGUCCGAAAGCAACUGAAGAGUUGUCAUAUCCCGGCCCGAGGCAGAUCACUUCCCGGGCCCGUUCCACCACCAUAGCACGAUAUUGUCCGCUUUAGGCUCUGACCACGCUCUCACGAUUUUGUUUUUAGGAACUCACACGAAAACUUCCCAGUGGGUCACCUAUCAUGGGAGUGCUCUCGUGCGCUACUCACUUAACUUCGGAGUUCCGAUGGAACCCUAAGCCAGUGAGCUCCCAAAAGGCCUUAUGCUAGGUAGGGAUGAGAAUAUACAUUUAAUGAUCACUCCCUUGGCGAUGUGGGAUGUUAUAAGGGUAGUGAGUCAUCAACAUUUUUACAUGUUUUGCCAUUCGGAAAAGUGCUUUUGGGCCAAGAGUUGGUUGAUUUCCAUCGGUUAUCACUUCCCUUGUAAGCACCUAACCCUUGCAUUUAAUGGGGAGUCGUUAUGUUGUCUAGAGAUGGGUAUAUGGGCUUGGUGCUGGGCUUCGGGCAAAAUCUCCUUUAUUAAGCUCUGUUGGGCUUUUAUUCCCUUGAGGUUUUAAGUUAAAUAUUAACCCAAACAUUUUCCAUAGUUUUUGGUCGAUUUAAUUGAAAUUUGAGCAAAUAUAAUUACUCAAAAGUUGAGCUAAGUCACGCUAGCUUGUAACUCAAGUGAGGGCACCAAGGUGGUAGGACAAUGGUUUGACUCAUCGGGCAGGGUCUGUUGUUGCAACUGAUUGGCUCGCCCGAUCCAAGUUGUGAGUUGGGCCAUGUGGCUUGGAGUCACGAUUGCAUCAGGCUAGGUUCACAUAGCAGCGAAAGCCUCCUGCUCUCAACAAUGGAAGGAUUAUGGGUUGGUGCACAAUUGGUCUAGAUUGCCUCAUUGGUUGAUACCGGUUGAACAAUCUUUUUUAUAAAAGCCACUUAGUACGACGAUCUAAUGAUAUUCCUAUUCAUUUGUAAGCGAGAGGUCUUAGGUUCGAUUCUCGCCAAAAACGGAUUUGAACUACAUUAUGGUUAGCCAAUUGUGAAGUUAAGCCUAUCCCCAUCCCCUAAAUAAUAUCGAUUGUUAAAAAAUAAAAAACAAAGAAAAAUAAAUCGAAAAGCCCCCAAAGUUGAAAACUUUGGCAUCUUAAUUGUGCAAUAGUGGAGAUAUCUCAUAAACCAUGGCCUACAUACUUGGAACCGGAUCCCAUCCGGAUCCAAUAAAGUUGAACCUGCUCAGCAGACAAUCCGGACUGUUGAAAUUUGAUCCAAUAGCUACAAAUAUAGGACCCUCUAAAAAUUAUAUAAUUUAUAACCAUUAGAUUAAAUUUUAACGGUCUGAUCGCCUGCUCAAACUCAGUAUAUAUAGAUCCCAAAAAUGCUUUAUUAACACCCACGACCAACGUCCACCCUCUCUCUCUCUCUCUCUCACUCACUUUCAUUCAAGGUUGUGAGCAGAAGUCGCUGUCCUAAUCUGAACACUUGUCAGUAACCCAGUUCGACCCAGCAGCGACUCUUUCGGACCGAUGCAAAAAACACAUUGAAACCGAAAACCAUAGUGUGUCAAACAGGAGGGAGAGAGAGAGAGAGAGAGAGAGAGAGAGAGAAGGAGACGAGACGCUGUUCAAAUGUUUAGCUUCUAGAUUCCUUUCUCUAUCAAUAUAGAUAAUAACAAUCAUCCUUGUAGCUUAAAAUAUCAGAAAUUUUGGUUUAUAAAUUUGCAGGGCCUCCUUUGUUGAGGAAAGCAGCACAGCAGUCUCUGUGCAUCUGGUGGGAGAGUGUUGAUGGCGAAUGGUGAAGUGAAAGGACCUUAUUCUUCAUGGUAUGCCUCCUUUCUCCUUCCUGUUCUCUCAUUUCGGUUUUUUUUCUUUAUUUUUAUUUUUAUGUAUUUAAAGUAUACGUUUUUUAAUGUUUUAUAUUGAGGUGAACUUCUGGGUUUUGUAGAUUUCGUAUGCCAAUCUGAAAAAGUUUGGUCUUUUCAGCAUUUGAGUUUUUUUUAAGAACUUUUUUCUGAGCUUUUCUGUUGAUUGUUGUGGUGGGGUUUUUGGGUUUUCAAUGCUAUAUUUGCAUAUAUGUAUGUAUAUGUGUGUGUAUACAUCUGGAAAUGUUCUACUUUUUCUAUGUUUGUUUAGCUAAUGGAAGACUUGCCGCAAAACUGAGUGCAGUGACGUUCUAGGAUUCAUCCAGCCGACCCCACUUAAGGCCUGGUUGUUGUUGUCUGUGUCUGUUUGAGUUUGAGAAAAUUGGGUGUGGGUUUUUAAUGUCUGUGCAAGCAAUGGCAGUAAAUGGUCUAAAGUUUUUACCUUUUUGGCAUUUUAGGAAGUUGGUAAAUUUUUAUUACCUUAACAGAAAGUUAAAAGAUAUAUAUGGAUUUUGUAACUUGUUUCUGAAAUUGUGAAAUUUAAUCCGUAAGGGGAUUUCUUCGCCUUUUUAGUCCUUCAUUUGUUGUGAUUUUUAUAUUUUGUGCCAACAUUUUUAUUAAUUUCUAUCCAGGGGAGCUGGAAAUGAACCCAAAAAAUUAUCACUGAAGGUCCCAGAUGAGAUUUCUAAGGUGAAACAGAGAAAGCAGAGAGCACUACUUACUUCUGCUUCUGCCCAAGGUAACUUCCUUUUUGGUUUGUUUAUCUGUUUUCGUGUUCUGAUUCCUAUGUCAUAAUGCUCGGGUUUCUUCUUCGUAGAUUUGAGGUAUAUCGACAUGGAAAAAGAGAAGGACGAUGUCCAAACUCCUAGAGGAGUUUUAGAAGCUUGCAUGAGAGGCUUUGAACCCGAGACUAGCUCUUCUGAAAACAGCACAACUGAAAAUAGCACGACUGAGUCAUCAGUGCAUUGUUCAAGUUCAAGUUCACUUUCUCACUGGCAUAAAUUCUUUAAACAAUGGGGUAAGAGAUCGCUUAAGCGCUUAGUCUCCUUCCCUCCACUUGGUGUGCCAAAGAUAUCAUCACGAAGAAGGAUCGGGUGUGCAAGAGAGAAUCCAGCAUUGAAUAAUAUAUCCAACUUCAAGUCUUCGUUGGUGAAUUUUACCAUUGCCGAGCUCCAAAAGGCGACCGAUAAUUUUAACAGUGGUCAGUAACUUCCGCCAGAUAUUAAGACCUGCUAUCCAAUUCCGAUAUGUGGCCUCAUAUGUUUAAAAUAAAUAGCAGAAUUCACAAAACUUUUUAAUUUCAUUUUGAUUAUGACAUUUUCUCUGUGGGGAUGUUUCUCGCAGAAAACACAAUUGGAAAGGGUGGUUAUUCAGAAGUUUACAAGGGUCGCUUGAAAAGUGGGCAGCUAGUAGCAGUCAAGCGGCUGACGAAAGGAACAGCAGAUGAGAAAACAGCAGGCUUUCUAUCUGAACUUGGCACUAUAGCUCAUGUUGAUCAUCCUAAUACUGCUAAGUUGAUUGGAUGUUGCGUUGAAGGAGGAAUGCACCUCGUUUUCGAAUUAUUUUCACUUGGAAGUUUAGGAUCGCUCCUGCACGGUAUGUUCAUGAUUUCUGGAUUCCUGUUCUUAGUUUCAAACUGCCUAUUCGUUUAUGUGCUUUCUUUUUAAGUCAUCUGCAUAUUCCAGGUCCGAAGGCUAAUGAACUUGAUUGGAGUAAAAGAUACAAAAUUGCUUUGGGGACAGCAGAUGGUCUGCUGUAUCUUCAUGAGAGUUGCCAGAGGCGAAUCAUUCAUAGAGACAUCAAAGCCGAUAAUAUUCUGCUCACAGAGGAUUUUGUGCCGCAGGUAUUUUCCAAGUUUCACACCAAAAAUUGCUUGAACAUUGAAACUUGAAAGACUUCCGUAUUUCCUGGUUUAUUUUGUAGAGUUAAUUUACAAUAUGCUAACAAGUUUGGCUACAUGUUACAAUUAGAUAGUCUUUGUGGUAUCUUGAAACAUAAGGCCACCAACAGUCUUUGGUUACUGACUUCAUUGUCUAGCUUUGUCGAUUGUAUGCAACCUUUUUUAUGCACAUAAACGUUACAAUUAUCUAUUUGCAGUCAGUUUUUAUCCUGGGGAGAGAGCGUCCUGGAACAAUUUUAUCAUAUUGUGUUCAAUACCUGUUCAACAUAAAUGACAGGCAUGUGCCGACAGCUACAACUCUUAGUACAUAAGAUCUCCCCGGAUAUAGAAAACUAUGCAUUUUAACUGCUGCAUUUAAGAAUCAAGUUCGCAUUGUUUAAAUGCAUAUUUGAUAAGCCUGGCCAGGGGUGAACUUUACGGUCAUGAGAUAAAUAAGCGCAUAAGCUUAAGGAUAUGCUUUCAAAUGUUUAAUCAUGAAGAAUUUUAAUGAAUCUUCUUCUCAAAAAGAAUUUUAAUGAAUCUCCAUACUCAUUUGCUCUGUUUGCCAUUUAGCAUACUUAGGCUCAAUCCGGUGUUUCUUAUUGUGCUAAAAUGGACUGUGUUUUACAUCUUUUCCUCUUGCCUCCUUCAUAUUGACAAAGAGAAAUUGACAAAUUGUAUACGAAUCGUAUUGGCCUUCUCAUGUGCUAACUGCUGACCUCACUGGACCUAAACUAUGUGCCCUUUUUGUUUAUCUCUUUAUAAUCAACUUACUGAUCUGUAUAGCCAAUUUAUGCUAGAUAUGUGAUUUCGGGCUUGCAAAGUGGCUACCCAAACAAUGGACUCAUCACAAUGUCCCUAAAUCUGAGGGUACAUUUGGGUAUGUACGGUAAACUGUUAUGUUACAAUUAAAUAAGGUUCUUUAUUUUUCAAUGUCUUCAUUUCUUACCCUUGAAUGUCAGGUAUUUUGCUCCCGAGUAUUUCAUGCAUGGAAUAGUAGAUGAAAAAACUGAUGUUUAUUCUUUCGGAGUCCUACUACUGGAGCUUAUAACCGGGCGUCCAGCUUUGGAUGAUCUUCAGAAAAGCCUUGUACUUUGGGUAGGUUUGCUUCUGUAUAAUUAGAACAUUACCAUCUAUUGUUGUCGAUAUAUGCAAGUCAUUAGCUGCGGAUGUAAUUUUUUUACUCUUUGUAGGCAAAGCCUUUGCUUGAUAACAAUGAGAUCAAGGAGCUUGUCGAUCCUAAUAUUGGUGACAACUAUGACCGGAAAGAAAUGGAUCACAUGGUUUUGACAGCAGCUUUAUGCAUCGAGCAGUCUUCUAUUCUACGUCCUCGCAUGAGUCAGGUAAGUACAAAUUCCAGACAGGUAUCCUGUUAUUUUUCUGAGAUAACUAUUCAUGAUGACUUGAUCGAGCGAGGUCAUCAUACCUUGUUUCAUGAAGUUUCAGCCUCCUAGUUUCACUUAAAUGUUUGAGGUGUUGGAUAGCGGGAUGAUGACACAUUUUGGUUUGGCGCAGGUUGUGGUGCUGCUAAGAGGCGAUGAUUAUGUAUCCAAAUGUGCAAAAGAAUCGAAAAGGAGGUUUCUGCAAAGAACAUACUCAGAAGAACUAUCGGAUGCACAAGAAUAUAAUUCAACUAAGUAUCUGGGCGAUCUGAACCGACACAAGCAGGUCGCUUUCAGUUCUUGAAAUAGGUGGAUAGAUAGAACAUUUAAACAAUGUUAAAUCUAGUGGUUCUUGUAGACUUAUCAGUUUCUGGGGUGCUUGCAAUCCCCAUGGGAAUCGAGUCGUUGUAGAUGGAUUUCCAUGGUAUUUGAAAGCACAACCAGCUCAAAUUGUGGUUCUGAGAGAGUGAGGGGAAAGACUAUUAAUAUGUAGUGUUUUCUUUUCUACAAACAUCAUGUUAGAUCUCACAUAUAUUAAUGGUUUUAUAAUCUACACGAUAUUGGUUUUUCUAUUGGGUGGGAGGGAUUUAGGUUGUCCCGACCCUAGUUGCACCCAGGUGUGUUGAAACCAAUUGUCCCACAUCGGACAGAGGGAAGGAGAAAGAGUACUUUAAAUAGAAUUAUCCCACCCUAACUAACACCGAGGCCUUUUGUAUUAAAACCUCACACUUGACGGAUUGAGCAGGUGGCCAAGUGGGGACAGUAUCGGUGUUGUUGAAGUGGGCUCAAGGUCCGUCUACCUGAAAUUUAAGAUGGUAUCAGAGCCAGGGGUGGAGACAGUAUCGGUGUUGUUGAAGUGAGCUCAAGGUCCGUCUACCUGAAAUUUAAGAUGGUAUCAGAGCCAGAGGACGGGUCCGUACAUCCACGUGAACGGGUGGGUCCCCUUUGGCCUUUGGCCCAGCGCAAAUGGGUAAGCAAUGACUUGGCUCCACGUGGGCCAAGAGAUGCCACGUGCAUUGGCCUAGCGCGAACGGGUGAGCCCCGUCAUCGCCUAGAAGGCUUGAGAACAAGCCAUUUAUAUUGAAUUACUCCAUUCUAACUAACACCGAGGCCUUUUGUAUUAAAACCUCACACUUGACGAAUUGAGCAGGUGGCCAAGUGAGGACAGUAUCGGUGUUGUUGGAGUGGGCCCAUGGCCCGUCUACCUGAAAUUUAAGAAGGUGCAAAUAAGUUUCUUUGGCUCAACCAAACUACUAGGUAUGAAAUUUACAAUGAGGCCUGUUCUUUAUGUUUUCGGCCGCAAGUAGAGAUGUGCAAAAUAUCCGUAGGUAUAGAUAACCGCAGUUACCUAUCCAUUUAAAAUUGAUAGUUACAGCUAUGAAUAACCGUUAUAAAAAAAUGCAGAGUUAUAGAUAUAACUAUUUACAUCGAGCUAACAGGGCUUACAAACCAAUCCAAUGCCUGCAGACUCCAUAAACAAAUGUCAACCUCCACAAUCACACGAGACACCAUCAUGACACAAGUUAAUCGAAUAAAGGUGUCACUUUAUGUGUCUGUUCCAGUAACACUGCUUUGUGCUUCACAUGAAGCUUAGCUUUUGCUGCAAAAAACUAAUAAUAAUACACUACUAUGAGCAAAUCUCGAAACGAAGCCAAAACAAAAUUUUCUUAAAAUUUAGCAUCACAAGGUCGUUUCAAUAAUCAACAUUCAACACACUCACUCACUAAUCGCUAUAGCACAAAAUACACACAACAUGUAUCAUGUAACAUGCUUCAUAUAAACCAGUAUCAUCCAAGCCAUCCAAACUGACAUUCAUGUGUUAAAACUAAAAAAAAUUAGACUAGAAAAUAAAAACUAAAUGAACUACAAGGCAACACAAUUGCCGAUGUGUGAGACUAUAUUCUCCAAAACACCCACUCACGAGUGGCACCACACAGUGCAGUGGCGGAGGCAGUUAAGGACUACAGUAGUCCUAGGCCUACUCUCACUUAAAAAAUAAGAUUAGUCUACUACACCUAUUUCUAUUGCUUUGCAGCCCUUCUCAACAACUAAAACAAAUUCAUUCAUUAUCUAUUUUUCAUCUCAUAGAUACCAUCCCAAAAAUAAGUAUAUAUUUUAAAUGGUCAUUUAUCACAAAGAGUAGUGCUAUCUGCAUACAUUUUUUUACCUUUAACACACUCUUGUUAAUUUAUGUCAUUUGAUAUUCAAUUCAUUCAAUCAGAUGAUCGCAAAUUGAGAGGGUGUAUGGAAAGCAAAAAGAGGUGUGGAUAGCACAACCCUCUCACAAAUCAAUAACAUUAAAUUAAAACCCAUCAUUCACUUUUAAUUAAAAUAAAAUCGUUUUUCACUUAUGCACGGGGGAGUUUUCACCUUUUCUUAUUGAAUUUCAUAUAUUUAGCCAUUCUUAAUCCCAAAUUUAUUGAAUAAAGAACAAAAAGGUUUGUAAUACUCUAUUAUUCACUAUAAAACAUUUGUUUCUAUUCUAUCCCACCUCUUACUUGAGUUUCAGGGUUUGCAAAGAUUUUCGUACUUCUCUCUAUUCAGUUUAAUAAUUAUUUAAAUACUAUAGAUGACAUUAUGCAACUGUUUCAUUGCAAUUCGUCAAGAAUAAUUUUGAUUACUAUGGAUAGAUAAAAUUAUCUAUGCAUAUGUUAAUUUUGACUACUUAAUUAUUUGGAUAAAUAUUAUGAUGUUUUGCAUUAGUAAUUUUAUAACCACUAUUCGUUUUUUCUCCUUCUAUACUUGUUUGAGGCCCCUCCUCACAAGAAAUCUUAGCUCCGCCACUGACACAGUGACUCAUGGAAAACCAAUUCCCGCACUGCCAAGGUCAAGUAUUUGACGUUAAAAUCAUUACAAAAUUUCAAUGAAUCAUCCCACCCAUUCAAUGAUAUCUCUAAAAUUGUACAAAAUCAUUAGAAAUUAAUGUGAUUUCAGAAAUUGUCCUCGAUUAUGAGUUGAGCAUAGAAGAAUGAGGAAUAUUUUCAAUAAUAAUUGUUCAAUAUAUGUGAUCAUUAAUUAUGGAAAUAUCAUAUGGCAUUUGGAGAAGCAAAUCAAAACGUACUAAUUGAAUGCGUAAUAGGCUCAAUGUUGCAUACAUAAACUGUUUUGUAUUUGGAGUUGAUAGAGAAAGGUUAAGGUUACAUAUAUAUUUAGUUUGUUUGUGGAUCGAUCAAAGAUGACAGUUGGAAUGAACAAAGUUUUGGUGAUUGGAAUAGGCCUUUUUGUCAGCUGUUUGCUGCUCCAAUGCGAACAAGUUGAUGGAAAAGAAUAUAUAGUGGGGGAUGAGAAAAGAUGGAGCCCUGAUGCUAACUUAACCCAGUGGACUGAGGGCAAGAAGUUCAAGGCUGGAGAUGUUUUGGGUAAAAUUACUGAAACUUUGGUUUUCUUUUCAAUUUGUGUUCAUGCAUCCGAUUCCUCAAAUAUUACUAUAUUUGAUUAGCAGCUGGUUUGUUUACUAAUUCAAUAUCGUUUUUUUUGAAAACAGUUUUCAAAUAUAAAGAUCCCCUUCUCAUGGUUGCUGAACUACGGGACACCUAUUUAUUCGAGAAGUGUGCGUUAUAUUCACCGGGCCUCAUAGAAUUAUACACUUCAGGAAAUGAUCAUGUGGUUUUGGAGAAGGGCACAAUCCACUUCGCACCUUAUACGCCUCCCUAUUGUGAAAAUGGAAUGAAACUUACAGUUCAUGUGGAGUAACUAUAUAAACAUGCAUGAUGCAGUCUGUUUAUCAGGCAGGCUCCAUUGUUAAUUAUGGCAUACAAGAGAGAUGCCAUAUAUAAUGAAGAAAUAAUUGGACCUAGUUGUAUUGUUUUUAGGGGUGGGCACUUGGAACCGAAAACCGAAAUCGAAACACAAAUCGAAUCAAACCGCACCGAACGGUUUGAUUUUGCGGUUUUGAAACGGUUUCAGUUUCGAAACCGAACCGCGGCAAAGAAAACGGUUUGGUUUCGGUUUUGGGUUUUCAAAACCGCACCGGAACCGAAACCGAAACCGCACCAUAUAAUAAAAUUAAUAAAUAAAUGUUAUAUUUUAAACUAUUAAUUAGUUCAACUAGGUUACUAGACUAUCAUUAUCAUCUAGUUUUGAAUCUUUAAUAUGGGACGAGAUGAAACAUGUUCUCUGACCUUUUUUUUUUGUCGGUUGGGGAACCCUUAUAGACAAGCUGUUACAUUUUCUAAAUAUGUGUUUAUUGGGUUGGGAAUCAUACAAGUUUCAUCAUGGAGACUACACUAACUCAAACAAAUAUUUACUGGAUAUGUGAUUCAAAUAAGCAACUCCCUUUGAGCCUAAAUAAACAAAUAUUUAUUGGAUAUGUUUAUUUCUAUUGUAAGCACUGAGCAAUGACAAUGAGCAUUGGUCAUAUUGAAUUUGAGGGGCUGGAAUAACAAAAUAACAUUAGCACUUUAUUUCUUCGUUUGUUUAUUUCUGUUUUGUUGUUCUCUAGUAGAUUAUGGCAUUGAAUUAUUUUGUUCUGCUCUAUUUUUGAGCCCUGGUGGUUUAUGGCAUUGAAUUCAACAUGCCAAUUUGACAAAAAAAAAACUCAUUAAUAUUAUGACAUUGAAAUUCAUUAGUAAGUAUUAAUAUUAAUCAAAGUUAGGACAUAAGACCGUCUUAUGCAUAAAUAAGUGUAUAUUUUAAAUUUCUCAAAAACCAAACCGAAACCAUUUGAAACCGCACCGAACCGAAUCAAACGGUUUGGUUUCAUUUCGGUUUUAGCUUUAAAACCGCAUCGCAAAAAGUUUCGGUUUCGGUUGUGAUUUCACUCGAAACCGCACCUAAUCGCACCACGCCCACCCCUAAUUGUUUUUAGUCCUUGUUCAUUCCUAAAGCCAGUGAUUGAUCGCUAGCGUCGCUAAUAUUUCAUAAAUAUGUCAAUCAUUUUAAUUAUUUCAACAAUCAGAAUUUGUUAAUUCCACAUUCCGGCCAUUUCCUAAGAAAAAAUAAACCUGGGUUUGACCAUACAACGCACUAAUAAUUUGGGGCAUUUUGAUCUAGAUGUUUAGUUUUUGGAUUUUUUAGACCAUACAUCUAAGGUUUUUAGAGCUUUGAUCAAACUACUUUUUACAAUUUUAAUUAAUUUACAAAUUAAUUCAAAUUACAUAAAUUAUUGUUAUACAAAAUAUAUUAAACUCCUAAAAUCUUGCAAAAGAUCUUGUUAACCAAAAAAAAAAAAAAUCAAACGGUGAUGUUUUAAACGUACCAGUGUACUCCAAAUGAUAAAUACAAGAUAUUCAAUUCAAGCAUAGGAAAGGAAGGGAGGUCGGUCUCAUGCUUUCUUUCUUUCAUUGUACUGUGUUAAUUGUGAGAUUAUGUUUGUUUCUUGAGAAAAAGAUAGAAAAUGUGAUUUGGGAAUAACUAUGUUUUGGCCAAGUUUAAACGGAUUAGUUUGGGGGAGAAUUAUUUGUGGUAACUUGGGGUAAAAGUCCUAGUUUUGAUUGGUGUUGGGAAGGCUGAGCUAUCUCUUUUGUGUUUCUUCAUUGCCAUUUUUCGCCAGGUUCUCGAAGAAAAAACUUACAUUGUGGGUGUUGAGCACAAGCGCAACACAGCGGAUUAAUUUGGCGUGGAGGAAUCACUCAAGGAAUUGACCCAGCUAGCUGAUACGGCUGGACUUAUGGUUGUUGGUUCCACAUAUCAGAAGUCAGUAGGUUUCGAUGCUUUCGUGUUUCUUUGCUAGUAUAGUGCUGUUCAACUAGUUACUAGUUUGUGUGCUCAAUUAUUUGAUGCUGAUCACCUAGCUUCAAAUUGCUAAUGCCUAUAUGUAAUGCAGACUCGUUUCUCCAAACUCGAGGACAUACAUUGGAUCCGGCAAGGUUGCAGAAAUCAAGAGCAAAAUUAACGCAUUGGGAGUUGAGAAUGUGGUAUUUGAUGAUGAGCUCUCAGCAGGGUACGAAACAGUGGCGGAGCCAAGGUGGGGGCAAUGGGAUUCCUUGACCCCAAUAACCUUGUGGCCAAACAAGAAGAAGAAGAAGGAGCUGAUAAAGUUUGUGUUUGUUUGAUUAGUUUCUUGCGGUUUAGAACUUGACAGAAAAAUGGAACAAAGAAUGCAGAGAUGUUGGAUGACUACAAGGCUGUGCAAAUUGCAUCUGCCAUCACUUCAUUUAAUAAGGAAUGUUUGUAAGGUUUGGUGCAUUGCCAACUCCCAAAACAUUUUUUAAGAGUCUGGGGGACAAGAGAACUUAAACAAAUAUUACACCCAUUCUCCUCCAGAUUUGAUCCUAGCCCUUCAUUGGGGUUUUAAGCGAUCUAAUCUGAAGUGUACACUUGUCACUCUCACACACACAUACAAAGCAUUUAAACUGAAAACUAGCCGUUGGGACUAAACCCUUCUUUUCUUCUUUCUUCUUCGAUGCAGCAGCAACUCAUCCAUUGGAGCUCCACUUGCUGUCGUCGAUCCUUGGAACUAGAAGCAGUUUAAGGUCCAACAGGAGCUGCUACUCCAUUUGUUAGCCAUCACUCCAUCAGCGCCUCUUCUCCAACCCCUGCUAAAUCUUCCCACCACCGUGAAUUUAAGGCCUGGCAGCCUCCAGAUCGUCAGACCCGCGUUUUCGGCAUGCCCUGUCUAGUAAUGGAAGCUCAACUUUUGACCCCAUUGUCUUAAAUUCCUGGCUCCGCCACUGGUACGAAACAUGACUUUAUAGUUAUCACGUACAUGCUUAUGGUCACAGCUGUAGACUGAUUUGCAUGAGUUGCGCAGUUUUAUUUUGCCGAUACUGACUCCCUUUCCACCGCAUCUAUCAAUUUGUUGUGCCUGUUGGAUGAUUUGGAUUAGAAUUGAACUCUCUUCUCUUUAUCUUUGAUAUGAGAGCUAUGGCGAUUUUUCUGUUUAAAUUUUAUUUUCGCCAAGAACCUUUCAAGCACUACUAUGUUUAAAGUUUUUGUCCUUGUAUUCAAAUGUUACUGUGCGUUUGCGCAAUUUGGAAAAGGCUUUUGGUGGGGAGGUUAGAGUUUGUGAUUGCACUGCCCUCGUUCUGGAUAUUUUAACCAGCGGGCUGCAACACAUGAAGCAGCUUUACAGGCAAAUCAUUGUGCUUUUAAUUCUAGGUAAUAAUUUGUUUCGUUAUAUUUGAAUAUACGGCAACAGCUUACUUGGUACAGUUGUAGUAACUAGUAACGUAAUAACAAAAUACAAAUUUUCCAGGAUUAUCAUGCUGACAGAAGCAAUACUAUUAUACGAUCUAGGUAACCUUAUCAGCAACUCUUGAACUACUCUUUGAUUGCUAAUAUCUUCACCAUAACUCCUCAUUUGACUAAGCAAAUCAAAUAGCAUGACUAGAUAUGCAAAGAAAGCUUCAUUUUCACCCAUUCUAGUAUAUUCAAAAUCACGGCAUAAGUCUUUGAGUUUCACAGCUCUUACCUGUUUAUCUCCUACAAAUUCUUGCUUCAGGACAUUCCAAGCUACGUGUGCAGUCUCUUGGAUGGCAAUUCUCGGAAAGAUCUGAUCAGAAACCGCCGAUUGGGUGAUUCCAAGUGCCUUUGCAUCUUUGACUAUGUUCUCCCUCACCAGCUUGCUCUCAGCUUCGGUGAGUUCUUCAUCCUUCUUCGCCAGAGUAGCGAAACCCUUCUCGACAACAUCCCAGAGUUCAUGAGAUCGGAAUAUGGUCUUCAUCCGAAUCUACCAGAAAUUGAAGUUGUCUCCAUUGAAUACCGGUGCUCAAAGACCAACACCACUUGACUCAGCCAUAUGAGACUCAAUUCAAGAUCACUAAGAUUUCUUCUCUGAAUUUUCCUUCAGCAACAAAGUUCGACGAUCAAUUCGAGUUCUUUGCUGCACUCUUCACAAAUUCACGCCCAGUUGCAGAUGAUGCAACCUGGCUCUAAGGCCAUGUUCGAUUGUGUGAUUUUUGUACUGAUUCAAUGGAUCUAAGAAAAAUUUCUAGAAGAGGGAUUGAAUAAUUUCAGAGAGCUUCAGAGUAAUGGAAGCCUCACACUCAUUCUCAUUGAAGUUGCUCUCUCUCUCUCUCUCUCUUACAUAGCAAAACGAAUAUUACCAUUUGACUGAGGAGGGAAUAUUGCCCUUCUCUCUCCUCUAACAGAAUGAAAACAAUCUCAGUCAUUCAUGUUAUCUAUCCUAUGAGAUAGUUACAUGUGUCACUCAACACCACUUAUUUUAACUUAAUCUAUACCAUCCAUUUGGAAUGUAAUCCAAGGGCUCUGAUUAAAACAAGUAAAAUAUAAACUUAUUUCAGCUAAAAUCACUUAAAUGCUAACAGUCUCAGCCAUGAUCUCCGCUGCUCACCUGGAGGGUUCCAACUUUGGGUCGAGUGAAUCUCACGGUCUUUUCCCACAAUUCUAUCAGUCGUCGUGCCCUCCGGUUAAUAACAUUGUCAUCUCCGUGUUACAGCAGGCCAUCGAGAAGGAUCCCCGGGUGGCAGCCUCUUUGAUAAGGCUUCACUUCCAUGAUUGCUUUGCUCAGGUUCGUUUUGAUCAAAACUUACUUUGAAAUGUAAAUAAAAUAUGCAUGCCAAGGCUAAUAUGAUAUGACUGGACGACAGGGUUGUGACGCCUCGGUGCUACUAGACAACAGUACGACAAUACGGCGCGAAAAAGGGGCAAAACAACGUGAAUUCUCUAGAGGGUUUGAAGUGAUCGAUGAGAUCAAGGCCAAGCUAGAAGAAGCAUGUCCCCUGACUGUGUCAUGCGCUGACAUUGUCGCUCUUGCUGCUAGGGGAUCCACUGUACUAGUAAGCAAACUAAUUAGCCCCAACUAUUACUUAAUUAUGACUUAUUUAAUUUACUAAUAAGUGAUCAACUUAUUUGCUGUAUGUAUGUGGUGCAAUGGAACAGAGCGGUGGACCUGAUUGGGUGUUGCCACUAGGAAGAAGGGACUCCAAAACUGCAAGCGUGGAAAUCUCUGAGAGAAACAUUCCAGCAUCGAAACCCGAUCUCUCAUCCCUAACAGCCGGCUUCGAGCGACAAGGUCUUGAAGAAACUGACCUAGUUGCUCUCUCAGGUACCCAAUAAUUACUCAAUUUUCUCCUUUGUAGUCAUAUUAUAUAUAAGCGAUCCCUCAACUUCAUACGCUCUUCUGAUUUUCCUUUCAACUUUCAAGUUAGUUUUGAGCUUUCUAAUAUUUGUCCUUUGUUGUCAAAAGUGUUAAAAUUUUCAGACAAAUUGAUGGUUAUUUUUGUCCAUUCAAAUGGGCAAAAAGAAUAAAAAAUUUAAUGAAUUUGACGACUAGGCACAAAUUCAAGACUAAAGAGACUCGAAAUGAAUUGAAAGUUUAUUGGCAAAUUGAAAGAUGGUUAUGAGAAAGUGAAACACUUCGGCUUUUAGUUAGGAUGUGACACUAUUAUUAGUAGAGUAAAACUAACUUGUUUCACGAAUCACGACCAUAUAAACGCAACACAAAUUCAAGUUGAACAUUUAUGGUAUUUUUAUAUAAACAAUAUCAAUGCAGGAGGGCAUACAAUUGGCUUCGCAAAGUGUUUGUUCGUCAGGCAGACUCGGAAAUCAGUUUGCCCUAGAAGAGAUGGCGACAACACACCUGCUCCCUUGGACUUUGUUUCCCCUACAAGGUUCGACAACAGCUACUUCAAGCUUAUACUUGGGGGAAAUGGACUACUCCCUUCAGACCAAGUGCUUCUGACUGGGAAUGGAAGGCAAGCAGCUGAGCUGGUGAAAACCUAUGCAGCUAAUGAGAGCUUAUUCUUUCAGCAGUUUGCCAAGUCCAUGGUUAAGAUGGGGAACAUUAAUCCUCUCACUGGAUUAAAGGGACAAGUCCGGAAGAAUUGUCGCCGCGUUAAUUAAGUUAUUUACUAGCUAAUUCAGUUUAUGUGUAUGCUUAAACUUUAAACUAAAUAAGAUACCUUUUGGUUUUAGCUUUUUAAAUGUUUCUGGAAAUAAAACAUGAACUAGUUAAGAACUUUCUUAAUUGCCCAUUUAAAUCAUUUGUACUUGUUUGUACCAUACUUGACCAAUCCCGAAACUACUGAGCACCGGUCAACGUUAUACCGUCAAAGACCCAGAAGAGCUUCCCUUCAACCAGGAGGCCAAUCACAAUACGACACGUGUCGACAUCAGAACCAAUCACAGCGCGACACGUGUCAACAUCAGAAGCCAAUCACAAUACGACACGUGUCGACAUCAGAAGCCAAUCACAACGCAACACGUGUCAACAUCAAAAGCCAAUCACAAUACGACACGUGUCAAUGUUAGAACAAAACUAUAAACUCUCUUCUAUAAAUAGGGAUCAUUCUCCCACAAUAAUCUCUAAUGUCAUUUUGUACUAAACUAUUCACUAGAACUCACAAAAUGAGAGCUUGAACCUAUGUAUUUGUGUAAACCCUUCACAAUUAAUGAGAACUCCUCUACUCCGUGGACGUAGCCGAUCUGGGUGAACCACGUACAUCUUGUGUUUGCUUCCCUGUCCCUAUUCAUUUACGUACUUAUAUUCACUAGUGAUCGAAGCAACCAAGCGAAUGUCACAAACCUGACACUUUCUGUUGUACCAAAGUCCUCACUGAUUUUGUGCAUCAACAUUUGGCGCCGUCUGUGGGAAAGACACUUACUCCCACUCUCUUCAGUUUUAUUAAGCUGGUUUCCACCACUCGUACACUUUCUUUUGGCCAAACAUCUCUCUCCAACAUGGGGAGCGAAAGAAGUCAUAGCACACAGAAUGACACCCCCAUUGGACCUAGUAUGAAGCAACGAAAGCAGGAAGGAAAUAGAGUUACUCUUCAAGCUAAAGUUGAUGAGUUAGAAGCUCAGAACAACAAGAUAGUGAUGAGGAACGAGGUCCUCCAGGAGCAGUAUGAAAAACUUUUCGAGAUGCUUCACGAGGCUAGGCAUGCUCAAGCACACAAGCUCGUCGCCCCUACUGAGGUCAACAAUCAUCUGAAUGCCCCCCAACACGGAGGGUCACCGAUAUCCAACACGGACAUCCCUGAUAGGGAUCGAGCUACACAUCAAUGUGAUAAUUAACAUGAGACUUCUCUCAACCCAGCUGCUUCAACCCGAAGCAGAAGAAGUAGAGGAAAGCACCUCUUCACAGAGGGAGUGGAAGGAUCAAAAGCCGUCUAUCGAUUGUCGAGAUUUCCUAAAGCAACGUCGAGAGAAUCUCAUCCACAUAAGCUCGAAGAUCAAUGACCCAAGAGUUUCUGAAAGACUCGGUCCUCUUCCACGACCCAGGCCAGCAGCCAAUCUAGGGAAUGGGCAACAAGUCCCAGAAGAACAUGAAGGUACAGGGACUCGAAAAUAUUCCGACAUACUUACUCUAGGAGUCAGUGUGAUGAGUCCAAGGAAAAAUCACGUUAUCUUGAUCAAACUUUCCUACUUACAAGAGGCGAUGGGGACUUACGGAAGAAAACUUCAGUGGUGCGCGACUCCACUCAGGACCCCCUUGUCCUACAGCUCUUGGAGGAAGUAAACAAGUUGAAGGCUGAACGUCAAGCCGAGAUACCUGACUGGAACCAACCCAGGCCUGGCCCCCUCACAAGAAGGAUCCUCAACACCCCCUCCUAGCGAAGACAAAACACAAGCUUGACUUACAACUCUAUACUGGAAGGGAAGACCCGAUUGAACACCUUAACCUUUUUGAGUCCACCAUGGUAUACCGGAGACACACCGAAGAAGAACGGUGCCUUCUCUUCCCCUCCACCCUCUCUGGCGGAGCUUUAAGCUGGUAUUGCCGUCUUCCACCUGAGACAGUAGACUCAUUUGAAGAGUUGAGGAAGCUGUUUGUCUCUCAACACAUCUUCCAGACCGAUCGCUUGCAUUCUGCAGAUGACUUAUACACUAUUCACCAAAAGCCAGACGAGUCAUUACGAAAGUAUGCUGGUCGCUUUAGCCAUGAGUAUUCUCGCUGUGUUGAGGCAGAUGACAAGACCGCCCUCAAGGCCUUCACGGCAGGCUUACGUGACUGUUUCUUCAAGUACAUGAUCAACGCCAACACUUAGAAGACUUACUCUGAGGUGAUGGCACAAGCUUACAACCAUGCCUCCGCCGAGGCAAGGACAUAUCAAGGGAAACCCCCUACAGUCACCCCUUAUCAGCAGGUAGGGAGUGGAGGCCAGAUCCAACCAAAUGAGAAGACCUCAACCUUCCAAACGGUAGCAGCACACCCCCUGCCUCAUUUAAUGCUUCGCCAAGUCAGCAAACAUAUCAAUCCCAGGGUAAAAGGAAAGUUUUCCAUCAUCACCAAUCUCAUUUUAAUAAAAAGAAUAAGGGGCACUAUCGCGAUAACUCAGGAUAUCGUCACAAUAACGCCCGUCCCCAGGCAGUCAAUGCAGUGGACCAAUCACGUGCCAAGACAGGUCCUACCCCAAGGUAUGAGACAUACACACCUUUGAACGCUAUAUGCGCGUCUAUCUACCCCAGUAUAGCUCACCUGAUACCAAAGCCAAAGCCAAGACAGCCAGAUUACAAGUCCACGAAGAACACGGGCGUGUUUUGUUGCUACCACGAGUAUAAUGGCCAUGAUGGCGAGAAGUGCAUCAUCCUCCGUGAUCAUAUUGAAGCUUUGGCACGUGACGGAAAAAUUGUUCAGUUCCUCCUUCACCCUCAAAUGGAUAACCAUAACCAACGCCAGGUGAAUGUGAUAUAUUCCAUAAGCGGCGGCACACCCAUGUCUGAAUCUUCCAAUAGGGCCAUGAAAAACAGUGAACGAACUUUGAGACCUGGUCAUCAAGUGUUUCACGUGGAAGACAUCAGGGGAGGCAAGUAUCAAAAGCCUAAUUGGGAUCCAAUAUGUUUCUACCCUGAGAAAGAAAGAGGUAUCAUCUACCCUCACAACGACCCGCUGAUCGUAGAGGCUCACAUAGCAAAUUUUGAUGUAAAACGAAUCCUGAUAGACACAGGUGCUUCAGUCAAUAUCAUGUUUGCUGAAGCUUUCAAGGCACUCAAUGUAGCUGAACAUUUGCUCGAUCGCUCGAUUUCUCCUCUGAUAAGCUUCUCUGGCGAUAUCGUACAACCUUUAGGGAGUAUACACUUACCCCUCACCAUUGGUACAGGCCCCUACAGCUACUAUUACCACUAACUUCCUAGUGGUUAAUUGCCCGACGGCAUACAAUGUCAUCUUUGGGCGCAUAGGCAUCAAUGAUCUCAAGGCCAUGGUAUCCACACAUAUGUUGUUGAUGAAGUUUCCAACCCCUUUCGGCAAUGGAUACAUCAGGGGAGAUCAACUUAGUGGUCGAUCAUGUUACAACACUUCAGUUAAGCAACAACACCUGCAUGUCCCUAAGGAGACCCUCUCUGUACAUAACCAGGUAAUAAAGACCAGUCAAGAUGAAGCCAACUCGAAUUUUCAUGAUAGCAACAGUCAACCCGACGACCCUCGAGAUGACUCAUUCACCCAGCAAGCACAACCCGCUGAAGAGUUAGAGAAUGUCUCUAUCUCCAAAGACCAUCCAGAUCGCAUGGUGAAGAUUGGCACCACUUUGUCACCACCCCUUCGGUUGUCGCUGAUCUCAUUUUUACAAGAGAACGCUGAGGUCUUCGCUUGGUCAUAUAAAGAUAUGUCAGGCAUCUCUCCCGAUAUCAUCUGUCACCACUUGAAUAUUGAUCCCAAGACCAAACCAGUAAAACAGAAGCGAAGAUCUUAUGAUGUUGAACGAUACGAGGCGAUGAAAGCAGAAGUUGAAAAACUCAAGGACAUAGGCUUCGUCUGUGAAGUCAAUUACCCAACAUGGGUAGCAAACGUUGUCCUUGUUAAGAAAAAUCCGACCAAGGAAAGUCUCUUACUUCAAAAGGUCUUGUGGAGAAUGUGUGUCGACUACACCGACCUAAACAAAGGAUGCCUGAAAGAUAGUUUCCCUCUUCCUCUCAUUGAUAGACUUAUAGACUCUACGGCAGGGUGUGAGCUCUUGAGCUUCAUGGACGCUUAUUCAGGAUACAACCAAAUCCUCAUGAACCCCUCAGACCAAGAACACACGGCCUUCAUUACUGACAGGGGACUAUAUUGCUAUAAAGUCAUGCCUUUAGGCCUAAAGAAUGCAGGAGCAACUUAUCAGAGACUGGUCAAUUCAAUGUUCGCCGAACAGAUUGGGAAGAGCAUGGAAGUUUACGUUAAUGAUAUGCUAGUCAAGAGCAAACAUGCUGACCAACACAUCACCAACCUAUCUGAAACUUUCACCAUUCUAAAGAGGUAUCGAAUGAGGUUGAACCCCAACAAAUGUGCCUUCGGCGUGGGAUCUGGCAAAUUCUUAGGCUUCAUGAUUAGCCAACGAGGCAUUGAAGCUAACCCUGAAAAGAUCAAAGCAAUCCUCGACAUGAAAGAGCCAGUAACUUCAAAAGACAUCCAAAGCCUUACUGGCAAGGUGGCAGCCUUAACCAGAUUCAUUUCUAAGGCCACAGACAGAUGUGCUUCUUUCUUCAAAGCACUCAAGGGAAAUAAGAAGUACAUUACAUGGACGGAGGAAUGUGCCAAGGCAUUCAGAAACCUCAAAGAGUACAUGAGUAAAGCCCCUCUGCUCUCCAAACCAGAAGUUGGUGACACUCUCAUUAUCUAUCUAUCGGUUUCGGCUUCAGCAGUCAGUUCUGUUCUUAUUCGAAUGGACAGUGGGGUCGAAAGGCCCGUCUACUACGCUAGCAAGGCCCUACAAGAUGCGUAGACACGAUACUCCAACAUUGAGAAAUUAGCUCUAGCAUUGGUCAUGUCUGCUCGAAAACUUCGCCCUUAUUUCCAAGCACACGCCAUCAUCGUGCUUACCAAUCACCCUCUUCGACAGACACUCCAAAGUCCUGACACGUCUGGGCGAAUGUCAAAUGGGCGAUAGCAUUGGGUGAGUUUGACAUCUCCUACCAACCAAAACCAGCCGAAAAAGGUCAAGCUGUAGCAAAUUUCAUAGCCGACUUCACAUAUCCUGCUGACAUUGCUUCUACACCUGAAGCAGUAGCUUCAUUACCAUCGGAAGCUCAGAUAGAAUCAACAACCCCAGCAUGGAGUCUGUAUGUUGAUGGCUCAUCCAACCAACAGGGCUACGGAGCAGGAUUAGUCUUCACUACCCCUGACAAAGUGGUGAUGGAAUACGCUCUUUGUUUCAAAUUCAAGGCAUCGAACAACGAGGCCGAAUAUGAAGCCCUUCUAGCAGGCUUACGUUUGGCCAAGCAUCUUGGAGUUAAACAAAUUGAUAUCUUCAGUGACUCCCAAUUAGUGGUCAACCAAGUCACGAACAACUUUAAUGCUAAAGAUAGCUUCAUGGCAGCAUAUCUUGCGCAAACACGACUUUUGCUCAAGCACUUCCACUACCAGAUCACCCAAGUUCCUCGAGCGGCAAACAGUCAUUCAGACGCUUUGGCCCGCCUCGCCUCGGCAGUGGAAGACAAGAUUGGGAGAAAAAUUCAUAUCGAAUUGUUGGCAGCACCAAGCACCAUGGUCGCGGAAGUGUGCAAUUUACAACAAGAAGAUAGUUGGAUCACCCCAAUUUAUAAAUUCCUUGCCCAUGGCACCCUCCCAAAUGACAAAGUCCAAGCUAAGCAGAUUCGAUACAAGUCUGCUCGCUACCUGAUCAUUAAUGACCAACUCUACAAGCGCGGUUUUACCCUGCCCUACCUAAGAUGCCUUACACCUGCGGAUGCGGAAAUUGUCCUUCGGGAAAUACAUGAAGGAGUCUGCGGAGAUCAUGCUGGGUCUCGAUCCCUAGCACACAAGACUUUUCGCCAAGGAUACUAUUGGCCAACACUCCACCAAGAUGCCAUCAGAAUAUCUCGCUCAUGUGAUAAGUGUCAACGCUACGCAACUAUCCCUCACUCCCCUCCCGAACCGCUCACUCCUAUGAUCAGCACUUGGCCCUUCGCCCAAUAGAGACUUGAUUUGAUCGGCCCAAUGCCUGCAGGGAAGGGCAAGGUCCGCUAUGUAAUCGUUGCAGUUGACUACUUCACAAAGUGGGUUGAAGUAGAACCCUUGGCAAUCAUUACUGAGGCAAAAAUAGAAGACUUCGUAUGGAAGAACAUCCUCUGCAGAUUCGGCAUUCCCAAUGCGAUAGUCACGGACAAUGGGUGGCAGUUCGACAACAAGAACUUCAGGAUGUUCUGCUCUAAGUUCAACAUCAACUUAUGUUUUGCCUCUCCAGUCCAUCCCCAGUCUAAUGGACAAGUCGAGGCCGUUAACAAAAUAAUCAAGCGCACUCUGAAAACUAGCUUGGACAAAGCUAAAGGUUGUUGGCCAGAAUUCGUACCCCAAGUUCUUUGGUCAUACCGCACUUCAUAUCGGACUUCUACAGGAGAAACUCCAUUCUCACUUGCUUUUGGUACAGAAGCAGUUGUCCCGGUUGAGCUUGAGCAAGCGACAUACCGAAUCCAGAACUACAUGCAGAGUGAAAACGACAAACAACUCACCCUCAACCUGGAUCUAGUCGAGGAACACAUAAAUCAGGCUCACCUGAGGAAUGUCGCCUACAAGCAGCGCAUCUCCAACUACUACGACUCAAGGGUUAAACCUCGCUCCUUCAAAGUGGGAGACUGGGUACUGAAGAAAAGAUUACUCUGUGAUAAAGUCCCGAGUGAAUGAACACUCAGUCCUAACUGGGAUGGACCGUUCGAGGUCGUCGGCAUCAGCCGCCCUGGCUCCUACAAGCUCAAAAGCUCCGACGGCAAGACCCUUGGCCAUCCAUGGAAUGCUGACCACUUGAAGUACUAUUACAAACACUCACAUUGUACAAGUGUUAAGCUACAGCCGUUCGGCAUCCUAUGUAACAAAGACCAUUUGGUAUGAAUUCAAUAAAGAGGUGAUUUAGCCAACUCGGCCCUAAACUCUUUUACAUUCUGAGCAAUGAAACACUCAAGUGUUGAAGCUUCAACGCAAAUGUUUCCAAUACAAAACAAAAUCUAAGUAUAUGUCAACAAGACUAUACAAAGGAUCUACAUCAUACAUUCCACACAUUCAUACAUAAACAUCAUACAUUCCAACACAUUCAUACAUAAACAUCAUACAUUCCAAUACAUUCAUACAUAAACAUCAUACAUUCCAACACAUUCAUACAUAAACAUCAUACAUUCCAACACAUCCAUACAUAAGCCAACUGUGCUUCGAAAGGGUUUAACACACUUUGUGUCAUUCGACAUUUGCCACAAUAUGCCUCGAUACCUUGCCCUUAUUCUCACCAACUAGGUGAUGAAGGAACUCACCUUCGUGCCACCAAUUAGGUGAUGAAAUGUACAACCCGUACUCUAAUAUUAUUUGGAAACUUGCCACCCUUAUCACCAAUCAGGUAAAGAAGGAACUCAUCUUCAUGCCACCAACCAGGUGAUGAAAUGUACAACGCGUACUCUCCUUCAUGUCACCAACCAGGUGAUGAAAUGUGAUGAAAGGUGAUUAAGGAAUUCACAUUCGUACCACCAACCAAGUGAUGAAAGCAACCCACCAUUCAUUCCACUAACCAGAAGACGAGUGGUACAACUUGUACAUGUGAACUCCUAACAUUCACAAAUAAUCAAAAACCCUCAAGCUUUACAACUCAACUAGGGGAGCACUUAUACCUAACAAGAGCUAUAGUCACCAACAAAGUCUUAUUGCAAGCCAACAAUGGCUUCAGUGCAUGGUAUACGAAGAUCAAACUCUUUAGCCCACUUGCAUCUGCUUCAGACAUUUCUCCUCUGUAACAAUGCAAACACUACAACUCAUAGAAAGCUUCACACGCUCUUGAUCAAGACUGUUCGAAGCAAAUUCAAUUUAUAUGGUUCAUCCAAACCUUCGACUACUACAAGAUGUGGCUUGCAUCACAAUCUCUCGCUCAACAGUGUGGAAGCAAAAUUUGUAUACGUUGUCUCUCCCACAUUUUCAAAUUUCUAGUUUUCCCAAAAAAAAAAAAAAAAAAAAAAAAAAAAAAAAAAAGAGGAAAUUGGAAAUUGGGAAAUUCAACAAACCUUCAUCAAUGGAACACAACUACAAUCCUCAAAAGCUUCGCACUAUCUUCAUCAAGAUAGUGUGAAGCAAAAUUAAUUUAUGGUGCCAACAAAAGCUUCAUCAAUAGAGGACAAAUAUCAAUCUCAAAAGCUUCGCACUAUCUUCAUCAAGAUAGUGUGAAGCAAAAUCAAUUUAUGGUGCCAACACAAGCUUCAUCAAUGGAGGACAAAUAUCAAUCUCAAAAGCUUCACACUAUCUUCAUCAAGAUAGUGUGAAGCAAGAUCAAUUUAUGGUGCCAACAAAAGCUUCAUCAAUGGAGGACAAAUAUCCAUCUCAAAAGCUUCGCACUAUCUUCAUCAAGAUAGUGUGAAGCAAAAUUAAUUUAUGGUGCCAACAAAAGUUUCACCUAUAAAGCUUCAACACCAAAGCUUCACCUAUCAAGCUUCAACACCAAAGCUUCACCUAUCAAGUUUUAACCCCAAAGCUUCACCUACAAUACGAAAUUUCAACACCAAAACAUAUAAAAGCUUCACACACUCUUCAUCAAGAUAGUGUGAAGCAAAAUCAAUUCCUGGUGCCCAACAAAGCUUCAACCUCAAAGUUUCACCUACAAAUCUUCAACACCAAAGCUUCACCUACAAAGCUUUAAAAUUUAUAUAUAUAUAUUUUUUUUUUCGGAAAACAAAAAAAAAUCGAAAAAAAAAAAAUUGCCUAGGCCUCCUCUUCUUUGGGCCUAACAACUUUCAUAACAAAUAUAUAUGAAGAAGGAGUUUUGGGCUACAACUUAGAAAGGAAAUGCCUCAUUCGUCAACUCCCUCGACCAGAGACUUGGGGGACUCCUACCAUAUGCUACUGCACCUUGAUACUCGGAAGUCUCACGACCACUCAGUGACUUGGAUUUUUCAAGUCUCCAAACGAGAAGUUUUCCUCACUCGGGAAAUUAAGGGAGCACUACCUCAACCUACAUGCUUCACUCACAAAGUUUCAACAUACAAGCUUCAACAAAAGAAAAAAUUCAAAGAACUUAAUGAAGAAGGCCUUGGUGUAUUUAACACAAUACGUUGAAAUGAAGCAAAUCUUGUUUAUUGAUAUUUCCGAUAAGUUACAAAUAUGUACAUAUACAUGAAUCAAAAUAAACAAACAAGAGAGAGCCUUCAUAAAGGUUGCUCAGGGGAAGUCUCAGCAGUCGGUAGAGCCCCAGAAAGAGAAAGCACCGGAGGGUGGUUAUCCGGAGCCUCAGUACUGGACAGAACCCCAGAAGGAGGAGGCAUCAGAGGUUGAUCAUUUGGAGCUUCAUUACGCGGUACAGCCCCAGAAGACGACGACAAUAAAUGCCUUUGGAACAAACCCACAAACCGCUGAUGAUCAAGUAAAACAUGACCAUCAGAUUCCUUCAUCUGGUCAAGCUUCCUCUUCAUGUUUGUAGUAUAGUCAUGUGCGAGCCGGUGCAACUGUUUAUUCUCAUGCUUGAGCCCUAUAAUCUCCUGUUUGAGACUCAUCACUUCAGCAGCCAAUGAUUUAACUUGGCGGGUUCUAGCAAAUAGACGUUGGGCCAUAUUAGACACAAAACCUACAUACUGAACACUAAAAGCCAGAGAAUCCUUAACAGCCAACUCAUCAGACCGUUUGGAAAGUAGUCUGUUAUCUUUGGGAGUGAGAAGGUUCCUGGCCACCACCGCAGCGGUCAUAUCAUUCUUCAUCACAGAAUCCCCAACGGUAAGAGGACCAGUAGGGGAUAUGAAGGAUGGGCGCCAUAUGUUGUCUAGAGAAGGCGUGGCUGUCUCUUCUCCAAGGUUCAAGUCAAAACGACGGUCGGAAGGGCCAGACAUUUUCAAAUGUGUUGAAGAAGGAAGAGGUCAGACAAAUCAAGAUCUUAGAAGUGCAAGAUGGGAGUUUCUACUGGUGGAGAUUCAAGUGUGCUGUGGAACUUAAUGACAGCCUCUAUAAAAAUCUGCACUCGACGGAGCUUCAGAAAUCGAAAAGGCGUUUGCUUUCUCAAAAGCUGAGCUGCUCAGAAACCACGAGGGCCGAUCUCAGAAAUCGAAAAGGCGCUUACUUUCUCAAAAGCUGGGCUGCUCAGAGACCACGAGGGCCGAUCUCAGAAAUCGAAGAAGCACCUGUUUUUUCAGCCUCGUCAGCACCUGUCACAUGCACACUCAGCUUUGCGGAAAUUACGGGCAAUCUGUCGAAGAUUUCUGGUGAAGUAGAAAGCACGUGAAUCUUACUAUUCAAUCACCACUCUCCACAUGCACCAUCAACUCCUCGGGUACCACAUAUAAUUUUUGCCAAAGAUCUCUGACAAAGUUUAGGCACGAGAAUUUCGAAGUUCCAACUACCCUACUAUUACCCACAAGGGUAAAGGAACAGCACCACUGCUUGACAACUGAAAAGUCCCUAUGUGUGUCGACCUCCGUGUUCUGUGGCAAGACAGGCUGGCAAGAACGUUCAACCUUUACUCACAUUCGAGAAAAGACUCCCAACAUAAUUACUUUCUCAAAAACCGAAGCGGCACCGCUUUCCGAAUCUCGAGAGCCAGAUCCCCGACGGGAUUGCUUGUUCGAAAACCGAAGAGGCACAGCUCUCAGAACUUCGAGAGUCAGAUUUCCUUAGAUAAAGCUUGUCUGUAAUCAUCACACGCAACAUCAGCUUUUCAGAUACCACAUACCACUUUUUCAAAGUGCUCUGACAAAGUUAAAACACGUGAAGCUGGCAGCUCCCACUACAUUGCUGUGACCAAGAAGGGUAAAGGAAUAACGUUACUACUUGUUAUUGGGAAAUCCCUAUAUACGUCGACUUCCCUCCUCAACGGAAAUGCAAACCUGCAAAAAUGUUCAACCCUUUCUCACAUUCGAGAAUGCACCCUCAACAUAACCUCUCGAAAUACUCAGCUUUAUUUCCCCCCGAUAAUACCUCAGCAAAUAAGCCACACCAAGAACAAGAGUAUCUCAUAUCAUCAGGGUCGAAAGCAAGAGUAUCCCAUAUCAUGCUUUCUCCCUGUCCUUGUCUUUGUCCUUGUCCACACCUGCAGGACAAAGAGAAAGAGAGCAGUCAAUCGGAACCUGAAAUCAAACCUCCAAUCUGGAACUGACUGCCUAAGACCUUUGCCUGGUUGCUUACUUAACAUUACUCUCGAGAACUCAUCCUCAAUUGUUGUCAAGGUCAUGAAUUCCACCGGCAAAUACCUCAUGACAGUUGAUCAGAUAUUGGUUCUUUACACCGAAGCUGCCAAGCAUGGAUGAGUCACUAUGAAGAAAUGUUCUGAUAGACCAUUUAAAUGCAAAGGUUGCACACCACUUCUGAUAUGAAAAAGAUUGAAGCAGAAGGUUCAACGGUGAGCUGAAACAGAUCACUACAGCACAACACCUUUCCAUACCACAUUCACUAUUCCGUCAACAGCAAAAGUAUCCCAUAUCAUCAAGGUCGAACGUACUCUAGAUUUGAUGGACUUGUUUUGACCUUCAAAUUCUUGAGUCGGCCUUAUACUCUGAAGGGAACCAGAAAACCCUCCAGCACAAUUCAAGAAUAAGCCUGUGGAAAGUUACUUCUUCAAAAGCAAAAGUAUCUCAUAUCAUCUCUUCUCCAUUUGCUUCUCAUUAUCCUAGCAGUUGAAUGAGAGACAAGGAGAAGGAGAACAAUCAACCGGAAGCCAAAGUCGAACCUCCGAUCCUGGGUUGCUUACUUGGAAGUUUGACUGCUUACCUUGUCUGUCACCUCUUUCGGCAGAUCUCCUAGCUCGGCGACUUGGGGGACUCCUUCUAUAGGGUUUGUAUCGCACUUGACCAAGCCCGAAACUACAAGUAAGCUUCAAGUGAAAUUGAUAUAUUACCUUGUGCAUCUUCAUCGGUUAAAGAUAUUAUCCCUGGAUGGAGGAAAAGUACUUCCAGAGAAGAUGCCACAUCUACAUAUGAGACAAAUAAGGUAAGUGAAAAUGAUACCACACUUCGGUACUUAGAAGUUUCGUGAUUACUCAAUGGCUUGGAUCUUGCAAGUCCCCAACCGAGGAGCUUCCCUCACUCGGGAACUUAGGGGAGCACUGUUUGUACCAUACUUGACCAAUCCCGAAACUACUGAGCACCGGUCAACGUUAUACCGUCAAAGACCCAGAAGAGCUCCCCUUCAACCAGGAGGCCAAUCACAAUACGACACGUGUCGACAUCAGAAGCCAAUCACAGCGCGACACGUAUCAACAUCAGAAGCCAAUCACAAUACAACACGUGUCGACAUCAGAAGCCAAUCACAGCGCGACACGUGUCAACAUCAGAAGCCAAUCACAAUACAACACGUGUCAAUGUUAGAACAAAACUAGAAACUCUCUUCUAUAAAUAUGGAUCAUUCUCCCACAAUAAUCUCUAAUGUCAUUUUGUACUAAACUAUUCACUAGAACUCACAAAAUGAGAGCUUGAACCUAUGUAUUUGUGUAAACCCUUCACAAUUAAUGGGAACUCCUCUACUCCGUGGACGUAGCCGAUCUGGGUGAACCACGUACAUCUUGUGUUUGCUUCCCUGUCCCUAUUCAUUUACGUACUUAUCUUCACUAGUGAUCGAAGCAACCAAGCGAAGGUCACAAACCUGACACUUUCUGUUGUACCAAAGUCCUCGCUGAUUUUGUGCAUCAACAGUACUUUUCUUUCUUCAUGGUUGAUUGAUACCUUUCCCAGGAACAUAUACAUGUUCUUGCUUUAGAUUUAGGUAUUUACAACUCAACAUUUCUAGAUAAAAUCCAUCUACCUUUAAAGAUCCACUAUAAGCCCAAAUUUAAAAUCUACAACCACAUCGAAACAGUAUUGACCUAUUAAUACAAUUUAUUUACACCCAUAUUACUCGUACUUUAUGGUCCGUUUUUCAAAUUAUUAAAUUUAUGCCAAAUUAAAAGUACUAGAAAAAGUGAAAUAAAAUAUAUAAACUAUUUGCAUUAAUUGUAUCCAUGUCAUACCAGAAACUUACGUUUUUUAUGAUAUAUUUUGUGGUAAUUGUAUCCAUAUUAAUUGGUAGGUAAAUUAGUUCGUUCCAAUUAUUGAAAAAAUUUAAAACAAAAUACAACACAUAUAUUAUAUAUUUUGAAUCAAAUAACAUUCCUCUAACUCGUACGUAAAUUAUUUUGUUCCAAUUAUUAAAAAAAAUUCAAAAAAAACACUACACCCGUAUUAAAUAUAUUUACGAGAUGAAUGCGUAAGGCUCAAUGUUUUAUAUAUAAAUUGAUUUGUAUUAGAUGGCAGUUGAAACGAACGAAGUUUUGGUGAUUGGAAUCGGCCUUUUUGUCAGCUGUUUGCUGCUCCAAUGCGAACAAGCUGAUGGAAAAGAACAUAUAGUGGGCCUGUCUAUGCUGCAAAUCAUUUAUGUCGAAAACAGCAUCAUCAGUGUGUUUUCUGACGUCCCCGAAAUGAUCAAAUCUGCAUAACUACCAUGCAAAUUCAUGUCAGAUGGCGCAAAAAUAUGAAAACCAGGAUCUACUUGUAUGAACUGCAUGUAAAAAGAAAUUCCCUUCCUUUCUGGACGCCGAAACGACGCCCUUUGUUCUUCAGUUUUUACAUUGUAUACGGCUCUAACUUGUAUGGAAGAAAAAUUUCAACUUCAUGAGUUCAACUCUACUCAAUAUUUUGCUUUGCACUACUCUGAUUUGCAUGAACGAAGGGGAAUGUAACCGGAAACCACACUGUUCUGACCAACCGGCCAAACCCGUAAAAUUGAAACGGGCUUUAGGUUUAAAAAGUUUCACUUUUGUUUGUGGGUCAUCAAACAUAGUCCAUAUCCAAAACCUAAAUGGGCUUACCAUAAGUGGGCCUGACCCAAUAUAAUCUACAAACAAUUUCUUAUAUAUUAUAGCCUUUUUAUUUUCAAAUUUAGGUAGAUCCAAGUAUAAAAAAUCAAUCAAAUGUUAGAUUUUUCUCUUCGAGAGUUCUAGGGUGCUUUGGAAUAUCUCAUACUUAUACUUUAAAAGUUUUAAUUGUUAGAUUUUACAUUUUGUAUUUCUAAAUAAAAAUUUAGCAGUUAAAAAAAUACAAAAUAUUUAUAUUCAAAUAUGCCGUAAAAAAUUACAUAACUGUAACGUUAUCUCGUAUCUCGAUGCUUACAGAUGUCAUCAUUUGAGACUCAUCUUGUGUAAACAAGAUGUGCUCAUCUUGGACUCACCUUGUUUAAAAAUAAAGAAAAAACAAACGUGUUUGUUCCAUCGAAACUCCGAAAUUAAGCGAGUUCGCGCAAGAGCAAUCCCAUGAUGGGUGACUCACUAGGAAGUUCUCGUGUGAGUUCCCAUAAAGAAAACUGUGAGGGCGUGGUCGGGGCCCAAAACGGAUAAUAUCGUGCUACGGUGGAGUUGAACCCGGAAUGUGGUGGGGGCCUGGGCCGAGAUGUGACAAUUUGGUAUCAUAGCCAAUCCCCAGCCGGAAUUGUGCUGAUGAGGAUGUCGGGCCCCUAAGGGGGGUGGAUUGUAACAUCCCACAUCACUCAGGGGAGUGGAUCUUCUAAGCCUUAUAUGUAUAUUCACAUCUCUACCUAGCACGAAGCUUUUUGGGAGCUCAUUGACUUCGGGUUCCAUUGGAACUCCGAAGUUAAGCGAGUUUGCGCGAGAGCAAUCCCAUGAUGGGUGACCCAUUGUGAAGUUCUCGUGUGAGUUCCCAUAAACAAAAUCGUGAAGGUGUGGUCGGGGCCCAAAGCGAACAAUAUCAUGCUACGGUGGUGGGGGCCCGGGAUGUGGUGGAGGCUCGGGCGGGGAUGUGACAUUAUUCACCUUUAUAAAUUUAAAAAAAAAUAAAAGUAAAAAAAAAUUGAAAUUUUACCAUUGUGCUACGUGGCACAAUCUAGAGGGUUGGAUUUCAAAAUUUUUUUAAUCCAACGGCAUAAAUUAAUUAAGUUAAUAAAAAAUGUUAAAAAAUAAUUAAAAAUCUGAAAAAAAAAUGUGAUUUUACUUUUCUAUAAAUAUUUUCUCAUUAUCUUCUAUUUACACCACAAUUUCAUAUUUUCUCAAAUACUUUCAACCAUAUUCCAAUCUUUCUCUCAAAGUUUCAAUCCAAUUGGUUUCCAACAAAAUGACUAAUGAUGCAGGUACGAAUUGGAUACUUAUUGAAGAUGUUACGUUGUGUUCUAGCUGAGUUGAAGUUACUCAUAAUCCGAUUACGGGUAAUGAGGGACAUGAUUGGUUAAAAAUCUUAUUGGAAAUUUAUCCUCAACGAUUCUGAAAAGGUAACGACAUGUGGCAUGACGACAUUGGAUAAAUAUCUUAUCGAAAUCUAUCACAAAAAAAUUUCUUCUCGGAUAAUAACACGUGGCGCAACUAGAACAAUUAAAAAUCUUAUCAGAAAUUACAAAUAAAAAUAUUUUGUAUUUAUUAGUAAUAUUUUAUUGCCUAUUACCAUAGUUAUUCAAUGUAGAGAUGGAAAUGCAAAAGAUAAUUAUCGUUCAUUAAAGGCUAUUUCAUUGUAACUUGCCCUAGAGAACCUUUGCAACGGUAAAGUUGCUCUUAGGUUUAAAAAGUUCCACUUUUGUUUGUGGGUCAGCAAACAUAGUCCAUAUCCAAAACCUAAAUGGCCUUACCAUAGGUGGGCCUGACCCAAUUUAAUCUAGAAACAAUUUCUUAUUUAUAAUAGCCUUUUUAUUUUCGAAUUUAGGUAGAUCAAGCAUAAAAAGUUAGAUUUUUCUCUACGAGAGUUCUAGAGUGCUCUGGAAUAUCUCAUAUUUAUACUUUAAAAGUUUUAAUCGUUAUAUUUUACAUUUUGUAUUUCUAAAUAAAAAUUUAGCAAUUAAAAAAAUACAAAGUAUUUAUAUUCAGAAAUGCCGUAAAAAAUUACAUCAUUGUAACGGUAUCUCAUAUCUCGGUGAUUAUAGAUGUCAUCAUUUGAGACUCAUCUUGUGUAAACAAGAUGUGCUCAUCUUGGACUCACCUUGUUCAAAAAUAAAGAAAAAACAAACGUGUUUGGUCGGCAUCUUUGCUUAAGAUAUUCUCGUCCCUUGUUGUCGUAAAGUCACCAAUGUCCUCCAAUUUUUCAAACUAUCUAAUGCCGUACGUUAAGCCUACAAUUCAUAGGUCUACCCCAUAUUUCCCCGCUAUUCUCGCUUGGCGUCCUCAACUUCUAUCAAAUACUGUUUGGACCCCCCGUGGCCCUUUCAAAUAGGAUGCAAAAAGACUAUUUUGACCCCAUAAUAUACAAGCUAUCCAACCAUAUGAAGUAGUGCUGUUCUAAAUCAUCCAUCUAGGCACUAGGAGAAUGACUAUCGUCCUGAUUAAUUGCCUCCACGAUUAAUCUCUAGCCUUUUAAAAAUAAAAAAGGGGUCUAGAUUUUUCUAGUCGUCCGCCUAAAUUGACACAGACACCCACCUAGGUUGUGAUUGUUACUUUAACAAAAAAUAGAUUGCUUCCACUUUGCAUUUAUUCUUUCAACAAAUUGUAAGAGACUUGUUAAAUAUAUGAACACUCAUUAUGUGUUUAUAGUCAUUUGCCUGCAGUGCGACAAACGCCUAACUUCUUUUAGAUCUUUGUAAAUUAGUUUGAUAGGUAAAUUUGUAAAUUUAUUGAAAUUUUAUGUUAAAGCACAAAAAUGUAUAGGUUACAGGGACAUUGGUUACUUUACGAUAUAUGGCAAAAAUCAUACUAUAUCUAAUCCACCAAUCAAAGUAAUGUUUGAAUUUUUUUGGUAUGUAACGAGCAAAAAAAGAUACCCUCAUCUUCCUUAAAACAUUGCUUCGUUUGUGCAAAGUUUCUCUCAAUUGCAAAAGUAUAUUCUAACUAAUAUACAAAAGCAACUUGUUCAAAUCACAAAAGUAUUUUACAUAAGUAGACAUUGUACCAAAGUAAAAGAUAAGAGAUGCUGAUAAUUCAUCUUUAUUCAACCUUUAUGGAGUACUGGUUCAGUAGUUGGGACGAAUUUCAGACCCAUAACCUCCACGACUCAUUAUGAAUUCAAUUCCUAAUGCUGGUAAAUCACACAAUGAUGAUCAGAGAAAAACUGAAUACCGUGUCAAAGCUCUUUAAUUUUUUUUGGCGAACUGGAAUAACUAACAACCGGGCAAAGAUGCCAAAGAUACAAAGAAGCCUACCCCAAGGCAAAAGCAAGCAGCAACAACUAAGGAAAAGCAGUACAAAGAGGUAAAGACGACAUCGCACCAAAUGCUAAAAAUGUCACUCCUCAUACUGCCAGGAAGAAAUUAAUGAGGACAAGGGAGACCAUCAUUACACAGAACAUGAACAAGGGAGGAUGGGGGUCUGUUGACCCAAAUAUUAUCACAUACCUCCCUACUUUGCCGCAACGCCAGAAGAUCCGCAGCCAUAUUGGCCGAUCUUGGAACCCAAGACUAGCGGCAGUCAUUAAAAGACUCCCCAAUUCUUUUGCAUCGCGCUAAAAUUGGGAAAGCUUCCCAACUGCCCAUCGUAUCCAAGUCUCGAAUACAGGAUAUGGAUUCCUGAGAGUCAGAUUCCACGAUGACAAAAUUCCAUCCCAUGUUUCUUCCAAACUCACACCCAUGCAGCACUGCCAAAGCUUCUGCCACUGCCACAGAAGAGGCCGUGACCCUCAUCCUGUUCGCUGCCACAAACCUGCCCGCAUCGUCCCGAGCCACAACACCCACAAAACCCGAAGCCCCACUCCUUAACCAGCUUGCAUCCACAUUAAUUUUGAUAAAACCCACACAAGGUGGAGACCAAUGGACAUCAGAAGCCGAUCCAUUGACAGAAAUUGGCAAACUAAUUACCGUAGCCUGAGAAGAUUCCUUGAAGGCAGCCACAAAAUGGGUGAUAACUGCAAUGAUCUGUCGAGGAAAGAUAGGUUGUUGAUUGAAGAUAAAGUUGCAUCUUGCCUUCCAUAUAUACCAACAUGUGGUAGCAACAUAUGAAAGCAUGUUGUUCCUCACACUUGUCUGCCCAUUUACCGAACCAACAAUAUCACCCAACCAAUUAGCCCAAGUUGUGACCGCUCCCCUCCGCAAGCCUCUAGUUAACCUUCCCCCAAGCCAUACCUCCUCUACCCACGAACAUUGGAGAAAAAGAUGUACCAAUGAUUCCUCAUACCUAUUCCAAAUAGGGCAGAUUGUUGAAGAAGAGGAUAUUUACUUUCGUGGCCACUGCCUCUUGUAAGGUCUUCCACAUAAAGGAUCUUUAAUUUGACUACUACACCAUUACAUAAUACUACUGGUCCACAUGCUAUCACGUAACAAGCAGUACAUAAUUGUAACAACACAUGACGUUGUAACAGUAAUAGUUGGAUACUCGAGCAUCUCUCAAUUUAUACCUUAUCAUUGUCCUUCUGCGUUUUGAAUGAGAAAGCGGGCGAGGGCAAAAUCGUAAAGUCCGGAAAAUCAAUUUUCGAAUAUACUUUGCAGGGGGUGCCGACGAGAUUAUCCAAAUCCCACCGCGAUACAUUUGACAUUUCCCAAAUUAGCCUCCACUGCAAUUGACUCCGAAAGCAAAUAAAUAAAAAAUAUAAAAAUAUAAAGCCAGAGAGAGACAGAAAAUCAAAGCAAAAAAGAAAACGAAAAUCGGAUCCGUUUGUCAAAAAUCCAAACCACCGCACCCACCGGCACCGGCACCACCGAAAACGACGCCGUUCACCACCCUUGCUUCUGCACCGGUGUAAUUUUUUUUUUUUUUUGCUAUUGCUGAUCGACUAAAGGGGGCGACUUCCGUCGGCGGUGGGGACCACUCCUUCCGGUGACUCUCCGGUGGCCGGUUGCAUUCUCGGGGGACUUUUUGCCUGACUAUGAAGAAGAACCAAAACGGCGGCAUCAAGGUCGUUCAGAGUAAUCAUCACCAUCACGCCAAUAACAAUGGCUUCCUUCCGAAUUCUCUCAAAUUCAUUUCUUCUUGUAUUAAAACUGCAUCUUCCGGCGUAAGGUCGGGCGCCGCCACCGUCGCCGCCUCCAUCACCGCCGACCCUCACGAUUGCCGAGACCAGGUUUAAUUUAAUUUUUUUUACUUGAAAAUUUAUUUAUUUUCGUAUGUUUGAUUAUGAAGCUUUUGGAAUUGGAUUAUCGGAUUAGCGAUUGAUUUUUGAAUAAUUGUGUUUGGAUGCACGGAAAAUUGGAGAAGAGAGGGAUCGAAAGCGAAAUUUUACUAAAUUUGGGGGAAAAAGAGAGGAAUUAGAAAGUUGGAGUUUUGAACUUUUGUAUUGUUGUGGUUGUGAGUUAAUGUGAUUAGAUUUUUAGUCCGUAGCGAGGAAAAUGAGUGACUGAGAGUGAAAUGUAAAGUUCGAGCUUUGUGUUUGGUUGAUGAGAAAAUUUCAGGACAAAGAAGAGAAAUGUGAGGAGAAGUCUGAAUUUUUCGGCUAGUGUGGAUGUUUGGCUUAAAAAUUUGAACUUUCUUCAGUUUAUGUAUGUUUUGUUGAGUAGGGUUGUGUUUGUAAGAGGUAAUGCUUUCUACUAGUUUAGUAGUUUGAGGCGGAGUAAAAUAAAUGAAGUCCUGGUUAAUUAAUUAAUGUAGAAGUGGAAAUAUAACCCAUUUUACGAUGCGUACUAAUAUCAAAUUUAAGAAUGUGGACUGAUACUGUCAACUUUGGAUGAUUGCAAUCAUCAAAAUUUAAUGAGGUUACCGGAUUGAUAAUUGUAUAUUUAGUGUGAAGGAUAUGGGAUACGGUGUAACGUUAUCAAGUACCCUGUCCAUGAGGUUUUGAUGCUCUUCAAAGAAGAAUCCAAUUAAUGUCCAGUGGACCAUUACCAUUUCAGAAGUAGCAUAUGCAUGUAAGAAAUUUGUGGGGUUUUUUCAUUUCCAAAUUCCGCAAUCAACUGAGAAUUUAAUUCUAGUAUAACAAAAAAAAAAAGGUUUUCGAAACCUGGAAAUUUCUGUAUAUUGAUGGUAUGUGUUUCAUGCCCUGAGAUCCGAGUGGUUAAAAAUUCGUGAGACACGGAAUUAGUUAGAAGAGUCAUUAGUGUCUCAGUGUAUUAUUACGUGUAUCACUGUGAUUUAACUUAUUGUGGCAAACAGGUGUUGUGGGCUUGCUUUGACAAACUAGAGCUUGGUCCAUCUUCCUUCAAACAUGUUUUGCUACUCGGUUAUUCCAAUGGCUUUCAAGUCCUUGAUAUUGAAGAUGCCUCGAAUUUCAGUGAACUUGUAUCAAGGCGUGAUGAUCCAGUUACAUUUUUACAGAUGCAGCCCCUGCCUGCAAAGUGUGAGGGUCAAGAAGGAUUCAGAUCCUCACAUCCUAUUCUCAUGGUUGUUGCAUGUGACGAAAAGAGCACAGGUAUGAUGCAAACAGGGAGAGAUGGGUUGGUCAAUGGUCAUUCUGAGCCUCAAACAGGAAACUCUUCUUUGUCUCCAACAGCUGUUCGGUUUUAUUCGCUAAGGUCUUGCAGUUAUGUUCAUGUUCUAAGAUUCCGUUCAACUGUGUAUAUGGUUAGAUGCAGUCCUCAAGUAGUAGCUGUGGGUCUUGCAUCACAAGUAAGCAUUAACUUAUCCCAUGCUUUCAAUGUUAUUAUACACAUUUAGGAAUGAAUUGCUUUUCCGGCCAAACUGUAGAGGCUGAAUUACUUUAUCAUCCUAUAGAUGUUUUCUGGGUGUGUGCGUGUUUGUGGAAGUCACCAUGUUCCUGUAACAAAUCAGAAGAGUUAGACUGGAUGGUUGUAGGCUACGGGUUUCAAAAAUUCACUGGGGAAGCUACAUCAUUUAAAUAUGAAUGUUAUACAUUUCGUAUCACUAAAUAGGUAAUGAAGUAUUUAAACCUGUCUUUGAGUCCCUUUUGUUUUCUAAUUUUGCUGGCAGAUAUACUGCUUUGAUGCUGUCACUCUUGAGAACAAAUUCAGUGUCCUCACUUAUCCUGUCCCCCAAUUGGGAGUUCAAGGACUGGUUGGGGUCAAUAUCGGGUAUGGUCCAAUGGCUGUUGGUCCCAGGUGGUUGGCUUAUGCUUCCAACAACCCUCUGAUGUCAAACACAGGCCGCCUCAGUCCUCAAAGUCUUACUCCUCCUGGUGUAAGUCCAUCAACUUCGCCAAGUAGUGGGAAUCUGAUGGCUCGAUAUGCAAUGGAAUCUAGUAAACAGUUAGCUUCUGGGUUACUUAAUCUUGGAGACAUGGGUUACAAAACUUUGUCCAAGUACUAUCAAGAUCUUGUACCAGAUGGUUCUAGCUCUCCUGUGUCAUCAAAUUCUAGCUGGAAAGUUGGGAGGGUUGCAUCACAUUCAACCGAAGCAGAUAUUGCUGGAAUGGUAAGUAUUCUUUUUAGCGAAAGUUAUAUUUUAAUUUCACUCUGGAAUCAUCAUUGUUUCAUUAUACUUACAAGAAGAGAAAAGAUUUGGUAAUGUUUCAUUUUGAGACAAUCUGUUUGAGCGAUCGCAUGAGAAUAAGGAUAUUCUGACACUCAAUAUUGUCAAUAGUUUAAAAAACCUGAUUCUAAAUAGCAGAGGGGAUGAGGUUGUUUUUUAUUACCUUGAGCAGUUUUGAUUGAACUGUAUUUACUAAGUGAAAUGGCCUUUGCAGGUUGUUAUAAAAGACUUUGUUUCCAGAGCCAUUGUAUCACAGUUCAGGGCACAUACUAGUCCCAUUUCUGCCCUGUGUUUUGACCCAAGUGGGACUCUUCUAGUUACUGCCUCAAUACAUGGAAACAAUAUAAACAUUUUUCGAAUAAUGCCAUCCUGCUCGCGUAAUGGAUCAGGCACUCAAAGCUAUGACUGGACUUCUUCUCAUGUGCACCUUUACAAACUACAUCGUGGCAUAACAUCUGCUGUAAGUUUUGGUCUUUUGUUGUUUCAUCUUAUGCUAUGACUAUUAUGUUCCUUAUGUUAAUGUGGCUUCUUUUUCCUUGUGCUUAUUAAACAGGUGAUCCAAGACAUUUGUUUUAGUCAAUACAGUCAAUGGAUCACUAUUGUUUCAUCCAGGGGGACUAGCCAUAUUUUUGCUUUGUCUCCAUUCGGUGGUGAAACUGUUCUUCAAAUACAGAAUUCUCAUGUUGACGGAUCUACUCUUUCACCGAUUCCAUCUGCACCAUGGUGGUUUACUCCAUAUUUCACAAGAACUCAGCAACCCUUUUCUCCACCUCCAGCAGCUACCCUUUCUGUAGUUAGCAGAAUAAAAAAUAACUCCGGGUGGCUCAACACUGUUAGUAAUGCUGCAUCUUCUGCAGCAGGAAAGGCUUCCUUUCGGUCUGGGGCUGUUGCCGCUGUAUUCCAUAGUUCUGUACCUCAUGAUAUGCAAUCUUCCCAUGCGAAGGUCACUGCAUUGGAGCACGUAUUGGCUUAUACUGCUUCUGGUCAUGUAAUUCAGUAUAAACUACUGCCUUCAUUGGGAGGAGAGCCAGGCGACGCUGCUUCGAGAGCAGGGCCAGGUUCUUCAGUACAGAUACAGGAUGAAGAUUUGCGAGUGAAAGUUGAAUCUCUUCAUUUUUUGGAUGUUUGCCGAAGAAAUGAUUGGCCUGAAAGAGAGGAAUGCAUUUCUGGGGUUAUACUUGGGAAACAAGAAGAUAUUGACACAAUUGAUAGUUCUGACUGUGAUGAUAGUGAUGUUGGGGAUAAGGAGUUGGCAAAACCCCUUGAACGAUCUCAUGUGUAUCUCUCCAAUGCUGAGGUUCAGAUCAAUUCCGGAAGGAUUCCAAUCUGGCAAAAGUCGAAGGUACCUUUUAUAUUUUGUCAGUGAGAUCUCUUUUGCUUAUCACCAUUUUCAAACAUGUUUGUGAUCCUUUUAUUUAUGUCUUAGAUAUAUUUCUAUACAAUGAGUCCAUGUGCUGCUGGUGAGCUAAAUUUUAGUAAAGAUCUUACCCGCGGAGAGAUGGAAAUAGAGAAGGUUCCUGGUCAAGAGGUUGAAAUGAGGCGGAAGGAUUUGCUACCUGUUGUUCAUCCCUUUCAUAGAUUUCGGUCUGACUGGAAUGGCAGGUAAUGUUGCUGCUGUAAUCAUGUUAAAAUGAAAAUGAAUUCGCGGCUUUAUUGUUUUGUAGCAUUUUGUAUGAAUCCAUCUUGUAUCUUUUUUCUUGCUCCUGGAGGUUGUUAAGAUUCCUUGAAAAUCUGCAUCUUUGCAUUUCUUAUAUGCUUUGUGUUUGUGGCUCUAUAUGGUUUGAUGACCUUUUCUGAGAGGCUAGAGGUUUCUUGAGCAUGCUUUUUUUUUUUAAAUAACAACUAAAAUGUAUCACAAAAAUCGCUUUUGAAUGUUUUCACCAUUAAUUGAAUUUGUUGGGCACCUUAUGCAGGCAUCUACUUGGAGGAGGAUCCUCGAGUUCAUCUUCUGAUUCUCAUGAAGAUAAAGAAAAGUUUCAGGAAAAUUCUGGUAUUUCUGGUGAGAAUUUGACACCUAUUGGCUCAGCUGAAAAUGGUAACCCAGAUGCUGGUAAGAAUCCUGGUAGUUCUGAUGUAAUAUUGUUAUUGUUUUAUGGGUAGAAGAGGAUUUUCUAAUGCAACCUUUUUUCUUUAACGAAUGGUUAGGUAAUUCCUAUCCAUAUAUUCUCCAACCUGGAAAUGGACAGAAUGGCGAAAAAAGAGGGAGAUCAUUUUCAGUAUCACCUCACUUGAACCAUAUAUCCACAAAGAAAAAUAUUACUUCAGUAUCCCUGAAACAACCAACCUCAGGUGUUUCUACUGGUGAGGAUAGUAAUUUUUCAAAAUGUCUAUCCACUUUAACAAGCGGCUCCCUUUCAGCUGAUAGAACAAUUGCAACAAGGGUUCGGUCGGUGAAUAGUGGUGGGGCCAGUAAAGGUUCCAAUGUAAGUUCUAACCAUUCUGAUCUUAGUAUGAACAUGCUCGAUGAGGGACCAGUACAUGAAUCACCGGAUUUUGAGCCUUUUUUCCAAGAGGGGUAUUGUAAAGCAUCACCUCUGAGCAACUUUCGUGAGUCGACUGAAGGUGUAACUGAUGUUGACAGCCCCUGUGAUAGGGAGAAAUGCGAGGAAGAUGGUGAUAGUGAUGACAUGCUUGGUGGUGUAUUUGCCUUCUCCGAGGAAGGUGAGAUUUUGACACAUUAAUCACUUUGAUCACUUUUAAUUAGAAAUUGUCUCAUUUAUGGAAUGUUUACAACUGAAGAUGAAUGCUUCCAAGUGCUGGUAGCAUUUUCAUAUGUGGAGCAAUCACGUAGUAUUGUACUGGAUUUCACUAGUACUUUGUUGACUUCUCAUUCAUGUUCCAACACCUUUUGCACUCAUCUAGAUUCCCUUCUUGUGGGAUGUUAGGUACACUAAGUUGGGCAUACUAAAUUUUAGACGGUACGGUUUCUUAGACUAUAGAAGCUAUCCUUGUCAGAUUGUACGGGAAUGUUGUAAAGACGUUGAGCAAUCACGUAAUAUUACAUGACUAUUCUAAUGGGUCCACAUAUCAGUCGAGUAAAGUUUGCCGAACAUGUUGCCUUGAGGUAUACAAACUUUUUUCUCCUCUUGUUUUGCUAGAAGUGCAUUUUAAGGGCUUUUUUGGGAAGUCGUCGCAGAUUUGUGUUGGAAGGUUUGGGUAUUUUGCAUGCAAGAAGAUUUUCGGAUGCUUUUCUAAUGACAGUUGUAUAUCCAUUCGCAUUAGAAUGUGAUGAUGAUUCUGCAUAUUAACAUUAGCAUGACAAUUUAUCGCCUUUCAUGUUCGUGUGUUAUAUUUGUACACGUUAUUUUAUUGUGAGUAGCUUUACAAUCAACGGAAGGUGAUGGAACCUGUUGGAAAAUUGGAUCUGUAAGCCACUGAUGUUUCCACACUUUCUGUUGCAGGAUGAUGUACCUCCCGGUGCCCGAAUUGCACUGAAGGAAUCCGAACUUCCCUUAUUUUCCACGAGUAUUGUAAGAACGAUUGGUCAAAAGCUCGGCCAAAUGCCAGAUUUGAAAUUUAAUUGAUGAAGUUUCAGGUUGUUUAUUUUCGACAUUGGAAACGCUACUGACCAAUUGAUGCACGCGAUGUAAUCUUUGGAUCGUCGCCGUCGCAGUGCCGCUGGGGCAAAUGCCUGGUACUUCCCUUCUAAUUCUCAUUGUAUACGUUGUAAAUUGAGAUUCAUAAAUGGAAAUGAUGUGUGGACAGGUUCUUUUAUGUGUUGUAUAAAAUUGUUCAUUCUUCAAGGAAAAGAAAAAUUAAAGAAGAAAAGAGAAUUUAAAGAGAACAUAUAUUUUUACAAAUUGCUUUAGUUUUAUGAUUAGUUUCUAUAUAAAUUGCAUUUUAUUUGGUCAAGGAGUUGGAAGGCUCGUUUGGAAGUGCUUUUAAAGUCACUAAAAGUACUUUUGGUGAAAUUAAUUUUGCGUUCCAGAAGCAAUGUUUUUUGGAAGAUGCAUCAUGUAUGUUUUUUGUAGAAAACACUUUAAAGUGUUUUUUCAGAAUUCAUUGAGAUUUUUAUUAAGAAUUGGUUUCAUGAUUAUUUUCACCAAAAACGCUUUUGUUAUUAGGAUUUGGUAAUCUUAAAAAUCCAUUAGACUAAAUGAAAGUACCAAAUUGGCAAUGGCCUCUUAGGUUUGCAUACUUUAGUGCUUAUAAUUUAUCAGGAGAUAAAACUUGUCCACACUGGGAACAAGGCCAUUGCGAUGAUUUUUCAAGUCAAUUACGCAUUAUAAUGUGUUUUUAACUUUCAACAAUGACUUUGCAUAAUUUACCAUCACAUUGACAUCUCGUUACAAAGAAGUUAUCUGAAUUCAUAGGUUUAGAGCUCGUUCGGUGCCUAGGAUUGUAUUGGAUGAAGUCGUUCAUAAACUUUAAGGUAUAUAGAAGGUCAAGGUGACGUAUUUUUAUUUUGAGAGGAUUAGAAGGGGAUCAUACACGAAUGGAAACUUAUUUUUUUAAUCCUUGUCAUUUCUUCUUUCAAAUAAUGAAUUAACUAAUCAGAUCCAGUCUUACGCACCAAACGAGGCUGAAAAGUAAAGAAAUAAUUGAUCGAGUAGCUUCUUCUCAUGAACUAAAAUUUAAGAAACACAGAAAAAGUUCGAACUCGAAAUAGAUAAGGAUGGACUCACAUGCACAAUAGCUAUAGACUAGCGUAUGGAUUUGUGUGUUGUAUAUGGCGUGCAUAUGCUUUUGUUUUCAAGGCAGACAAACAAAAGGGAAAAGAUUGUUGAAAAACCUGUGGCUAUUUUUCAAUAUUUCUCAAAUAGUGAGAAUAAUGCACCAUCAUAAUUGAUAAACGUUAACAUGAUUCUUUCAAAAGCGGAAUUCUCUGUCAUAUUAAAACGACACUCUCUGUCAUAUUAUGUUUUUUGCAUAAUAUUUUAUAAAAUUAAUACGAAAAUUGACGUUAAACUAUGAGGUGACAGACAAUCUAUAAAGGAUUCCACUUUUGUAAGACUCCCUGUAGCAUUUCUCAAACUUUUAUGGAUGUACAAUUGUUUGGUACAAUAACUACUUAUUACUUAACGAGAAAACAUGGAGGCAAAGCUUUGAUAGAUUCAUGGCUUUGGAUACCCCAAAAACAUGCUACAUUUUUGUACUUUUGUGGCCUACCAUUCAAUUAAAUUUUAAAUAAUGGGGGCAGUAGGAACCUAGAUCCUAUUAAACAUUGUGGGUCCCCCUUUGAUGCCCUUCAUAUCAAGAUGGAGAUUUGGGGAAGGAAAUGGAGAAUGGAGUGGUCCCUCCCUUUUGUAAUUUCAAUCUCCUACCAAAAAUGGUGAUCCAAAUUUGAUUGCAGAAUUUACCGUAAUUGUAGCAUUUUGGGUCAGUAAUACAAAGUAUCGAGAGUUUUUGGAGGAGGGAGAGGCGAGAGUUUCUGGGUGUAAUGGUCUUCUUUUUUUAGGGUGAGAGUAAGUUCUUCACAUACGAUCGUUGAUGAACAACUAAUCUCAUCUAAUCUUUUUCUAUUUGAAUAAAAAUAAAAAGAAUUUUUCUUCCUAUAACCUUACAUUGUUGAAGCGAAAUGCUAUGUGACAAUAAAUCUGUCCAAUGCAAGAUACUCUGAUAGAUUUGAAGAGCGUGAUUGUGUACAGAAGCCACAAGGGAGUUAGGGGUUUGGGCCCUAUGGCAUUGGAACCCCAUGGCAUGCUCGGUCGGGUUGAAAACGUUCUAGAGUUGUCCUUUGUGGAAUUGGAUUUGUCCUCACCAAUAAGGUUGGGAAUGAGUCACUUCCUUCAUGUGGUCUCUCUAUUGUCCUUGUGUUUAGUGAUGCGAUAAAGUUCCAAGCUAAGCCCUAGCUAUCUAGGUUGGGGGGUAGAGUAUGAACCUGUGCCAUGUAAGUGUUUUUUAAUGGGGUGAAGAAGACAAUAUUCUCAGUGGUGGAGGGGCUAGGGGUAGAUAGAAGGGUAUCUUAAUGCGGCAUUGAAAUUUCUCUCAGUUGGGCGUCGAGGGUAAUAAAGAGGGAAUUGACCAUUAUUUGACAAUUACAAAUCUUUUCAGCUGUAAAAGAAAAAUCAACACGACUAAUAUGACUAAAAUAGAACGUAACAUGUGAUAUGUCUGAUCGACAACUUUCAAUUCAAUUUAAUCAUUCGUAUACAACCUUAGUAUUAUCUAUUGUACUACUUUACGUGGUAUAUAUACAUGAGCAUUUUAGAUAUUUCACGUGUUUCUAUUUUUGUCAUAUUAGUUGUGUUGGUUCUCCUAUCUCAUCAAGAGGAAUUUGUAAUUGUCGGCUAAGUCCCAAUAUUCUAAGCGUGUGGCUGGUUUUGAGUUCACUACUUACUAUUUAAAGCAAACCUAAUCCUAAUAAUGUUCUAUGAGGGGGUCAAGGUGCCUUUGGAUCACCAAUUCCUUGAAGUCUUUAGGUAUGGGAAUCGGAACCAUUGGCCAACUCACUGAAGCACUUUUAUGAAUAACAAUGCUUGUACAGAAUGCUUUUUUGGUUGAAAUAAGGUUGUAGAAAGUGCUUGUUGGUAAAGCAAAAGUUAAACGAAAUUUGGGUCAAGGCAAGAGACUUGUAAAUCACGCGAGGCCCCACGGUAAUUCUACCACCAAUCCAUUUGGGUUAGAUCUUUGAUUGAUGGGUAUAAGAUAUUAAAGAUUGAAUGAAAAUUUCACAAAGCAGAUCGAAGCUUAUCCAAAUUCCAAAGUCAUAGGUUUCCAACCAAGUUGAUCAUCACCAAUGGGACUGAAUGACAACUCACAUUGAGGUUAAUCCAAAUUGAGCCACAAAAAUGGAAUAUGAUCAUCUUCGGAUCCCUUUCAUUCGGAUCCUUCAAUCAUGUAUGUUCAACCGAAAAUUGAAUGGCCAUCAUUAAUUAACUUUUUUUUUUUUUUUUUGCUUUUUCAUGUUUAUCUUCUUCCCUCUUCUCAUUCUCUCUCCAUCUCACUUCUCUCCCUAUCUUGGAGGACCUGGUCAGUUUUUGAUAACUGGAGGCCGGAAGACGACAGGGUGAGCGUGGUGGGUCGGCAAUCGGAGAGAGCUUAACAAAAGGUCAUUUCCAAUUUGAAUGAAAUCGUGCCAAUGCACCCAUUGCAAUGAGAGUGUUUUACGCGAACACAAACAUCAAGAGGGUGAUAUUCUAAACCUAUUAUGCAUCAUCUUGUGUUCUAACCGUUAAUUGUCCCCACGUAUAAUAGUUUAGAACACAACCAUCUCGACAUCCCGAUUCCAUAAGUAGCAAACAUUAUUGUCAUGAAACCAUUCUCAUUUCUCACAAAACCCUAACAAAAAAUCAUUUAUCAUUUGAAUGAAAUCAUGCCAACGCACCCCUUGCAAGAGAGGGAUAAAAAAGGAUUCAACGGGAUAGAGUUACAUACCACUCAUAACCACAUUCUCUCACAUAGCAUCGUUUAAUUAGCUUGAGACACGGUCAUAUUAGCGUCCUGGUUUAUGAAGUUCUCACUUCGAACAUGUUACGUGUAGAUAACAAAAUCAUCCUCAACCCAAGAACGAUGCCUCAAAAUUUGUGACACCUGCAACCACUUGCACCAAAAUCCCAUACAUACAGGCAUUGUCCAGUGUCCACCCUUACACGGUGCUUUGAACUACUCACACGUGUCUUAUGCCAGAAAAAAUUGAAAGAUCAAAACGACUGAAACCACAUGGUUUGUUGAAGGAGUAGGGCCAGUUUAAGACUAAAACCAGAGAGAGAGGCCUUUGUGUUGAAUGAAUUGUCCCUGUUUGUUUCCAGUUACCUGGUAUUAACCAAUUAUCCACACCAACGGCAGCAGCCAAUCAAAAUGCAACAACUCAAACAACCAACAAAGACAAGACCAACAUCCAAUUAAUUAUAAAGAAUCUUCAAAAGAUUGAGGGAUCAACGUGUUUAAUAUUGUGAAGGGAGGCAAGUGAAAAAGAAAGGUGGAGAGGUUAACUUGAAGUAUGCAGUUUCUUUGAGAAUCCAGACAACAAAAGUUCAGUACUUUAUCGGAAUCCAGGGUCUCCUCUCCUGAUCAUUUGGCGACUAACGAUACAUAUAUAAACACUAAAAAUACGUUUAUUUGUUGUUCAUUUUUCAUAUCAAAUUCAAUAUAUAGUUAGGGAUCAUACAUUUUUUUAAUCACCGGAUGACCAAUAAAGCAUUUUCGUAAAAUUCAAAGAAGAAAAAUUUAAUACUUUAUUAUACCAACUUCUAUAAAUUAUAAUCUUGGUGCUUAGAAAUGUUCAAAUUUCGCUUUUAUUGUUAAUGUGAUGAGCAAUGCCCUCUUAUUUGACAAAUUUUAUUAUUAUUUUUAAUUUAGGAAUAAGACAAAAUCUAUCAAAAAUAAUAAAAAUCCAGAAGAUAUGGAUGCAACAUUGUCUGAGGUCACUUUCACUUGAAGUUGGCUCAAAUGUGGGUAAAGCUCUCUUCAGUUAAUAAAGUAGAAGUUGGCUCAAAUGUGGGUAAAGCUCUCUUCAGAUAAUCUCAAAUGUUUGCAUCAUUGCACUAAUAAGGUAAUAAUCAAUGUAGAAAUAAUCUUGCCCCCACAUAUAAGAGGGUGUGUGAGAAGUAAAAAUGAGUAUAGAUAGCACACCUCAAAAAAAAUUGUGUAUUACACUAAAUAAUAUGACUUCCUGUAGAUUUACUUUCUAAAUAAUAUGACUUCCUGUAUUUUGGUUUUACUUAACACUCACAACGGUUUAUCCAAUAUUGGAAAUGACCUAAUUAGGCAGUCAUACUUAAAUUUUUUACGGGGAGGGAGAGAGGGAAAUAAUUACUUAAAAGAAAAAGAAGGGGAAGGUGAACGGUACAUGGCAGGAGGUUUUGGAUCUUGUGGUGCUUUUAAAAAGGGAGAAAAAGGAAAGAGAAAAUGAAAAUAGGCUGGCAAGUAAUCAAGGAAGGAAUACUAGAAAAGGUGAGUUCAUGUACCACGCAUUUAUACAAUUUAGAGCCCACAAAGGUAGGAAUCUUAAUUUAGAGCUUCUCUCCUCGCACUCCAAGAUAAAAAUUAGAGCAACCCCUGCAUUGAGUUUUCCUCUAUUUAAAGGGGAGGAAAGGGUGCAAUGAAUUCAUAAAUCCUCUGAAAAUUCAAAUAAAAGAAAGAGAAAAAAAAUGAAUGUUGAAAAGCUUGGGAGUGAUGCCAUGGAUGGCGUUUCUCAGUUGCAGAAGCAGUUGGUUGACUACACAGCUUCACUCUUUGAUGAGGUCAGUAUACAUACAUACAUAUAUACAUAUAUACAUAUGAUAUAUAGAUAUAUAGGUGGAUUUUGUGUGUUUGUAUUUGCAGAUUAUUGGGUUGGAUUUUCUUUUUCUUUUUUGGUGAUAAGUAUGUUUCUUCUUUUGUGUGAAGGCAUUUCUGGAUGAACAGUUCAACCAACUUCAGCAACUGCAAGAUGAGAACAACCCAGAUUUUGUAGUUGAAGUGGUGUCUCUUUUCUUUCAAGAUACUGAGAGGCUUGUUAAUGAACUCGCAAAAGCUCUGUAAGAAUUCAUAAAAACUUUCCCAUCAUUGAUAUUCUAAGUUUUUAUUCUUUUUUAAAGUAGCUUUCUUUCCUUGGUAGGGUUUCUACAGUCAGGAUCUCUUCAUUCUGUUUUAUUUUAUUUUUUUAAUUUUUGGGUGCAGAGAUCAGCAGUGUGUUGACUAUAAGUUUGUGGAUAAAAGUGUUCACCAAUUGAAGGGUAGCAGCUCCAGGUCUAUACAUACAUUUAUAUAUGCUGUUUCAAUUGAAAAUAUAUUUGAAAUAUAUAUAGAAUAGGCCAGUAAAUUUCCCAACAGUUUUAGUUUUGAUGAAAUGAAGAUUAAAGUAAGACUCAAAAGUUCCAAUAAUAUGAGUGAAAUAUCUUUUUAAUUUGGAGGGUUUGUCAAUUAUCAUAGAGCAGAUAUGUCAUAUCAAAAAAUAAUAUUACUUCUAGUUGUGGAAAUAAUCUCUUUGCAAAAUAAAGGUUAAGGCAUAGAUCACCCCCCUCUCUCCUCUUGACCCUUGCAAAAGUGGGGAACCUUGUUGGCUCUGGGUAGCUCUUUAGUCAUCCCAACUUUGUUCCACAUGAAGGAAUGUACAUUGUUAAACAUAACAUUCCCAAAGUAUUUCUGAGCUGAAAGUAUAAAUUUUUCGAAGAAGAAAUUUUAUUUUAUUUUUUUAUUAGUUUUGUGUAUGCUCUAUAUAUGUUUCUUCUGUUGGUGUUUGAUGAAGAAAACUGGUUCUCUUGAAUUAACAGCAUUGGUGCUCAGAGAGUUCAGAGGGCCUGCAUUUCAUUCCGGAACUUCUGCGAUGAGCAGAACGUCGAAUGGUAAUCUUUCAUGAUUGUGAAAAUAUUCAGAUUCUGAACCCUGCUUGAGUAACAUUGGGAAAAUUUGCAUGUAUAUCUGAAAUUUUGAAUGAAAUAUAAUAUUGGCGUAGGUGCAUAAAAUGUCUGCAGCAGGUGAAGCAUGAGUAUUUACUUGUGAAAAAUAAACUGGAAAAUCUUUUCGAGGUAAGUAGUUGAAAUAUUUGUUUCAUAUUAAAACAAGCCUUUUUGCUAGGUCUUAGUAUCAAAGCCUUGAUCAUGUUCUACUUCGUUCACCUGUAGCUGCAGAGACAGGUUGUGGCGGCUGGCGGUUCGCUUCCAAGGUAAUGCAAAAUGGUGAGAGAUCGAUCCAGUGACGGGAAGUUUAUGAUAUCAGCAGAUUAAAUAACUGAGGGAAGCACAUUGUGGGGCUGUUGCUGGAUAUGCAUUGAAGCUUUUCUAUUUUUACUUUCUUCUUUUUGUUCAUCUCCUAUUUGGUUGAGCCUCCAAAUUGCUUGGGGCUCAAAAGAAGUUGAGCUGAACUGAGUUAUAUGGCAAAGAAUGUGAAUUAAUGAAUCCUUUCUACCUCAAUGUUCAUCAAAUUAAAAGAGGAAAUUGGUAACUUCUCUGCCAAAAAAUAUUGAAUCACUCAUUAUUCUCUAAAUUUUCACUCUAGUUUACAACUGAUUCCUAAACUAAAAUUCAUUAAUUGAGGUCUACGAAUUUAGUAAAACAUGCAUCAUUAGUCACUUGAUGUUAACUUUUAUAAGAACUAAUAAUAAUAUGCUGAUAUGACACACAUAUGGGUCCUACUAAUUAAUAUGUAUUCAAGGAUUAAAUUUAAACUAAGGUGAAAAUUUAGGAACCAAAUCUAAACUAAGGUAUAUAUUUAGGGACCAAUUGCGGGUCCUUGCUCAUGACAUGUAAUCAAAUUGACAAAAAUGUCUAACAAAUGGAGAAAUUGUGCACGUUUUGUUAAACUCAUGGACCUCAAACUAAUUUUUAGUUCAAAGAUCAAAUCUGAACUAGUGUGAAAAAGAUCAAGAACCGAUUCUAAAUUUACUCUAAAUUAAAAUCCACCAACCAUUUUAUUGGGUUGUUGGUUAAUUACUAAUUAGCAUGUUUUUUAUUUUAAUUGUGCUUACAUUUAAUUAGAAAAUUAUGAGGGAAUAUAUACCUAGUGGUAAGGACAUUAUAUUAUGGUAUAAAAAAAGGAGGGCAAAUCCAGUUUGUUAGGAUGAUUAGUUGAAUGAGAAGUACUAAUUAAUUUUUAAUUAACUUGUGGGAUAAUCGACAGGACACUCUGGAAGUCUGGAGGAGGAGGGUAAUGCGGAAACAACGGCCAUUAAUAAUAUAUACAUGCAUGCUGAAAUGCCAAAGUAUCUUCUGUGUAUGAUUUUAUUCUUCUUCGUCCAACCGUAUCUUAUAUUUUUGUAUUCCUUUUCUUGCCUCACGAUUCACUAGACCACACUGCUUAUUGAACUAGAGAAAUUUCGGUAGCGCUGAUUGAUAAGGGAAGUUUUCAAAUCAGAAUGGAUCAAAAUAUAGUUAGGUAUGACCAACACAAUAGAUACAUGAAACGUCAUACUUUUAAAAGUAGUUAUUAUCACAUUUGUUACAUCCAUGAUACAAAUCACGGGUUCGAGUCGUGGAAACAACCUAUUUGCAAAGCAAAAGAUAAGACUGUGUACAAUGGACGUUCUCCCCCCCCCCCUUUCCUUCUGACCCUUGCAAAGUGAAGAGCCUUGUUGGCUAAAGAUCGCCCAAAGAUGAACCCACUUUUUUUUUUAAUUUAAACAUUGAAAAAUAGAGUUCUGUUCUAAAUAUUUUUGGAUGAAGUGAGGUGUUGGUGUGGCUCUUCCAAUUAAUAAUUGUGAUAACCAAAUUAUUGUGGAAGUAGCAGGAUUAUUGGAAAGAUAAUGAUCAAAACAAACCAUGCUUCUGAAGUAGGGAUAGCCACCCUAUACGUUGACAAAUAUGCACCUACAUUUGAAUGGAAAAUAGUAGGAAUAUAUUAUGAACUCAACCUAAUAUUCCACAUAAUUCCACGAUUCACUUGCAAUCCUUAUUCAAGAUUUGGCUGAGUAGGAUGAUGGAGAUAUCUUCCAACUAGUGAUACUAGGUUUAACCAAGUUGACUAAAAUGGUUUGCUUUAUUCUCUGCACUGGAGUUCGAUUCCUUUUUUAGUAGUUUAAAUUAGAUUAAUUUAAAUAUCGUUGUAAUCAAAUAAGGGAAAACAAAGGGGGGAAUGAAAAUGAGAGUUACAAAGGAGGGUAAAUUAUUGUAAGCUGGCUUAGAGGAUGGACCCCUGUCGAGAAUUACUUACAUGAAAUAGUAAAAUCAAGGUUGAAAAAAUGGAGAAAGAGUACUUUCAGAUUUCUAACUUUCCUUGUAGUUUUUCUUUACUGUCAAACAAAAAUGGCUUAGAAAGAUCAAGAAUGUAACAAAACAAGUAGGAAUUAUCAAGGAAAAAACCCUUUUUCCUUUUUUCCCACAUAAAAGUCUGCUGUUGCUCACUAAAUAUUUUAGCAAAUUUUUCAUAAUUUGCAUCUGGAUUUACACUGCUCAAUAUCUUAACCAUAUUUGUUUGAUUAUUUUCAUCGAUAAGCAGCUACCGGAUUUAUGACACAUAUCCGUCUGCGACCGACGAGACAUUUUUUAAUAUGUCGAAAACAUGAUUCUAUACACUUAAGUGUAACAUACAAAUGAUUGGAAACUUGAAAAAUAAAUGUCAACCAAUUGUAUUAUGACACUCGGUAUACUGCGCCCUAUUUCCAGCACACUGAAAAAUUUCUCCUUCUCGACCACCUUGAGGGGUUUAAACUCAUAGAUUUGGUUUAACUGAGAUUGCUUGCUGCCCAAGAUUACAGCUCCAAGGAUUUCCCCCAGAAAUGUGUCCUGUGAAAUGACAGAAUGGAAAGAAAGUGAGUUCUUCAAGUCAUGUAGUGUAGUUGACAAAUGUAAUGAAACUUCUUAUUUGGUGAUGUGGGAGCAUAUAUGACCGUUAAAUUUGAUACAUGGAUAAUCUGCUCUAUGGUACAUUACGAUCGAUGUGAACAUCCAUCAUUCGAUAUAGAAUUAAUACGUAUCUACUCAGUGCGGAACUAUAGAAACUUGAAUUUAAUCAGAUGGAAAGAUUAACAGAAUAAGAAAAAACUGACUUUAUGGAACUUUACCAUGUGAGGGUAUCUAUGAUGAUUCAGUUUCAGUUUUCUUAGCCUCGAAAGUAGACGCUGGGCGAAUACAGCUUCAGGAGUCCUAUCUGUUAGCUGCAAUUUAUCAAGCAUAUCCUGGAAGGAACUGACUUGCUUCUGGGUUCUCAAGGAAUCAGUGUUAUGUUCAGUUUCGGAUCGAAAACUGCCCUUGCAGCCAAAGGGUUAAGAAACAUGUUAAAUUCUUCGUAUUCAUUUGAAGGAACAGUGAACAGAUUUCCCUUUUCGUUAUCAUGGCGAAUGUGUCCCUCAACGAUAUAUACAUCCUACAAGGAGAACAGUGAAAAUGGCAUCCAACUUAAAAUGUCAAAUAAAAAAUUGAGACUUAAAUUUCUCAAUCAACAAAAACCAAAGUUCCUUUUGACGAAAUAAGCGUAUCCAGUUGCAUGAUCAUAGUGACAAUAAUUACCUAGAUCAUUGAAUCUGCCUUCUCAGAAAGAAUGAUUUCGGCUAAAUUUGUCAAAUGUCCAUUGUGUGAGAAUGUGAGGACCAAUGUCCCAUAUUAGUGAGGGAUCAAAUCAUGCAAGGGCUUAUAAAAGGUUAGGUUAUUCUUCAUAUUGACAAAUUGAUUUUACAGUGAUAAACAGUUAAUGAUUCGUGGAACAACUUUCGUAUACCAUCUUUUGUUUGAAGGAAUGGUGAACAGAUUUCCUUGUUCGUUACCAUGGCGUAUGUGUCCCCCAACAUCCUGCAAGGAAAUCAUAACAAUGAAAAUGUCAAUCCAGUAUCAAAGCGUGACAUAAAAAUUGAGGCUUAAUCUUCCAUAGCGACAACAUUUACGUGGACCACCGAGUCUGCGUUCUCAAAAAGAAUGAUUUCGGCUAAAUUUGUCAAAGGUCCAUUGGUCAACAAGGUAAUCUUGGAUCCUGGAUCGAGUGAUUUUACAAUGGUCUUCCACACCUCUAUUGCAAUUGGCUGUCCGAGGGAAGCGAAAGAUGAAUAAUAUUGACCAACUGCAAACACAUUUCCAAGACCAACCAGAAUAUCAUCACGGCCCAUCAUAUAUAUGUAGUAUGUCAUAAACAACAUCUAUGGUUGCAGCGGUUGCCCAACCAUUAGCACUAACUUGUAUUCUGUGGAGACAUCAUUUUGUAUAGUAAGAGCUGCAUCUUCAAAGGCAUGUAUGUUGCCCUACAAAAUGUGUAAUUGCUAGUAUGCCCGUCCUACAAAACUACUCAGUUAAGCUAUUCAUUUGUAUUAGUGCAUGUGUAGCACUAGCACCAAACCUCAGAAAGCUUAUGAAGGCAGUAUCAUACCUUUAGGUUGAUCCGUUCCACAGGUAAUUUUAGAAGAGCUAGAAAGUCUCCAGCACUCAUAUUAUAUCAAAUACUAGGGAUUUACCCAAUAAUUUCUUUCCAAAUCUUGUUUUCAAAGUAUGUACACUCUCGUGGAGUGGAAGCUGUGUUAUAAUAUUCGGCCAUCCAGUUUCUUAGGUCGAUUUAUAACCUGCAUUUGACUCAAUUAUUGAAGUUACCAUUAUCUAUCAAGUACAAAAGGAAAUAGGUUAUCCAAGAAAUUUUUGUAUGUCUUAAUUGAAUGGAGAACACUUAUUGACCUAAAAAUUGGUACAUUGUAGUCCAGAACUAGCUUACAUCCAAGAAACUGUCGUAAAAUCUUUGGCACGAGUACUAUUACUGUCAUGAUCAUGCUUAGCUUCUGUUGCAAUAAAUACGCUAACUGCUUCCGCACCAGUUGUCUCCUUCGUGUAGCAUUGUCCAAAGUUCAAUUAGUUGUUACAUCUUAAAAGGCGUAGAAUUAUCAAGAAAUCAGUAAAUGUAUAACAAAGAAACUGGUGUAGUAACUAGGAAGCAUACGUGAAAUUUUCCUUUCCCCUCUAUGAAGAGGCAAAACGGGUAUUCAAUUCCCAUUACCCUAUUCUUCUGUAAACCGAAAUUUGGGAUCGAACGCCCACCAAUGGUCAGAGGGUUUGAGCCGUCUGAUAUUCCAUAAGGUUUGUUUGAAGUUAUCACUGCGAGGUUCAUGUAUUCCAAUUUGGCAAAUUCAUUUUCUCUGUGAUCUUUCUCUAAACUACGCAUUUGAGAUAGCGCUACACCAACCAUAAAAGGAUCCCACAUGGAAAAUUCCUGCGAAAUAGUCAAUAUCUCAUGAAUAUAUAUCAGAGGUAGACAAUCAUCUUGAUGUUUCAGAAUUUUAGCUCAUACGAAGAAAAGCCUUAUAAAAUUCAUCAUUCCACCAUGUAUCACGAACCAUUUUUGAGGACUGGAAGCUAUAUUGUGCUUCAUAUUUCUCCUGUUUCUGUUCAAAUGCUUUGAAAGAAGUCUCAUAUUGAGGAAUUGUUCUUGUUGCAUCCAGAGGAACGAGCGUGACUGGAACACCACAAUGUAAUACCUGAUUUGUUCAUGAUCAUUACCAAUAUUGUACGUUAAUUAAGCACAGAAUGACCAUCAAACAACUAUAUACCAUGUUUGCAGCAAAAGGAUCUCCAAAGAUAUUGUACUCUCCAUACGGAUUGCUGUCUUGUUGAAACAGAUUAUAAUACUAAUGUCACCACACAGCACUGAAGUGCCCUUAUCUGAGCAGGUUGAUAUGAAAAUAUGAAUAUACCCUUAAAUUAUGAAGGUUGGUUGUGGGUGGCCAGGGUGGUCAGUGAAGGGUGGGGCUAUAAUUGCUAAUGGUUUUGAGAAAUUUGGAAAAAUAACGUAAAGUGGAUAUGAAAAUAUGAAUAUACCCUUAAAUUAUGAGCUCAAAAUGAAUAGAUCAAAAGUUGAUAUGAAUUUGCCACCUAUAAUUAUCAUCCACACAUCAACUUUUUCAUUAUAAGAGUCAAUUUAAAAUUGAUGUGUCACCACAAAGACCACAAAAAAAUUUGGCUUUGAACUUUUGUUUGAUUCAAAAAUUCAAAAUUAAGGUAACUAUAUCAAAACGCCUCUAUUUUUGUUUUAGUGAUAUGUCAAGAAAUCACAUUUUUUUACUAAUAUGGUGUACCAUUCUUUCUUUUCUUUUUUUUAUUCUUAUUUUUCUCCAUUUGUUUUUAAAUUAUAGAAAGUUCAUAUUCUUUUGCAUUUUGUUAUGAAAUAUAUUUUUUUGGGUAAUACGAGCGAUACCAUACAAGAAAAUUUAGAAAUAACUCCAAAAAUUCAGAAUUUGGUUCUUUUAUAAAUCUAAUUUAGUUUUUGUAUUUUUCUACCAUAAACAUGAAACCUCCAUAAUAUAAAUAUAGUGCAAAGGGCUCACUUGCUAAAGUGCAAAACAAUCACUGAUUGAUCAUCUUAUCAGUUCAAAAUGUGACACAGUCCAGAAAACAGGAAGACUAAGGCAACUAUUGUCUUCUUCUUUUUUAUUGCAUUUUGUGAGUUUUUCUUCCUAUUACGUAAUUUCACUUCCUACUUAUAUAUGAAAGUUGUAGUAGUAAGUAAUGCAUUUGUAAAUUCGGUGGAUGAGGGACGUGCGGGGGGUUUCUGGGUGUAGUAGUCCUUUUUCACAAGUGACCAUUGCCGAAGAGCUAAUAUCACAUAAUUUUUCUCUAUUUGAAAAAAAAAUGUAUAUAAGAAAUGAUUUUCGCAUUAUUUUAAAUAAAGAUUAUUUACGGUCUUUUCAAUAUGAUAAUAUAUAUAUACACACACACACACACUAAGGGAUGGAGGAUUUGUACUAAGCCGCAUAACGAAUCAUUCAUAAUAAUUUGGUUCGGACUCGUCAUAAAUGAGAAUCGAAACUAAAAUCUCUUACUUACAAGCGAAGACGAACCACUAGACAACAGAGGUAAGUGGCAGACUAAUUGCGACAAGAUUAGCAGUUUAUUUUCAUCAGGAAUACCCUGUUGUGUUUCUAAGCCAUGCAAAUGCGUUAAUUCAACUAACAGGUAGUUCAAGGGACAAAAUUAAGUUUAGGCGGGCAUAACAAAAGGGAAACAAAAGUGUGAAGAGAUCAUUUCUCCAUAGGUGAGCAGCACUCACAACUCAUCAGUCAUCAACAAACAUAUUUCGAUCGACACAACAAAAUAAAUAUUUUGUGCUCAUUAUAUUCUCUAUGGAAAAUAAUGACAAUUUAAUUAUUGACAUAUGGUCCCCCAAGAAAGCACCGUUGUAAGAGGAUCCACAAUGCCACGUGCAAAAUUGAGUAGUGAUUGCUCCUCAAUUUAUACAAAUUUUUUCAAUCUGAACAAUCAAGUCAUUUAGAGCAAUAAUUUCUCUAUAGAUGAGCAGUACUCAUUAUUCAUCGAUCACCAAUCAUCACCAAACACUAUUUUCUCCAUAGGUGAGCAGCACUUACUACUCAUCAGUCAUCACCAAACACAUUUCGAUCGACACAACAAAAUAAAUAUUUUGUGCUCAUUCUCCUCUCUAUGGAAAAUAAUGACAAUUUAAUUAUAGAUGGUUCCACAAGAAAGCACCGCCAUAAGAGGAUCCACAACGCCACAUGCAGAACUGAGACACGUGACCGCACGACACAGUUCCAAACAACAACAAAAAAUUCGAGAAUAAAAUAAAAAAUACACCCCACCCAACACCCAACACUCAGCUACCAAAGUCCUCAAUCCCUGGGCCUGAGAGGGCCCAAUGGGCCCAAAAUUCGAAGAAUUUUUCAGGGGAAAAACUCACGCACUGACAGGUGGAGUACCCACCAAUAAAAAUUUGACAGCUGGAUCGUACCUUUUACUUUUUGACAAACGACGUUAGUGGGUUUGAAGAUUUUCACGUUUAAACAAAGUAUUGAAAUGAAAACCGAAAAGUCGGCCGAAACGCCGUCUCGACGUCGUCUCUUACAUCCAGAACUGCAACGAGGUUUCGCCGGAAUCACAGUGCUUCCGGUGGAGAGAGAGAGAGAGAGAGAGAGAGAGAGAGAGAGAGAGAGUGCUGGGAAAAGUGAUGGAAUUCGAAGGUGAAGAGGAAAGAAGAUGGAGUCCGAAAGCAAAUUGCUCUGCUCUGGUUUAGUCCAAGAAGCAGAGCAUAGCAAGUGGCGGGAAAACGGUCGUAGUAGUCGAAUCAGUCGCAGAACGACGGUGCCGGCGGCGUCUUGGAGGUUUGGAGUACAAACGCCGUUAAGUUUUUUGGUUUUGGUUUGACGGUUUAGCACUUCAUGUCUUUCUCUCUCUGUCUCUCUCUCUCUCUCUCUCUCUCUCUCUCCCCUCCCUCUUUCUCUCUCCAAAUUCAAAACAUUUAAACAUCUCUCUCUCCCUCUCUCUCCCCUCCCUCUUUCUCUCUCCUCUCACAAAUCCCUAUCCCUUAUAAAUGUUCCCCCACCCCACAGGCCACAUCUGAACCAUUGGAACCCUAGAAAAAAACCCUAAUCCUGUCAAAACCCCAAUCUCACAUUUCCCGCCACCAUCAACCACAAAAAAUGGCCAAAAAGAAAGUGACCCAUCAACCCAUUGACACCAAAGAAGAAACCAACCACACUGCCCACAAAGCCGCCACAAUGGACGAGCCCUCCGAGAAGCUCGAGAACCUCAAGGCCCUCAACUCUCUGCUGCUCAAGGAGACCAAGGACCGCCGGCAGCAGGUGGAGGCACUGGUGCAGGCCAAGGCGGGUUUGGAGUCCCAGCUGAGUCGGUUCCGGGUGGAAAGUGAGUCGCUUGUGAGCGAGUUGAGUGGGAAGAGCGAGGAAAAUGUUGGGUUGGAGUUGGAAAUGAGUAUUUAUGGUGUUUUUGUUCUGGCCCAGUUGGGGCAAAUGAGGAGAGAGAAAGCUGAGGUUGAGAAGGCGAUGAGUGAGAGAGAGGGUGAGAUUGUGGGGCUGAAGAGGGAUGUGGAGGAGCUUGCGGGUGGGCUCGAAAUCGAGAUGGGGAAGCUGAGCAGAGUGUGCCGGGAGAGGGAUUGUGUGAAGAGAGAUUUUGGUGGGCUGGCCGAGGAGGCGAAUGAGUUGAAGUUGAAAGUGGUGGAAAUGGAGAAGAAAGAGAGGGUUUUCGGCGAGGAAUUUGAGAAGUUGAAAGUGCAAUGUAAUGGGUUGGUGCAGGAGAAGUUUGGGAAGGAAAGGGAGGUUGAAAUUGCAAUGAGAGAGAAGGAGUUGGCCGAGAUGAAGCAUGCUGAGUCGGAGAGAGCGAUCGAGGAUUUGAAGAGGGAGAUUGAGAGGGUUGUGAGAGAAAAGAAUGAGAUUGAGAAGGAAAAGACCGGGCAGGAAGCAAGGAUUUUUCGAUUGGAGAAUGAAGCGGGGCAGUUGAGUAAGAUCGAAUUGGGUUUGAGGAAGGAUAAUGAAGCAUUGCAGAUGAAGGUUUUGGAGUUGGAGAAUAGUGUUGAGGAGGCUAUGGGGACGGGAGAGGUGUUGGAGAGGGAGAUUAAGGUUUUGGGGGAAGAGAAGAGGGAGAAGGAGCAGAGUUUCGAGAAGUUAAAUGAAGAAGUAAAAUCACAGAAGGAACUUUUGGAUAUGGUUACUGAGGAAUUGAAGAAAAAGGAGGAAAGAAUCAAGGAAAUCGAGCUAAAGAAGAGUGAGAUUGAGGGGGCAAAAGUGAAGCAAGAGAAGGAAAUUGCUAAAUUGAUAAGUCAAGUGGUAAAAGAAAGGGAUUUUGUGUGUUCGUUGCAAAAUUCAUCCGACGAGCAGAAGGACAAGAAUGCGUGGUUGGUUUCUGAAGUUAGUCAAUAUAAAGAUGCCCUUGAUCGUGUUACGCAGGAGAAGGCAGAGGCUCUGAAGAAUUUGGAUGAGGAGAAGAAGAAAGUGGAAGACUUAAUGCUGACUAUUUCGGGGAGGGAGAAGACGAUUAAAGAAAUCGAGAAAGAGUUGGAGAAACUGAGGAGUGUUAGUGAGAACAUUGCCGAGGAAAACAAGGCCAUGGAGAGCCGGUUGGAAUCAUUGGUUAAGGAAAAAGAUUUGAUGCAGAAGAACCUUGUCGAGGCUCAGAGGAAAAUUCGUGAUUGGGAGGCUAAAUUUGAAUCAGAAGGAACCAAGUUGACGCGGGCUUUGACUAUGCUGAAGAACACCGCAGCACGCAUAUCUUCGACAUCCGAAGGCAAGGAAGAAGUGGCUACCAGUGAUCACAAUGUUGGGGAAGAAAUUCAGCCCUAUGUGGCGGAGUUGGAUGCCAUACAGAAUGCUUUCAGAAACAAGGAGAAGAUGGUCGGAGACUUGCAGAAACAACUCGAGUCUCUGCAGAAGUCGUCAGAGGCGCAGAAGAAGAAGAGUUUCUGGACUUUGAUCUCAUCGGCGACAACCCUUAUUGCUGCAGCUUCAAUUGCAUAUGUUUCCAAAUCACGCUGAGUGGCUCGGUUUGGUAGUCAAUUUUGUUCUUGGAUCAACCAGCACGGCGAUGUCAUGUCAUGUUUGUCUCUUAACAACUUAUAAUCUAGAUAAUAAUGUUUUUGUUGCAGAAAUCAGUCUCAUGGGAUACUUUGAUAUGCUGUCUUUUUUCUGUAUGAAGGAAUACGAAUACCAAAUCUUGUUUUCCAUAUCCGUUUGUGCAAUUUCGUUACAACGUUAGCUUCCUUCCUAUUUCUGUUCAUAUGAUCUGUGUCAUUACAUGUAACUGGGAAACAUAUGCUUGUUAGAUCAGUUGCUUCCAUUCGGUUGCUCCUACGCAAGUUUUUCUUGCACUACGAAAUCGAUGUUGUAUGAAAGGAAACUGUCUUUCUUAACCUGCAAUCAAGGGGGUUCUCUGUCCUUAUGGCUUGGUACAACUGUGGUAUCACCGAUAUAUGUACCCACGUUAUCUCUUGUAUAAAUCAUCGUGUGACACACGUUACGUGAUGAAAGAUAUACUAAUUCGGAGAUAUAACUGAUUACAAUUUAGUGUUUGUUGUGCAAUAAGAUAAUUGCGUCAACAUAGCACGAAGGCUCAAGCUAACUGUUCAGUGGUCAACUGUUUUGCGUUGUAGUUGAUGGCAAAUGGAACUUUUGAAAGAUCAAGCGUUUCCUAGAAUUUCACGUGACGGAAGAGGUAGAGAGGGCGAUAUCCGCCCGCUAGUAGAUUAUUUCCAAUGAAUGGUUAAUUUACUAUGUUUUUUUUCAGAUUAUACUCGUCCAUUGCUCAAUGAUUGUGUAUGAGAAGUCUGCUAUAUUGGAGAAGUAUGUAUUGGUUCCUAAGCCUUUUCCUUACGUGGGCUUUGGGUUCCUAUGCCUUUGCCCAUAACAAAGCUCUGUUGGAUUUUUUGUCUAGUAAGUAACCCAAUCAAGUGUUUGCAAUUCAGAACUUUUAGUCUUUUCCACUUAAAAUUUCAUGUGUACUGCAGACACAGUUGUAGAACAAGUUGGCUCAAGCGUCGUGUCUCUCGUUCAUCGAAUCUUCAUCUAUGUUGCUUCGAUUAGAUUAGGCUAGUUUAGAGUCUUUUAGACUAUUGCUUGGAAAUUUAAAUACCAUUUAGUUUCAUUAUCGACUUUAAGAUCGUAUGGUUGCGUUAUAUCAUCACAGAAUCAUAUAAUAUUAACGAUCUACUUACUAUAUGUUCAUAAAUUAAGAUCAACAAUGUAUAAUAUUAGUAAAUAAGUAUGUUGAUGACAGUAUAUAAUCCGUGUGUGGCCGUCACUGAAAUUUUCGUGUUUUAAAAAACUUCUGUCUUCAUCUUUCAAUUUUUGUCAUUCAACAACUUAGUAAAUAAAUAUGCUGAUGACAGUGUAUAACCAGUGUGUGGCAGUCACAUCGAAAUAUCUGUGUAAAAACAGUUUAUUUAUCUAUCAACUUCUAUCAUUCAACAACUUAAUAGAUAAGUAUGUUGAAGAGAGUGUAUAAUCAGUGUGUGGCAAUCAUAAUGGAGAAUCUGUAUUUUAAAAACACUUUCAUCUUCAUCUAUCAACUUUUAUCAUUCAACAACUCAAUAGAUAAGUAUGUUAACAGUGCAUAAUUAAUGUGUGACAGUCACACUGAAAUAUCUAUGCGUUUAAACACUUUCAUCUUCAUCUAUCAACCUCUAUCAUUCAACAACUCAAUAGAUAAACAUACGUUGAUGAAAAAGCGAUCACGAUGUACGAAAUGGUCACACCAAAAUAUGUUUUAAAAACACUUUCAUCUUCAUUUAUCAACUGUUAUUGUUCAAAUAAGUACGUUGACAACAAUGCAUAAUCAAUACAUAUCAGUCACAACAAAAUAUAUGUAUAUUAAAAACACUUGCAUCUUCAUCUAUCAACUUUUAUCAUUCGAUGACUUAAUAGAUAAGCAUAUGCUGACGACGAAACGGCCACGGAUCGCAUCUGGUGAUUCAACCAACGAAUCAUACGUCUCCAAAUCCAUGAAUUCUUCGACAUUAUUACUAAAAUUAAGAUUUUGCAAACGUCACUUGAUCCGAUAACAUUGUUGGUUGAUAUGAAACCUGCAUAGUGGCUGACGACUGCACUGUGUGUUAGGCAAUCCUCAACUUAUCUAUAAAUAAACCACUUGUCCUUCUCUCUUGUCAAUUCAAUUAACUAAUAGCAUGCGUUUUGAUUAACUUGAUCUAAACCAUAAUUAAUUGUCAAUUAAUUAAAGUUAAAACUAGGGUUCAUCAUGUCUUUUUCAGAAGCUUAGCUGUGUCUUACUGUGCUGGGUUUUUUAAAUCAUUGUGGAGAAAGCAACUCCCACAGAUGAUGAGAUUCAUUGUUUGAUUCCAAACGUGGUCCCUUUAGAAAAAGCGACCCAAAAGCCAACAACCACUAAUUUGGGACUUUUGUUUUCCUUUAGAAACAAGUCUAUCUUUUGCUUCUCCUCCCUCAACCUCUGACCUAACUAGUUGGUUAAGGACACCUGAUCAUGUUAUCUGUAGGGCAUCUCUUAUAAAAGUUUAAAAUUCUCAAUUCCACGCUUAUCUCACAUAAUAUGAUAGUUAUCUGACUAGCUGAAUAGUGAGAUAUUCUCCCAAAAACCAUGUUUUAUUGUAUUUCGCUACUUUUUCGACUCCACGUAAGUAUAGCUUUCGUUAUAGACAAUCUUAGUUUCUCACCCUUCGUGAUAAUUGUUUGAUUUUUCAUGCUCAAAUUUUUAUCGUAAGCAGCCUUAACGAAGUUCCCCUAACAAUAUUUAUUUCCAUCUAUAAACAAGAGGCCUUCAAUUCAUGAAUUGACAAGCAUGAACGAAUAUAUCAGUCUCCAUCAGUCCCGAAUAUGAACUAUUUUUCAAUCAUUUAGCAGCCUAUUGAGAAUUAGGGACAAAGAUUUUCAGUUUUCCUUGGAAAAUCUUGGGUCAAAUCCUUUAAAUACUAUCAUUAGGGUCACCUCUUAAAGUAGUUAAUUGUAGGUAUUAUGAAAACGCUAGCUCAAAAACUUUUUGCACACCUAGGGUUGUUUAAUCUGUUUUUUUUAUUUUUUUGUCAGCCAAAAAAAGGGGCUUUAAGUACGAAAGUAACCCACUUUCUAUUGAUUUAUUUUUAACAGGAUCUAGUAUAUUCAAUGUCGUAAAACAAUUGAUUAAAUUUAUAAAUAUUUAUAUUAUUAUAUUUAUUGUACUAAACAGUAUUUCCGACGUACUAAAAAAGUUUCUCUCUUUCAAAUGUAUAUGCAUCGAAAGAUGCUUGGAUGUGACUAUUAGAUUGUACUUUGGUGCUCAUAAACUUUGUCCUAUAGCCAAUUGCUCUCUUUUUUCCUUUCUGCCUUUUGUGAAGGCCUUUGGUCACUUGUUCGAAAAUGUAAAUACAAUUAUUCACUCUUCUCAAUAGAAAAAAAUCUUGUCUAAGAGUGAAAGAUCUAUGUGAUCAGUGAGAUGCUUUGAUGGAAUGUAUCGUCUAGUGAUAAAGUAUAAUUAUUCUUUUUUCAUAUAAGAAGUUAUCGGAUAGAGUAAGAGAUACACGUGAUGAUUGAGACAUAAAAGACGAGGAUAUAUAGCAGGUGAAAAAGCAAAAUCACUCCUAAUCGUAUGGAAAGAUCUUGGCUCUAGCCAUAGAUAUACGGUGUGAGUGAGACAUGAAAAACUCUUUUGCAACUAAUGCAUCCUCCCAAUGUCAUCACCAUUCGAUAAACGCUUGUCACGUAUCCAAAAAGUGAAUCAUCUGUCCAAUAGACAUUUGUAACGUGUUCAAAAAAUGAACUACCAUUCAAUUAAGGCUUGCCAUGUGGUGAUUGGUGACAAGAGAGAAUUUUUCGAAUCAAACUCAAACGGAGAUAUUAUCCGGUGAUAAGGCUGAAUCACUCCUACCCAUUCAUACCCUUCUUCCCAUGCUUAGCAGCUUGUGUGGAUGAUGUUACACUCAAAAUCUUCAAAAGACAAGGUAGUACUUCUUUUUUCCAAAAGUUCAGAGGAAAAGAACGGUUUGGAUCCUCUCCAAACCUUAGCGUCCGAAGCUUAAUGAUAACAAAAAUCGAGUCAUUGGUUUGCGUGUAAGAAAACUUAGAAUCCUUAGUUUAUAUAAGGUGAACUGACGAAAUGAGUUAAUCGAGACCGUUUAUUCGAACGGGCCAGAUUGACUAAUCCUUUAUCUUCAGACAAUGAGAUUCGGAGCGAAUCUCUGUCAAAAAAGAUGUAGUACUACACAGAUUAAUUACCAACAGAAUGUAGCAGAUUAGAGGCUGAGGAGUUUCAAAUCCACUGAAAAUUUGAGCAGAGAUUUCAACAUCAAUAUCCACUGUUCUUAAACAUUUCUUAACAUGCUUAAGAGCAGAACAAACAAUUGGCAACUGCCAAUACACAAACAUCUUAUAUAAUCUUAGAACAUAUAUAUAUAAACAUUACAAGAACAACGAUUCCAUGGAUAAAUUUUUCCAUCCAUGUUCCGAUAAUUAGCUAUAUAUUACAUUAGCAAGUCACUGAAUCGUCGAUCAGCCACUAGAGAUAUUACACCAACAACCCCCGGUCCUCCUCUUCGUUGUGGUCAGAAGCCGGAAUCCUUGGAUCUUAACAUUCAUAGGACUGCUAAACUUUAGUUAAUAGAUUCUGCUGUCUGCAAAAGCUUUAUCGAACCAACUAACAAAAUACGAUGAUCCAGCUAGAUGCAGAAUCACACACUCCUUUGCAUCCAACAACCAAAGCCUAGCCCUCGUCGUACAAGAACCAGGCCAAAGCAGGAUCUUAGUGCCACAAUUAUCAAUACAACAGUAAAUUACUAUAGCUACACAAUCUUACAAACUGCAAACAAUCCCUUCAUUAUUCUGGGAGUGUCAAGCUUAGGUUAUAUAUCAUCGAGUGGUAUAAGUCAAUUUUAUCAAUUAUCGGAGAGCACGAAUUUACUUAUCUCAUCCAUCACGGUGUAGAAAUGCUCAUUAUUCGGCAACAGGUAGAAACCAAUUGUGGCCUGCUCAAGAUACAUAAGUUUGAUGUUUUUGCCAGCACUCUCGAGCCCUCUGGCGUAAGCCAAUUGCCAGUCCUGAACAAGAUCCAAACCAGCCACCACAACAAGGCUCUUCGGGAACUUGACAGCUUCGAGGCUUUGACCACGGGGACCAAAUGGGUUACAUGCUGGAUGGUCCCUAUCUUCACCAUCAGGGAGAAAAGCUCUCCAGUACCAGUCCCGGUCUUGGAUGGUUACAAAGUAUUUCCCAUCCAAUCGCAACUCGGAUUCAGUCCGCUCCUGCCCACCAAACAUAGGGUUGAGCAGUAUAUUUCCCAGUACAUUGAUUCCAGAUUCUGCUGCUCUUAAAGCAACAUUGUGUACAAUGUUCCCGCCAGAGCUAUCGCCAGCUAGAUAGAUAUGAACGUUUGAGUCCCUUGUACUUUUAAGCCAUGAUCUAGAGUUCACCCACCUCAGGGCUGUCCAUCCAUCAUCAUAGGCACAUGGAUAGCGAUUUUCAGGAGCCCUACGAUAAUUCACAGAGACCACUACAGCCUUGCAGAUACCAACUAGUCGGCGACACAGAAUAUCAUAUAUACCGCUGUUUGAAGAGGAGUGUGCAAAGCUUCCACCAUGGAAGAAAACUAUGACAGGAAGAACCUCUUGGCUCACCGCUCUCUCAGGAUCAACAAUGUUCAGCGGGGAUAGAUUAGCAUCGUCCGGAUGAUAGAUUCGACUGAGCAGGCUAGUUUCACGGUCGAUGAUGACAUCAAACGAGACAACCCCAUCAACAGGGUUAGAAUUGGCUGGCACUUUCCGGUCAAGGAAUUCUGCCAAGUGGCGGUUGAAGGUCCCGUCAGGGCGGCGCAGAAGAUUGUAUGACAGCUUAAAAUUGGAGAUGAGGACCCAUGUAUUCAAUGGAACCACCAUCUGUAAAAGGAGCGCAUCCGAUUCCAUAAAUUUUUUACAUAUGUCAAUGUCUUAUUCCAACAUAACAACAACACAAAACCAACAAAAACAUUCCCGUAAAGAUGUAGAAUCGCAAACAAACCGGAAAAACACAUGUUCAUCUAUACAUUUUCUUAGAGCUGAAGCUUUCCCAUGACAAAACCACAACAUUAAAUCCAUCAAACAAUGAAAUCUCCAACCAAGAACAUCUCCAAAACAUGAUGAACUCGAACAAGCAUAACAAACCCAAUAAUCAUAUCCUUAUCAAACAUAAACAGCUAAAAACCUCAACUCAAACCAGAACAAUGUCUUCAUCCCCAAUGAAAGAAACAAAUCAGCUUUUCAACAACAAAAUCACAAACCAAAAACCGUAUCCCAGAUAGCCCAUUAAGAUAAACUCCAUCCAACAUAAAAAAACACAGAAAAAAUCAAACUUUGAAUCAGCAAAAACCAAAGAAAAGUUGUUACCCUGGAUUCACUAACGUUGACUUCAUUGCCCCCAGACAUGGAAACCGGUCUGAAGAAUUCCCCCACCAAAAUCUAAGCUUGAAGAAAACCCAGCCCAGAUCUUUCGAGAGCAGAGCAAACCCACCCCACGAAACCUCACGUAUUAACGCAGAAGCAGAAACUAAAAAGCAAAAGCCAGGCAGCCAAAACGAGCAAGCAAAAGCACCUUAACUUUGAAUCUCUCUCCU
rnacentral:lncRNA from 1 species